rnacentral:lncRNA from 1 species
UGCUGGGAGGUACUCAGUUAAGCGUUUCCGGAAGGCCCAAUGUCCCAUUGUUGAGAGGCUUACGAACUCUCUUAUGAUGCACGGUCGUAACAACGGCAAGAAAUUGAUGGCCGUCAGGAUUGUUAAGCAUGCCAUGGAGAUCAUUCACCUUUUGACUGACCAGAACCCAAUUCAAGUCAUUGUUGACGCUGUCAUCAACAGGUAUUGAAGUCUGAUUUCUCUAAAACAUUGUGGAAGUUUUUCUUUGCUAUUUAUGCAACUGGUUUAUCGAUGUGCUCUUUUAUUGAAUUAUCUCGAAUUUCCUUUGUUGCUGCAGUGGUCCAAGGGAAGAUGCUACCCGUAUUGGAUCUGCUGGUGUUGUUAGGCGUCAGGCUGUGGAUAUUUCCCCAUUGCGCCGUGUGAAUCAAGCGAUCUAUCUACUCACCACUGGUGCUCGUGAAUCUGCUUUUCGUAACAUCAAGACUAUUGCCGAAUGCUUGGCCGAUGAACUCAUUAAUGCUGCCAAGGGUUCAUCUAACAGGUAACCAACCAAUCAUGGCCUUGGUUCUGCUCUGUUACUUCUUUACUUACAAUUUCUUGAAACUGAUUGUUACCACUUGCAUUUUCAGCUAUGCGAUCAAGAAGAAGGAUGAGAUUGAGAGAGUGGCAAAGGCCAAUCGCUGAGGACGUGAUAGUGGAGAAGCAGAUGCAGAAAGUUGUACUUUUAAAAAAAAAAAAAACUUUUGGACGAUGUUUUGUUGCUAUUUUAUGAAUGUUGUUUCAAGUUUUGAGUAGAUGAUAUUGAGGAUGCAUUUAGUGACUUACUAGUUCCAUAUGCCAUGUGGUGGAUGUUACGAUGGAGUCUGCACAACUUAGUCAAACUAGAAUUUGAUGGUUUAUAAAUUCUGCUGUUUGUGAUUACCACAGUGCUUCUUGAAUGCAUUCUUCUGAAGAUUGAUGUGAUUUUUUCUCUCUUUAUUACUGGCAUAUCCUUAGAAUUUAAAUGGUUUUUUAAUGUUAUAUAUAUAUAUAUAUAUAUCAUUCAAUGAGGUCACUUUGACUUGGCCCGUAGGCGAAUGUUGAGUCUUUGAGUUCUUAAUUGCAUUUUGAAAAUUAAUCUUAUUUCUUAAUCAAUAUCCAUAAUAUAAUAUGAAAACCAAAUUUGUGAAUUUGAUUCAAGCUUUCCCUGUCCAAACCCAAGCCCAAGUCGAAGCCCAGGGGUCUGUUAAUAAAAAUUAAAAGAAAACAUAAAAUUAAAGGAAAGCAAUAGAAAUUCUCCUGCGGUCAAAAGGUUUUGUAAGAAAAAGAAUUUUGUUCUUACCGGAUUUCUUGAGGAAUAUCGAUAAGGUUACUUUUUGUGUGUGUGUAUUUAAUAGGGUACCUUUAGAGGGGUGCUUCUUAUAAGUCUAUUUAUAAAAUAGUUCGAUGCGGAUUAUUUAUAAUUGUUAGAUGCAAACAAACUUGUUGACAUUUCAAAUAUUUUUUUUUCAAUAGAAUAACAAGAGUAAUGAUACACUUUCGUGAGGGAAUUUACUAAAAAAUUGAAAGCAAUCGAAUUUUCUAACUAAGGUACUAGUAAAAAAUAAAGUAUUAUUUUAUGCUAUAUAAUACGUAAUAUUUUCAAAAGAUAGAGCAAAUUCAAGUUUCAAUUAGUAUUCCCUAAUUAUACUCAUUUAUGUUCGUAGAGCAACAAUAAAGAAUUGCAUAAAAUUAAAUUUGAUAGAAAUCAUAAGUUAAUUCAUAUCGUUCUUCAAUAAAAUAUGAACUAGGUAUUUUGGUUUGUUUAUUCUUUAUUUAUUCAAAAUCAUUAACUAGUUUUUCUCGACAUGUAUUGAUUAUUUACUGGGUGAGGCUAAUUACACUUUAAAAACUGAUUUCAACACUCUAUUACUUUGAACACUCAUUUAUUAAAUUUAAAAAAUUAUAUUUUACUUUGUAUACUCUUUCAAAUACCAAAACAAUUCCUUACUUAAACUACUUUAAUUAAUUAUCUUUAUUUACUCCGCACACUUAUAAAAAUACUCAUCUUAAAAAAAUAAAAUAAGGCACUCAAAAUUUUUAUGGAUUAGUUUGUAAUUUAAUAAUUUAUUUAAAAUAAUUCAUUUAAGAUCUUUUAGAGAAGUAAGAUUAUAAUUUCUGCUGGUUUUCUUUAAAGUAAUUUCUGUUGGUAUUAUUAAUGAAUAUUUCACUCAUUCAAUUAACGCCAUGACUACAACUUAGAAGAAUAAAAAAUAAAUGGAUCAUGGAUGAAUACUUUUCUCAAUCAACAUGGUCAACGUACAAUUUCACUUAAAUGAAUUUUCUAACUUAAUAGAUGUUUGUGGUCUAUAGUCAUUCUUAAUGGCCGUGAUUCAUAAUACAUUGGCACGAACCUGUUAAUUAACACUUAUAUUUAUGUAAAUUUAAUAAUUCGCAGUCGGUGGAUUGAAUAUUGAUCUAUUUUUGUAAAUUCGUAAAAAUCCGAGAAUCCGUAAAAAAUUAAAAAGUAUUUAUUUAAUUAAAAAUAAAACUUGUAAAUAUGACAUUAGUACUUGCUAGUAAAUAAAUAAGUUAAAAUAUAGUUACAUUAACACUAUAUUAUAUCUUAUUCGAUAAUAACAUAAAAUAAAAAAUAACUAAAUAAACAAAUAUAGCUUCCUAAAUAGUAAAUUUUCAUUUUGGUGUGUUAUAUUUUGAAACUUUAAAUACAUUUUCUAGUUUUAUUUAAACAAUUAAUUUAUUUAAAUCUUAUUUAAUUUUAAAUUUGAUCGGUAGUAAAAUUAUUUUUAUAUUAAUUUUUUUUAUUUAGUUAAUUCGUGGAUUGGACAUAAUUAAAAAUUUUCAGUCCAUAAACCAAUCCGCAAAAUGAUGGAUUUGGUCAAAUCCUCAUAUGAUCCAUAGAUGUAUGAAUUAGAUUUAGAUUGAAUUUCACCAAUAUAUGGAUUGGAUUGGAUUGAAAAUUUAUAGUCCGUAAAAUUGUGGAUUGGAUAUGGAUUGUUGUCCAAUCCAUAAAAUCUGAUCCGCGAACACCCCUAAGGGUCGGUUUGGGAUUGCGGUUGAAAUUCAAUAAGCCACUUAUUUCAUAAUUUUUGAUAAAAAUAUUGUUUAAUAAAUUUUAUAAAAUCGGCUUAUUUCAUAAUUUUCUCAAUUUUAUCAGCAACUUUUAAAAGCAGGUAAGGAAUUGCUUUUCGUAAGCAGUUUAUUUAAUAAGCUACCACACCUUUUUAAAAUUCUUAUUACAACCCUGCAUUUUAAUCAAAAGACAAUUGUAUCUUACUUAUUCAUAAACGCUAAUAUAUAAAUCAUCAUAUAUCAUAUUAUCGCUAUAAUUUAGUUACCACCAUAAUUACGUACAUUCUCUCCGGUUUUGAUUCGGUAAGUUCAUAUUCUAAUUGAGUUUUCUAAUGUAAGUUCAUAUUCUAAUGUAAUUUUACAUAUUUAUGAAAAAAGAUAUGUCUAAAUAAUUUAGUAAAUAUACUCUAAAAAUAACAAGUAAUUAAAACUUAUGUUUAUUUUGGUCAUCAUAUAAUAAAACAACACUUUUGUGAGAAAAUUUAUCAAACGCAUGUACUCUACUUUUUAAACUUACAGUAACCACAACAAUACAAUUUACCAAAUAUUAAAUUAUUUUUUUAAUCAGUAGCUUAUUUUAUUUACACGACACAAAUAAUUUAUUUCAUCAGCCCCGUAAUCUCAAACUAACACUAGGAAUAACUGAUUUGAUAUUGUUACCUUACUUGAAGAGUUUAAUGCUGUUGAUUAAAAGGAAAAUAAAAUUUAAGAACUGGGACCAAACAUGCCAGGCCCAGCCCAAAGAUCCUUCAUUUGAGAAAAUUAAAAUCAAAUAAAAAAAAAGAAAAAAAGAAAAAAAGCUCUUAGGUGGCUUAAACGGUUAAACCUGCUCUGCUCGACUGCUCCGCUCCGCUCCGUAGUUUUUUUCAUCGGGUCCGGGUAGAGACCCAAAGGUCUUGAGCGACCGAUCCGGCUGAACAACUCAAAAGAUAAAGAAGUAUCGUAAGUGCAAACUGAAUUUGUUUCUUGCAAUGAAGCUUGUGCGCCUGAGAACAACGCUGUACAACAUCAAAGCACAAUUGGGUCUCGGGAAUGUAUUGGAUUCUUCUUCCUCUUACUCGACGGCGACAAGAACUACGACUCGAGAAGUGACAAAUAGUUUGCGGAAGGGUUCAUCAAUGUAUAAGCUUUACCGCAUGCUUUCUCCAAUGGGGGACCCAAAUGAUUCAAUGGUUCCGCUGCUCGAUCAAUGGGUCGAAGAAGGACGCCCAUUGGAUAUGGAACAGCUCCGAAUCAUCAUUAAGAAGUUUCGGUUGUACAAACGAUUCUCUCACGCUCUCCAGGUAUUAAAAGUCGUAAUAAUUUUAUUAUUAUUUGCAUUGCAAUUUUCAAAAAAGUUCUGUUGAAAAUGUUUGUUACUGUAAUGAUUUUAUGGCUCCAAAAAAUUUGUAUCAUGUUCCCCUUUGAUGGCAUUUUGAGAUGUAGUAGUAGAUUUGGGAAUUGUAGCGGGAUAGCCUAGCCUCAUGAACCCGGAUAGCUAAAACUUUCAUUUUUGCUCUAUGUUGUGUAGUUCAUAUAUGGAUUAUCUGAAAUUGAAACGAUUUCAGUUUCAUUACUAGUUUUUGGACUGUAUUUUUGCACCUUUGCUCCCAAGCCUGUUGAUGGUCCUGUUGGUUGAUGAGAAUAGAUUGAUUGAGUUAACAAGUCUACUUAACUUAAUGAGACUGAUCAAGGGAGCCGUUUUUUGUUUUCUGUAAAUUCGACUUUCGGGGAAGCAUACUGGAUUUGAGCUACCUGUGAUAAGUGGAACCAUUGGUUUCUUGUUAUUAGUAAGGAUGCUUAUUCUGUUUUAUGAUUUCAUUUUUUUGUCAUCUCAUUGGUUUAUCUCCCCGUCCCCCUUCCUUCCCAGAUAUCUAUGUGGAUGACCAAGAAGAGCAACUUCGUACUCACACCUGCUGAUGUUGCCAUUAGGCUAGACUUGAUUGCUAAAGUUCAGGGAAUAGAACAAGCAGCAAAUUAUUUCAAUUGUGUUCCAGAAAAGUUAAAGCUUCCCAGCGUUUAUAUUGCUCUCCUCAAUGCCUAUGCCUGUGCAAAAUCUGCAGAAAAGGCAGAGAUUAUCAUGCAGCAAAUGAGGGAUCGGGGGUUGGUUAAAAAAACUAUAGAUUACAAUUCCAUGAUGAAUGUUUAUUAUCAGACUGGAAAUUACAAGAAACUUGACAGUCUGAUGCACGAAAUGGAAGAAAAGGGUAUUGAUUGUGACAAAUAUACAUUCAGCAUCCUUCUCAGUGCGUAUGCAGCUGCUUCUGAUGGUGAGGGAAUUGACAAGAUUGUGGCAAUGAUGGAAGCGGAUCGGGGUGUUGUUUUAGACUGGACAGUUUAUGCUACAGCAGCUAGUGGAUAUGUAAAAGCUGGGCUUUCGGACAAGGCUUUGGCAGUGUUAAGGAAGUCUGAGGUACUAAUGAUGCACAACAAAUUCAGUAGAGCAUAUGAUUUUGUUAUCACACAAUAUGCAGCAUGUGGGAAUAAAGAUGACGUUUUAAGAGUUUGGAAACACUACAAGCAGAACUUGAAGGUUUACAAUAGGGGCUAUAUUUGUGUUAUAUCUUCCUUGUUGAAAUUUGAUGGCAUGGAAAGUGCUGAGAAGAUUUUUGAGGAGUGGGAGUCUCGUAAUUUAUGUCAUGAUAUCCGAAUUCCAAAUCACUUGAUCGAUGCAUACUGCAGAAGAGGGCUUUUGCACAAGGCUGAAACUCUUAUCUACAAGGCACAGUUGAGGGGGACAGAGCCUAAUGUCAGGACAUGGUAUCUUAUGGCAACGGGGUAUCUUCAAAAUAAUCAAAGUGAGAAAGGAGUGGAAGCAAUGAAGAAAGCGUUAGUGCUUUUGGAAGCUGGAACCAGGUGGAAGCCAAGCAAGGAAUGUUUGGCUGCCUGUCUGGGAUACUAUAAAAAGGAAAGAGAUAUUGAGGGGGCAGAUUAUUUCAUAAAAUUACUUACCGGCAAGGAAAUUAUCUCUGCAGAUCUUCAUGAUAGAUUGUUAAAUAAUAUACGAAAUGGGUAAUCAAAUUGGAUUGUACGCAGCUGAGUUCUCUGGUAAUUCUUUGGCUGGGAAGGGAGAAUCACUUUUGAACCUUAAGAAUGUUAGCAGUAUUAAGAAGAGGAAACGCUGCAAACACAAAAUUACAACAAGAAAAGGAGUAUGACGGCGUUUAUUUUGUGAGAGCUUUCCAUGUAUUUUGAUUGGAAGGCGCAAUAAUGUUCAGAAAGUUGAUGAAAUUGUUCAGUUUACGUGCAGCAUUAUAAUAAAACUGCUUUUACUAGAUUUGUUUCUUCAAAACCAACUUCAAGCUAAGACCAAUGCUUGUAAAGUUUCACAAGUCCAGAAUGAGUUUCUGGGAAUGACACUUGCCCAAUUAGAGACUGAAUCUGCUAAGACGGCUCACAGUAUUUCUACCUAUAGAAAAGAUCGUGAAAGAGGCGAUCAGAAUGGUACUCGAAUCCAUUUUACGGUCUUGAUUUUCGAGAGCCAUCGCACUUCCACUCGGGUUCGAGCCUGCCACUCGGUCCUAAGAUGGAUCAAAGAAGAAUGGGGAAUCUCUCGCUGGUUUUGACACCUUUUUAUACUAAACUGUGAACUUAUCAAAAUAGCCGAAUUCAAGUUAUUAAGUAAUAAUAAAACUAAAUUUCCAAAAUCAAGCGCAAGUAAAAAAAAAAAUCAAUUUGACUUGUAGAAAAUAAAAUAAAAUAAAAUACAAAUUUGAGAAAAAUUUGGAAAAAUUAUAAAGAAAACUUCAAAUAAGUAAUUGAGGCCAAAAUGAAGGAAUUGGAGAUGAUCUGUUGAUUUAUAAUAAUAAAAUCCUAUGAAUCACAUUCCAUUGCUAUGUUUGGAAGUUUGAAAUGGUAUAUUACAUAUCCUAAAAUAAACACUUAUGUUUGGUUUGAAGAAAUAUAAAGAGAAGAGAGGAAAGGAGCAGAAAAAAAUGAGGAGAGAAAAAUAAAUUUCUUAUUUAGUUAAAUAAAAAAAUAAGAGUAAAUCUAUUUUUUACUCAUUUUCUCUCAACUCUUUCUUUUCUGUACAUCUCCUCUUCUACCAUUUCUUCCAACCAAACAUGGGUUGGAGUUUUAGUUACCGGCCCAAAAAUUAUACUAGGCAUUCUCCCAAACCUUGCCUACAUCAGAUAGUUUGAGGAUGACGUAAUUCAUAGUAACUAGUAGAAAAUGUAAUUAAAUUUUAACGCAAUAAUAUAAUUAAAUAUUAAAAUAUAGUCAGCUAUAGAAGUUUAUUAUUAUUAGAAGAAAAAAAAGGACUGUUAGUCCUCUAAUAUUUGGAACAGAAACAUAAAAUCCUCUAAUAGUUUAAAAAAAUAUAUAACUUUUAUAUUCUAUUAAUCUUUAAUUUACUUUAACUGAGAAAUAGGUAAUAUUGUAUAUUCACAAAAAAAAAAUGAUUGUAUUUUUAAUAAAUGACGUAUAAAACUUAUAAAAUCAUAUUCUUCCCUAAAAUUACAGCUGCAACUACUCUACAAAUUAAUAAGAUUUACAAUAUAUUUUUUAAAAUUGAGUGAGUUUUUUACUCCUUUCCAUACGUUAGAAUCCUAAAACCCCAUUUCCCCAUUACCCUUUUAUCACAAACCCUACAUUGUUCUGUCAUUUCCCCGUAAACUGAAAAUUUUCAAGCAAAUGAAGCUCCCACGCUACUAUACAGUACUCUACAACAUCAAAGCUCAAUUGGGUCUGGGAAAUGGGCUGGGUUUAUCCUCUUACGCGACAGCGACGAGUACCGCAACUCGAGAAAGUAAGUGGAAGGGUUCAAUGCAUACUCUUUUCCGUAGGAUUUCUCCAAUGGGAAAUCCAAAUGUCUCGAUCGUUCCGCUACUCAACCAAUGGGUUGAAGAAGGACAUCCGGUCGACAAACAACAGCUCCAAAGGUUCAUCAAGGAGCUGCGAUUUUUCAGCCGAUUCACUCACGCUCUUGAGGUAUCAAUUUAAGGGUCCUUUUUUUGAAAUAAUUUUUUUUAAAAUUGUUUUGGAAAUUACUAAUUAAACGAUGCGUUUGGUUCUCUUGAAAAGAAAAUGGAGAUUUUAUAAUUUAAUUUGAGUAUUUUGCAUUGCAGUUCAAGAAAUUCCGUGCUCAUAGACUGAAUAUUUGUAAUGAAUUUAUUAGAAAAUCUUGACGACGCCCAUGGGCUCCAUUGAUUUUUUAGCAAGGUUUAUUUGCGGUUCAUUUUGCAAUUUUGAGUAACAAUUUGUGCCAUAAUGAAGUCAUAUGUUACAUUUGCCUGUUCUAUUUGAAGGUAUUGAGUUGACUGUUUCUUGAACUUCUCCUGGUUUUUGGGAGCUGAACCGCCAAGCUUUAGUAUCUGAUCUCUUUUGUGUAUUUCUCAGAUGGAUCUUUUACAUUUAUUUAUCAUAAGAUUUUAGCGAUGAGUUGUUUUUAGCUGUCAUCCAAUUCCUAAUUGAUAAUCCCAAUUUUUUUAUCCGGGCAAACUACAUUCAGCAAGGAGAGGGAAAUAGCUGCAGUUAUCAACACUUUUUGCUGUUCUACUCAACUAUAUUUUUGGCGAAGAAUAAAAAUCAUUAGCUGCUGAUGCUAAUUAGACACUGUAUUGUUGUUAUUAAACUUUUUGGAUAUUUCAUCAUGAUUUUGGGUAUCUCCAAUGUUUGGCUUCCUAAUAUUAUGAUCUGUCCCCCCUCUCUUCCCCAGAUAUCGAUGUGGAUGACAGACAAAAGGUAUCUCAAUAUUACAGCUGCUGAUGCUGCUGUUCAGCUGGACUUGAUCGCUAAAGUUAAAGGCAUAGAAGAAGCAGAAAAUUAUUUCAGUUAUAUCCCAGAAAAAAUAAAGGGCCUUGAGGUUUAUUCUGCUCUUCUCAACUGCUAUUCCAAUGUAAAAUCCACAGAUAAAGCAGAGGCCACCAUGCAGAAAAUGAGAGAUUUGGGGCUGGCUAGGACAACACUGGUUUACAAUAGCAUGCUUAAGCUUUAUUAUAAAACUGGAAAUUUUGAGAAACUUGACAGUCUGAUGCACGAAAUGGAAGAAAACGGCAUUACUUAUGACAGAUCCACGUAUUGCACCCGUCUUAGUGCAUAUGCUGAUGCUUCUGACCAUGAGGGAAUUGACAAGAUUUUGACAAUGAUGGAAGCAGAUCCCAAUGUUGCAUUGGACUGGGUAAUUUAUGCUACUGUAGGAAACGGGUAUGGAAAAGUUGGGCUUCUAGACAAGGCUUUAGCAAUGUUGAAGAAAUCUGAGGAACAAAUAAAGGGUGCAAAGGUCAAUAGCGCAUAUAACGUCAUUCUCACUUUAUAUGGAAAAUAUGGGAAGAAAGAUGAUGUUCUAAGAAUUUGGGAACUGUACAAGAAAGCAGUGAAGGUUCUCAACAAUGGCUAUAGAAAUGUCAUAUCUUCCCUGCUGAAACUUGAUGACCUAGAAAGCGCUGAGAAAAUUUUUGAGGAGUGGGAAUCCCAGGCUUUAUGCUAUGAUACCCGGAUACCAAACUUCCUUAUUGAUGCGUACUGCAGAAAUGGGCUUUUGGAGAAGGCUGAAAAUCUUAUAAACCAUGAGAAAUUGAAGGGAAGGGAGAUUCAUGUGAAGUCAUGGUACUAUUUAGCUACAGGGUAUCGGCAGAAUAAUCAAAUUCAUAAAGCAGUUGAAGCAAUGAAGAAAGUAUUAGCAGCUUAUCAAACUUUGGUCAAGUGGAAGCCAAGUGUGGAAAGCUUGGCUGCAUGUCUUGAUUACUUUAAAGAUGAAGGAGAUAUUGGUGGAGCAGAGAAUUUCAUAGAACUCCUCAAUGAUAAAGGUUUUAUCCCCACGGAUCUUCAAGACAAAUUAUUGGAUAACGUUCGAAAUGGAAAAUCAAACUUGGAAACUCUCAGGGAGUUGUAUGGUAAUUCUUUGGCUGGAAAUGAAGAAAUACUUUCAGGUCCAGAGGGUGAUACCAGUGAUUUGAUAGAAGAGAAAGUACAUUGAAACAUGAUUUCCGAAGACCUCUCUAACUUUCCCAUAACCUAGCAUUAGGUAGUAGAAGCAAAAUGAGCAUGAAGGUUUAUUUGGUGAUUGUAAGAGAUAUUUUCAUGUCCAUUUUGGGAUAAUGGCGAUGAAGCCACUUCUGAAUCCAUCAUCUUAGAUGGUUAAUGAAGGAAGUAUGUUUAUGUUUCUUCCAAAUUAUUUGUGGUGGUGGUGGUCGGAUAAAUGGUUGCUUUCACCCAAAACAAAAAACAAGUGAGAAAAUGAGGAAUCAUCCUUGUUUAUUCUCUGUAAAAAAUUAAUUUCUUGUUCAAAGAGACUCUCUUAAAGAUUCUGUAUAUCUCUGAAAGAAUUUUAAGGAAAGUUCUAUUCUUAAACGAAGGAUUACUACAUUUUUUGCACGAACAAUUUUUAAAUUUCACAAUUCUGAAACUUGCUGAUUGUAUAAAAAUAAAAGGUAAUGAUAUAGUCAUAAGUUUUUGUACAAAAAUAAAUAAAAAAUGUAUACUAAUCAGUCUAAUCUAAUUUAUUAAGACAUUAUGGCGUCACUUGGCAUGGUAAAAAUAAUUUUUUUUUCUUUUAUGAAAUAAUAAUUGUUUAAAAAAGACGAACAAUUUUACUACUCGUAUAAAGAAUUACUCAUCUCUGCAUACAAGCUACAGCAGCCGCGGCAGCCAAAAGUAACCAAAAUGGAGGAGCUCAAAGAAAACAAAAUGCACCUCAAAAACGACGACGUUGAAGUCGAAGAGGAUGAUGACCGGCCGAUGCUGAGCUCUCAAGCUUUGGCAGCUCUUCAGGAAUUCCUUUCAGAACAAAACCAAACUUCGGAAACUGCUCAAAAUAAAACAGAAUCAGACUCAGAUGAGGUGGCGUUAGUGUCGGAGGACUGGAGGCUGAGCCAGUUCUGGUACGACGCCGUUACGGCAGAGACUGUAGCUCAAGAAGCCGUUUCUCUUUGUAGUGAUUCCGAUUCUCGCGUUGCCUGUAUUGCUUGCCCUACGCUCUACGCUUACUUAAAGGUAAUUUAUUUAUUGAUUGAUUGAUUAUUUGUAUGUAUUUACUCUUUUUUUUUUUGGGAGAUAAAAUUGAUUCAUUUGAAUUUACAGAAAAUUAGACCUGAGGUGUCGGCGAAAAUACUUGAAUACGACAUGCGUUUUGAGCAAUAUGGAAGUGAUUUUGCGUUUUAUGAUUAUAAUCAACCGCAAGAUUUGCCGUUGGAGCUCAAGCAUGCUUUCAAUGUUGUUGUCGCAGAUCCACCUUAUCUGGUGAGAUUUUAUUAAUCAUCAUUUUAAUUUAUUCAAAAAUGGUUAAAUUGUUGAAAUGCUAGUAGCUUAGUACAUAAUUUUUUGUUAAUUUUUAAUCUGCUUCCAUGUAACUGUGGAGCAAUGAGAUUAAUAUUGGUGAUUAUGGUCGUAGAUUGGACGCAUAGUCACUACUAUUCUACUAAGCUUUUAAGCCUUUGCGAGGGUAGACAAUUUUUCUUGCCUUCUAAUGUCUAUGAUCUCUUAAUAUUUUGAAAAAUAAUCUUGUUAGAAAAAUGAUAAAUAAGUGUUUUGAAUUCCUUUGAGGCUUGGACACCCUGUGCCAACUCCAAGCAUUUUAUGGGUUAUUUAAAAAGGAAAAAUUAAGUUGGACUUGUUGCAAUUGCAUGAGUUCAUCCAUUUGUAUCUUACGUAUCCCUGGUAGAUGCAUGUGGCGGGGAACAUGAUUCCUAGUUCUAUGUCUAGCUGUGAGCAUAUUGUAUGGUCAAGUUUGGAAUCACAUGCUUAUAAAUGUAAGUAGAAAUUGAUGGGUUGAUUCUAUUGAUAUGUGUGAUCAACAGAGCAAGGAGUGUCUGGAGAAAGUAAGUGAAACAGUUUCUUUUCUUGCUAGACCAGGGGAUUCGAAGUUGCUUCUACUCACAGGUUGACAUUGAUUCUCCAUCCAUUCUUGUAACAUAAUUGCUCUUUAUAUGUUUGGUUUAUACCUUUUGAAAGAAUUUAGUGACCCUGUUAUUAGUUACUCUUACCACAUAAUUUUCUUAGGCUUUUCUUUGUAGCCUUUUCAUGGUAAAUUCGAUAGAUUGCAUUUGUGAUGGUUGCAGGUGAGGUGCAGAAGGAGAGAGCUGCAGAGCUUUUAGGUUUGCGUCCGUGUGGUUUUAGACCACAGCACUCUAGCAAACUUGGGAAUGAAUUUCGACUAUUCACAAACUAUGGCCCGGGUACGAGAUUAGGAGGGUGGGAGCAAGAGAACUAGGUGCAUGUUGCUUUCUACAACUGGACUAAUGUUACCUGGCCAAUGGUAUGACCAUAUGUGGUUUCUGUAUUUAUAGUCCUUGUAUUAUUUUGAUUGCUUAAAAAAAAAAAAAGGUAUAGAUAUCAGUUAGCUAAUAUCUUGAGCCAUGAUUGUCAUUCUAGUUUAGAUAUCUGACAUUUGAAUUAUGGCAACAGAUUUGAUUACAGUUUCUUAUUUUAGCUGCAAAAACUAAGAUGAUGGUGGGAGGCUUUCACUUUCGAGUUGUAAUUAUGGAAAAACUCCAGCUGAAUUGUGCUCUCAUUGCUCAGCAUGAAAGUGAACUGCAAGGAGAAUGUGUUUCUUUCACUUUGUUCUUGUGUUAUUUUCCUCUCUUACUUUUUUUUUCCUCGUUUUAAGACCAAUUUUGACAUUUAACUAUGAACCGGUACAUUAUCCUGUACGAAAUUGCAAAUUUGUAUGUUAUGAGAUAAUGUAGUCGGAAUAUUUCCAUUUUUUCCUGAUCUUCUCUUCCCCAAAGAAAGUGUGUAAACCCAAAAGCUUUUAGAAUUUUCAUCGUAUUUUACCCGGGAUGCAGCAUAGACUAACAAGUAGUUUGAAACGUAUACUCAUUGACGUUGUAUUAGAACUGCGGAAAGUUGUGCUCAAAUGAUGGAACAUUAUUAUAGAUUUUCACGUGGUGAGUGAUUUAUCUAAAUUAUGUGUGAAUUGUAGAAAAUUUGUGUGUAUACGAUAUGAGAUGCAUGACUCUAUAAUUAAUAGGUGAAUUGUAUAAAGUUCAAAUAAUGUAACAUAUGGUGCGAAAUUAUCUCAAAUUGUCUUGUAAUUAGUGAUUUUUAAAAUUAUGUGUGAAUUGCAUAAAAUUUGUGUGUAUACGAUAUGAGAUGCAUUACUCUAUAAUUAAUAGGAUUAAUUGAAUCCUUACUAAGUUUAUUUGAUUAUUGAAGUUAAAUAAGAAAUUAUUUUUAAUUUGAGUCUUAAUAUCAUGUCAUAUUAUUUAGGUAUUCAAAUAGUGACGUAUCUAAUAUUACUUAAACAAAUAUUAACUUUUGUGACAUCUUAUUUAAAAAAAAUAUCAAAAGAUCAAAAAGCACCUAAUUGUCAAACCUAAACUUACAUCAUGUUUGAAAUUGAGGUGAUAUAACUUUUAAAUUAUGUGAAAAAAAAGUUAUAAUUAUGAAAUAAAAGUUAAUAUUACGUAGUAAAUAUAAUUAAAAAAAAUAAUUUUGAUAAAAUUAGUAAAGAUAUAAUAGAUUUUUCAUUAUAUAAGUGUAAAAUUAAAUCAACUUAAUUUUUAAAUUAUAAUAAUUAAUAUUUACCAAAUAUUUUAGUGGCGUAACUUUUCAGGUACAAUUGUCUAAUCUCUUCCUCAAACAAGCUAAUCAAAUUGGACUAACAACUUUUAAUAUAUUUUGGCUUCAAAUUUUAUAAUUUCACAAAUAGGAGAAAGUUUAACAAUUUGUAUCAAAUAGGUCCACAGCAGGCAGUAGUGAUUUGGACAAUUGGACAGUAUAUGUCCUUAAUUAAGAAAAUGUUAAAGAUUCAGGGACCCGAAUGUUGUAAAGGAUUACUGGAUUAGGUGGAUCCGAACCCGAAGCAAAAAUUGGAAAUCUCUCGAGAUUCUGAGGCAUCGGUCAAGAUGCCACCUUUUUUUAUAAAAUGAUCGGCAGGUUCGCUAAAAGACUUCAAGUAAAAGUCACCGAGAAGCUUACUUCUUGACGUGCAAAAUGAGACCCAACAUUGUUUCGGAGGUAAGCUCAGUCAGAUCUAACACACUACAACUCUGUGUUGUUAGGGUUUCAUAAUUCGAAUAAUCGUGAUUUUUUUUAUUGCAAAGUAAAAACGUUACUUUCUUUCGUACUUGCCGAGAAAGUGUGAGAAAAUGUAACGAAAUGAAAGUUCUUGGAUCGUAUCUGUUGUUCUUUCUAAAAUUUGUGCUUCUUUAUGUUAGUUUCUAGCUUGUGAGCUUCAUUGUGUUAAUGCUGUUACUCUUCUGAUGUAAAAUUGUGCAUUCGAGUUGCUGUUGGUGUUCGAAAAGUGUGAGUGAUUGUCAAUUUUAGAGGAUUCUUACUGUAGCUAAAGAGCUGGUCGAAAAAUUAAAAUGUGUUUAUGAAUGAAUGAAUGAAGUAGAGAGAUCAAGGACUCAUUGGUUUUGGUCAGUUUCUUUGAGCUUAUAGUUGCUCUUUUUUUUUUUUUUUUUUUUUUUUUAAAUGCUAAAGUUGGAUAUUAAUUUGUUUAAUGUUUCUAAAACAUGUUUGUAAUUGCUGUGUUUUUACUUAAUUUUGAAAGUAAUGCAGCUGAAGUGUUAGAUAAAUGAUCCGCGUAUACUUGACACCUAGUAAUUUUAUGUCUCAUAGCAACUAUGGAUUUGUCACUGCAACCGAAUUCCAAACAUAUCCUUAAUCAUAUGGAGCUUUUAGCAUGAAGGAUGUGAUUGCUUCUUACGCCUUUAUCUGAUACUGUCUUUCUAUAAUGAUCUGAGAGUGUGCUUUUCUCAUUUCCAUAUUAGAUGAAAUGCUAAUUAAUGUGCUAAUUAUUGUGCCUCUAGGAAUCCAGAUCUAUAGAUUGGUCUAGACGGGGGGUUGUUCUGUCAGUGUUUUUGGUCGAAAAGAAUAUCCGUUACGAAUAGUUUUUCAACUUUAUGUAAUUGAUGUCUCACUUGAAUCUUAACUUGGUGUUUAUUGGUUUAUACUUUAUAGGCGGGGUUGUCCACCAGAGCGAAUCAGUGGUGGGAAAGUAUUCCAUUCUUUACUUCUGCUGUGGUGAUUGUUUGUGGGACAAUUUACUUGAUCUGCCUCUUGUUUGGAUACGAUUCCUUUUAUGAAAUAUGUUUCCUCCCAUCUGCAGUUAUAUCACGGUUUCAAGGUACAUUCAUGCAAUCUGACAAAGAUGAUUAUCAUUAUAAAUAUGUGGGUACAAACACAUUGAACCUUCUCUGUGAUAUGAUCAAAAGUUGGUCAUGAUCAUGUUGGAAAGAUUUUUCCUCAUUUUGACUGCAUGGCUGUAGUAUUUUGCGAGUUAUGUGAAUAAUUAGGAAUAACUCCGAAGAAACACUAUGUAAUUCUUUACACUAUUUACUGCAUGAUUUGUUGCUCCAAUGUAUCAUUUACCUGUUUUUUCUGUGAUUGCACUCAAGCUAUUUUGUUACGCCAAAAUGGAAUUAAUGAUUGCUUUGGUAACUGUGAAUUCUUCACCCUAUGUCACUAUCUUUUUUCCUGCAAUUGCGCUGUAGUUAUGUCGAUACGUUAAUAUGGAAUUAAUUAUUUCUUCGGUAACGGUGAAUAGUUCACACUUUGGAUUACAUAAAUCAAGCACUAACUCUAGCUAGCAGCUGAGUAGUAUUUGUUGGAAAUGGGAGAACAUGGAUCAUGGAAAUUUUCUGGAUAAUAAGCUCCCGUUCUUAGUUAGGGGUAAAUAGUCAACGGACUAGUCACUUAUGCAUACUUCCUAACUUAUGAUGGUAGUUUUUAGUUAUUUCUUCUACGAGCCUAUCAUGGGUCACAAAACAAUGCGCCAUUCUACAAAAAUAUAUGUUCUGACAAAUCAUAUCAUUCGUUAUACUGACCUUUUUUUAAAAUGUGUCCCUCUGUACUUUUUGAUCACAUGGGAUGGUAAUUGUCUGUUGCCGUUUCCUUUUGAAUGUAACAAUUAUUGUUCUUCCUCAUAUAUAUAUUUUUAUCGUAGUUUUUCAUUCUAGGAUAUGUACCCUCAUGAAGGAGAAAAAAAUGCAAUCUUCGAACAUGCCACUUGGUAAAUUUUGGACUUGGCCUUUUCUAACCAAACAAUGGCUGCCACAGGUCUCUGCAUGACUUGCAUUUGGGAACCAAAAACUCUCAUUUUAUAAGCCUCCUGGUGUUCUAGUUACAUUGUUGAUUUCAAUCUGGCUGUCCUAUCAGGAGGUUAAUAAUCCAUGUUACUUGGAUGUUUGUUUUAACUUUGAGAAGCAUUUCAAUUGCUAUUACCUAAAUAUAAUCCAUAUUCAAUUGUCAAUAGGAGAUAACAACAACAACAACAACAACUAUUAUUAUUAUUAUUUUUGUUGUUGUUGUUGUUGUUGUUUACUUCAUAUUACGAAGAAGAUCAUAUUUUUGUAAUUUUCUUAAGAGAGUGAAUCAUUUCUGUCUAUGAUAAUUAAUUUUACUCUUUUGUCUUGCAGUUUACAGGUUUUAUACCUCCAUUGUUUUUCAUGGUUCACUGCUACAUGUUCUAUUCAACAUGUUGGCUUUGGUUCCUUUGGGUUCUGAACUGGAGCGAAUUAUGGGAUCUGUCCGCAUGUUUUACAUUACUAUUUUGUUGGCCACAAGCAAUGCUAUUUUACAUCUUCUAAUUGCUUUGUUGGUAGCCCAUAUUCCAUUUUAUCGGUUACAGAAUGUCAUGGAUGAGUGUGCAAUCGGCUUCUCAGGAGUUAUUUUCUCUUUGAUCGUCAUAGAGACAAGUUUGAGUGGAGCCCAAUCUAGGAGGUUGGUUUUCUCUUCUUUCUUUUGGUCUGAUUUCAUAUUUUCAUAUGUGUGUGUGUACAUACUCCUACAACAGACAACCAGAUGGAUGAAUCCCUGUAUUUUAUCAUUGAGUAUAUAAUAUAAUGAUUUCUUUUUCAUUUUUGGCCAAUAUGCCUGCUUCUUGAACUGAGUUGCAACUUUAUUUUUUUCGUUCUGCAGUGUGUUUGGUCUCUUCAACAUCCCUGCUAAGUGGUAAAUGCAAUAACUUGCUCUUAGGAUGUGUGAUUAUGGUUUUCUUCUUCUUUUCUUUUCUAUCAUAUUCUUUUUUAAGUCUCACGAGGUGGCAUCUAAUGGAACAUUAUGCUCAGGUAUCCAUUGAUCUUAUUAGUACUGUUCCAGGUUCUUAUGACCAACGUCUCGUUACUUGGACACCUAUGUGGCAUUUUGUCUGGAUUUGCAUGUAUGUUCUCAGCUUUUCUUUCAGACUCUUUAUAUUUUCCUCUCAUAAUAUUAUAUGUUCAUUUAAAAUAUUUGCUCCUGGCUCUACAUUUUCAGAUACCUAUGGCUUUUUCAACCUCCUUAUGCCUGGAACAUCCUUCUAUUCUGCCAUUGAGUCUUCCUCUUUGCUUGUAAGUAUUUCAAUGGAACGGGAUUGUGAUGAUAGACGGACUUUGGUUUUCCUUUUCUUAUUGGAUUGCUUGGGCAUGUUGCCAUUUAUUUGUCUCUGGAUGAAUUGAGUUGCUUGGUUUUGGCGAAGCUAAGUGGAGUUGAAAAUAUUUGCAAUUGCUUUACUGGUCUGCUUAGUAAUUAAAAAAACUGAAGAAAUGUUUUAGAUACCGCGGGGUGUUGUCCAUUUGGUUUUACUUCUUGUCACAACUCUCAUCCACAUUUGGGAUCCUUGCCCUCCCAUAAAAUCCUAACGGCACUGAGUUUUCUGGCCUUAUAUGCAAACACAUAAGAAUCAGAUAUGCUAUUUGAGAUCUCUCUACAGAGACUUGUAUCCUGACUUGAGAUUGAUUACAUAUGGAACUGUAUUUAGGGUUGUAUGUCCUAUGUUAAAAUGUAUUUCUAGUCUUCUACACCUCCUCUAUGUGCAUUCUUUCUGAGCUUGCUUUUGUCCCUGCCCCCAUAGUUUAAGAAGCCAUCAUGGUUUUAAUAAUUUGUAUGUGGAAUGUUGCAUCACCUGAUACAGGUGUCUUAACUGUCCAAAGAAAAAAUACAGGCUUCUUAUCUGUUACCUAUAAGCAUAAUUAGAACAAAAUUUUAAAGUGAGUACUGGGGAGGGAAAUAUUAAUUGCUGACUGCCUUCCCAAGUGAUGAACUUGUGUCAAUUUAUCUAAAUAACCAUAGCAAUAUGGCUUCAUUUCAUGGAAACUUUGUGUAUGUUACUUUCCUUUUACCCUUACAUUUUCAUACAGAUAGCUUUAAAUAGUGUGUUGUUUUUGUGAAUGCCAGUCCACUUGCAUAAGACGGCCUAAAUUUAUCUUGUGUACUGGUGGGAAUCCUUCUGGCUACAUCCCAACAUAUUCUGGACAGAAUACAAGUUCCAGGUAAGAAUUGAGCUCCGUAUGCCAGAUUCUACUUUAUAUCCCUAAAAGGUAUAUAACUUGAUUAUUUUUAUUAAACAGUGGAUUGUUUUCUGGAAAUAUUUGGAGCAACUUGUCUUCUUGGAUGCCACAGAGGGAAACAUCAUCUCAGGUAUUAAAUCAGUUGAUUUUAGAGGGCUUUUCACAAUGUUAAAUAUGUUAUUCAAUAUGUUCCUUGUUUGUUAUGGUUGAUCUAGCCAAUUAGGGCACCUGAAAGGGAUAAUAUGGAUUUCUAAUUGGCCUUCAGCUUUGUUAAUUGAUGGUAGCUUUUCUGACUUGAACACAUGCCUGUGCAGUAGGAAUUUUACCAUUUCCUCUGCAAUUUUUGCAACUCAUAUUGUACGUUCAUUCAUUUUACUUCUGCUUCAAUUUACACCUGAAUAUGGAACCCUUGACAGCUUUGGUUACUUUUCUUGAACUAAUUAUGCACUGAAAGAAACAGCAAUUGUGGUUAUGAAGUUAUGCAGUAAAAAUACAAUGUAAAGAAUGUGUCAUGUGGGUGAUUUCUCUGUUUUUUGUUCAUAGUUUCCCUUAAAUCUGUCUUUAUUGCUUAAUGUUGUCCCAUUCCACUUUCCUUCUUUUCUUUUGCUGUCCCUGUAUUUCUCAAUCAUUGUAACCUGCAAUCUUUACUUAAGAUAACAUCAAUUAACCAAUCUCCUCUUACCGACAUGCAGCCAACACAAGAUAGCCGGUUCCCUGGGAGAGGAAGAACUCUUAGUUCCAGCCAAAGUCCUGUACAUGUAGAUUCAAACCUACAAGCUAGACUUCUGGAUAAUAGUAGUCCUGAAAACCGUUCCCAUAUGAUAGUAACUGAAACAGGAGACAGGCUAUCAGAUGAAAGGUAUUGCAAGAAAUUUCAAUGCAUCUAAAAAAUCAUCUUGUUUAAUGGUCUAAGUGUAGCUUAUUGAUUUUCUCACGUUAUUCCAGGCUAUCAGAUGAAAGUUAUUGCAAGAAAUUUCAAUGCAUCUAAAAAAUCAUCUUGUUUAAUGGUCUAAGUGUAGCUUAUUGAUUUUCUCACGUUAUUCCAGAUGUGAAUGCCCUAAAUUUUUUGGUUUACAUUCGUUGUGGUUCUGGUUGAGAAAUGUAUCAAGCACAUGAAAGACUUGAUUAUAUUUAUUUUGGGUAAUAUCUGUAUGAUCUUCAUUAAACUUUUGAUUGUAUUCUUUAUUAUUUUCAGGCAGCCAGCUCUAGGUACUGCAGUUGCGGUGGACAGAGUCCCUGCAGGCCAACAGGUUUUCUUUAUCCAUAUCUGGAGUUCAAUAUUCUUUUUACCUUUCUUAGGGUCCUCUAGUUCUUGAACAUUUCUUUGGUUUUCCUUCCUCUGGAUGCAGGGUGCAGUUGUCUCUGAUGAAGAAAUACAAAAACUUGUUUCAAUGGGUUUUGACAAGGUAAAUAUAUUAUGUCAAUUAAAUUAGUCUUGUUCUCUAUAACCAUAGUACUAAGUUUAGCAGUUCAAUGUUGUAUAUAAAUUUUUUUCCCAUUUAUUGCAAUUUUAUUUUGCAUUUGUAUGAAAUUGAGACUGAGGACUCAAAUGCCAUUGCUGGGCCUUGUUUCAGACUCAGGUUGAAGUUGCUCUGGCAGCAGCUGAUGGCGAUCUUAAUGUAGCAGUGGAAAUUCUCAGCCAGCAGGUACAUUCAAGAGUUAAGUUUUCCAAAAAUUGUGUUGAUUGACAUUCUUUCUCUGGAAUGUUUAGUUAAUGGACAAAAUUGUAUGCAGGGUUAAGUUCAUAAAGCAAUCUCACCCCGUGACUUCUCGUAUACAAAUCUCCUAUUACAUUUCAGUUGGCCAGUAUGAUCUGCUCUUACAAUGUCUGUGAACUAUGGUUCGUUUGGGUGCUGUAUGGUUAGAGGUGCUGUAUGGCCUUUCUAACGUGAUUACACAGAUUGGGGGAAAGAAAUAUUUGGGAGAAUAACAAUUAUGCUAAUUUCUGCUUAAAGAAAAGAAAGAGCCCUUUGUGUACAUGUUUUGAGUUUUGAAUUAAAAGAAGUGCAAUCUAAUCUUAGCUUUCUGAACAAAUUCAACUCUGUAAAUAUAAUCUCAUGCCGAUAUUUGUUAUGGGAAAUUGAGAUCAAAUCUUUAUUUAUCGAAUGUAGUCAGACAACAAGCAUCGAUGACUACUUGCAUUAUCAGGUAAUAUUUCCUUCAUCAAAUUGGCGAUAGCUAGGUUUUGGGUUUGCUCUCAAUUUUCUGGUUUCCGCCCAUGGAACUGCAAUUUAAGGACAUCACGAAAUGUGCGCUGUAGAAAUUUUUGGAUUCAAUUGAGCAACCGUGGAUCUAAAUCAAGACGUUUGCUACAACAUGACGCAUCUAACUGCUUGAAACGCAGAAGCCUAUUAGAAACAUGUUCGUCUAAUAGAUUAUGUUUAGUUGAAGUAGAUAAUAGUGGCUGUAAUGUUAAAAAAACAUUUCAGCUGCAGAGUUAUUGAUUAAUUCAAGGUUAUUAGUAACAUUUUAGGUAACAAAUCUUUUGUGUCCAUAAUACAUCCCAAGAUGCCAAAUGCAAUCAGCUGUAUAUUUCCUAAGGACACGAGAACUUGAUAGUCCCGGGAUUUCGAUGACUUCACAAAAGGUCAUGUGGCAAUGAAGCAGAAAUCUCUUCAACUUUCAUUAGGUCAAAUAUCAUACUCUGUUGUCGAGCAGAUAGGAGAUGCAGCCACUCCACCUGGAUUGAUCGGCAGUCAUAAUUAUCCUUUCUCUCGUCGAUUGUCAUUCUCCCUUCCUUGAGCGUUGCCAAGGCCAUGAGGAGUGCCAUUAGACCCUACAAAAUGUCUUGCUCGGGUUGGGGGCCUUUCAGCGGUGAAUAAUAAAUCACUGAUUCUCAGUCUAUCCUGCAAUAGACGAAACAAUUUCAAUUGUAUCUCACAUCAAUUACAGACUUCUAUUUGUGUGCCCUUGCAUGUCCAGUGUGUCCAGAAAGAGAGACAGAUGUAUAGAUUUUUUCCAAUCCAGCAAAAGCAAUUAUAGAACUUUUGGGGGAAAAAAAAUCUACCUUGAAAUUACUGCCGCAUCUGCGUGCAAAAUGACCUUCCUUGCCACACUUGUAACAUAUAAGAUUGGAUCUUUUACCAUUAAGAGCUUCACAUGAGUUUGUGCAUUCCUAGUAUAAACUAAUUCAAUAAGAUAAUGAUAAACCUCAACCGUAAUACACGUUUUGCCGCUAAAAAGCAGAAAAAUUACUUACAGGACCCAAAUGGCCAGACUGCCCACAGUUGUAACAGGAGACUUGCUUUAGACCUAUGAUUGAGGAGUUGACACAGCAAAGAUGACCGAAACUCUUGCAAAUGUAGCAUUGUAUCUUCUGCCCACAUGAGAAAAAUUAUCACCAUUAAAGAGCAAGCAAGAAUCACUUCAAUUUGGGGACUUGCUGUUUGCUAUAUGAUAAGAAGAGAGGGGGACAAUAAUAUAUCUAUAUAUAGACAAAAAGACUCGUAAAACUGCAAGAUAAAAUUCGGACCUUGAGAUCAUCAGCGUGGUAUUCUCCCUCACAUGAAAACAAGUCGUGUCCUGAAUCCCCACACCUUAAGCAAAAAUUAGAACUCAAAUUGUUGCCCUGGUCCGUCCCAGGACAAUCACUGGCAAGGUGCUCUGAUCCUUUGUUGAUAAAACAAUCCUGGCCCUGCUGGUAUACAAGGUGGCCUCUGAAUAAGUUAUGAUGUAACUCUUAAGAGGCUAACGAUGGAAUGGAUUAUGGCAGAAAAAUCUAAGAAAUAAGCAAUGAAAUGCAAGAUGCAACUUGGCUUUGAAUAAACCUUUUUAAUUCCUGGAGAUCUUCUGUUGGUGGAGUUUUAAUUGUUAUUCUUGACAACAGCUUCAGAUUUUUGUGGACAUUUCUGAGGUAACGAGAAGUCAACAGAUUAGCAGUCGUCAUUUAAGUCAGAGGCAGUUUUAUGAUAAGCCUAGGAGUUCAGUCAACUGGAUGGUGGGCUUGCAAAAUCUAUCUACCUAAGAUAUAUUAUUGCUUUGAAAUUGAUAGUAUGAUUCAGAAUGAAACAUUUAGGCUCCGCAUGAAAAAUACCAAAGACUGACUUUUCAUUUGAUAAGUACUGUAAAAGAUCCAAUUCCAUAUUUAGCGCAGAUACAAAGUUUCAUAUGUCACAAUACUCAUACGGAAAAAUCUAGAGCCAAAAAAUAGUACUUGAUAAUAUCUUUUGCAGUUAAAUGAAGUGAACAAAAGAAAAUCCAGACACACGAGAAAAGUUGUAGAGUGAAUGCUACUACACCUGUUUGCAAUUCUUCCACCUGUGCUUGAAACUCCCACAAAGGAAGCAUGGUUUAUUCUGCUUUUGCAUUUUGCAGGUUGCUGCUGUGUGAUUUUCUUUUCCACAAUUUGAGCAUGUUUCUGAGUUCCAGCCUGGAGGAUCAAAAUAUCUUGGUUUCCGAAGAAGCAUACGGAGCACAACAUUAUAUUUUGCCUCAUUUUCUUUCCUGGCAUCUUCAACCUUAUCUUUAGCUUCAAUUACACGAGUCUUCUUUCUCCUUUUCUUCUGCUGCCUCUCCCCUACAAUUGGCCCUACGGAUACCGUAUCUUCAACCCUUCUGCCCAAACGCAUGUCUGAAAGUGGUUUAUCAUCCUCUAGGCGCAAUGAAUAAAGGUUGUUCAUUUCAACACUCUUUACCCCAUCAUUUGCUCCUGUUAUUGUUGCUGUUGUCUGCACAGCUUUACCCAUAUCUUCAACGCUUCUCUCCAAGCUCACACCCGAAACUGAUUUAUCAUCAUCUGUGGAGGACAAACAAAGAUCAAUCACUUCAAAAGAAUUUCCCCCAUCAUUCCCUCCCACCACUCUUACCAUUGGCAUAGGUUCACCCAUGCUUGCACCCUCAUUAUCCUUUGCAGGAUCAAUAAAAAGAUGCCGGGACCCAUCCAUUUCUGUUGUCAGAACUGAUUCAGGUUUUGAAACCUCUACUACUUUCAAAGGUUGAUUUUUAUCUAGCUGCCCUUUCUCCUCUUCAGCACUAACACUAACAUCCUCUUGACCACAAAAUUCAAUCUCCCUCUUCUUUCUCUUUCUAUUUCUCUUCUUUCUCCUCAUAAAAGCCUCUGCCUCUAUCAUGGCUUUCAGGUUAUCAAAGCCACUCAAAUCUGAUAUCUUUUCAUACUCAUCAAGCUUAGCUCUAUUUGCUCUUCUUCUUUUCUCUUCUCUUCCAUUUCUUUCUGUUUCUUCAACUUUAUUCAAACCGUCAUCCUGACCUAACUGCCCUUGCUCCUCUGCAACGUUAACCUAAACGCACUAUGCAUUAUUAGAAAACAAAGCUCACAAAACAACAAACAUGCAGAUACCAAGUCCAAAAAAAGACCAAUGCAAAAUCAUUUUAAAUGAAAUCAAGCAAGAGAGACUUUUAAAUGAAAUCAAGCAAGAGAGAUUUGGUAUCUUUAUAUAUUCAAGAUUCAAAACUAAGCUCUAUAUAUUUCUCUUCAAACAUUUUCCUUUCUUUAACCUCACCGUUUCCCAAUAGCCAAGCACAAAAUGGGAUAAUAGAUUAUUUAAAUAAUAAAAAAACACGUACAGUGUCAUUCUCCUGAGCACAAAACUGAGUCUCUAAAUUGCCCCUCAUCCUCUCACUACUCUUUCUCCUCAUAGGAGCUUCCGCUUCUAUCAUGGCUUUAAGGUUCUCAAAUCCGGUCAAAUCAGCUACCUCUCUGUACAAAGAAUCAAGCUUUGUCUUAUCCUUCUUCUUCUUCUUUCUAUUUCUCUUCUUCUUUCUCUUCAUGAUAGACUCAGCCAAAAUCAUAGCUUUCAGAUUGUCAAAGCCAGUAAGGUCAGCAAUCUCUUUGUACUCAUCAAGCUUAGAUUUUGCAGCCACCCCACGUUCUAUAUUCUUCUCUUUGCUCCCAUUUCCUUCUUCUUUCUCUUCUUCACUGCUUGUUAUCACUGUGACGGGGCUAUUUUCCAUCUUCACUUCUAGUGUUUUCCCCGAAUAUGACUGGGGAAAUGGGCUGCUGCCUCUCCGUAGUGAAAGGCCGAAUGCCACCUUAAAAUUUCCAAAAAAAUAAUAAUAAAUUAAUAACACUAAAAAUUCAUAUUAUUUUCGCUUUUAUCUUUUUUUAGCCUAAUAAAGAAAAUAUAUCAACUAACUUGGAUGCGGUUUAACCGUACGGCCCCCAACAAUCAUUAUUUGCUUUCAGACCCUCAGUCUUGUCAAGUUUUACAUGAGAUUUUUCAUUAAGCAUCCAUUUUCCUAGUCCCUGUGUUUCUUUCAUUUCUUCUUUAAUAAUGGUUAUGCGUUAUGGGUAGUAGUGAAGAAAACUAUAUUAUAAGAAUAUAUUGACCACAUAUGGGUAGUAGUAAAUCAUAUGUAUUUUAGUUCAAAGUUUUUAAAUUGGGAUAAUUUUUAACUAUAAUAUAGAUUUUUAUACAUUUAGUAGUUAAUGUUUAUCGUUUAUUCAAAUAUUAUAUUUAAUAGUUAAUGAUUCCAUCUCGUAGUAAAAUUAUGGCUUAUCACUCAAUCUCAAACAUACAUUACAUAUCUUAAUGUAGUAAAAUUAUGACUUACAACUCAAUCUUAAUUAUACAUUGAAUAUCUUAAUGUUGUAUUGUAUUGUACUCUAUUUCGGGACAUGUAAUUACUCUAAGAUACAUGCCAAAUGUCUCAUUUCACCUAAUAAAUAAAAAAUAAUAAUUUAUAUUUUUAAUCAUAAAGGCUAGAAAAUAACAAUAAUGAGUAGAUAGAGAUCCCUAACAGUAGGGAGGAGCAUUUGAUGAUAUCAAUGAUAUUUUAUUCUAGAUGAUCAUCUUAUCAUAUACUUUCAACUUUUUCUUUUGAAUUGAAUUCUUUCAUGCAUUAAUAUAGGUGUAUCUCUCUCUCUCUCUCUCUCUCUCUCUCUCUCUCUAUAUAUCAAAUAUAAUUCGUUUUAGGUUUGGAUAUCUACUAAGACUCCGUUUGGUAUAUUUUUUCAAUUAAAACUUAUUUAAGUAGAGUUUUUGUUAAUAAAAUUUUUAUAAGUAAAGUUUUUUGCACAAACAAAUUUAUGGUGCGUUUGGUAUUGUUUUUCAACUAGUAUUUUUGAAUUUCCUUUAAAAAAUAAAAAGGAUUAGUUUUUGGUGAAAAUGAAAACGUGUUUGGUAGUUUAUUUUAAAACUAACAUCAAAAAAUAAAAAAGAGUAAAAUGUGUUUGGUAGUUUGUUUGUAAAAUAUAAAUAGUAAAAAUGUAUUUGAUAUAAUUUUUAUGAAAAUUGUUUUAGAAUAGUUAUAUGAUAUGUAUAAAUUUUAAAUUUAUCUUUUUUUUUUAUUUUAGAUAUUUUUGAAAAAAUGAAUAAACAAGUAAAAUAAUGUAGUAAUAAAUAUUAAUAUAAAAUUAUAAGUUUGUAUAUUAUUACAAAGAUUUAUUAAAUAAAAUAUUAUAGAAUAAUUUAUAGAACAUCCAUAAUUAUUUCAAAAAAUUAUUUAUUAUUUUAUUUUAAAAAAAUUUUAAACAAAAAUUAUUGCAUAAACAUAAUAAAAUUUAUUUUAUAUUUAUCAUUUUUCAUUAAGCAUCCAUUUUCCUAGUCCCUGUGUUUCUUUCAUUUCUUCUUUAAUAAUGGUUAUGCGUUAUGGGUAGUAGUGAAGAAAACUAUAUUAUAAGAAUAUAUUGACCACUUAUGGGUAGUAGUAAAUCAUAUGUAUUUUAGUUCAAAGUUUUUAAAUUGGGAUAAUUUUUAACUAUAAUAUAGACUUUUAUACAUUUAGUAGUUAAUGUUUAUCGUUUAUUCAAAUAUUAUAUUUAAUAGUUAAUGAUUCCAUCUCGUAGUAAAAUUAUGGCUUACCACUCAAUCUCAAACAUACAUUACAUAUCUUAAUGUAGUAAAAUUAUGACUUACAACUCAAUCUUAAUUAUACAUUGAAUAUCUUAAUGUUGUAUUGUAUUGUACUCUAUUUCGGGACAUGUAAUUACUCUAAGAUACAUGCCAAAUGUCUCAUUUCACCUAAUAAAUAAAUAAUAAUAAUUUAUAUUUUUAAUCAUAAAGGCUAGAAAAUAACAAUAAUGAGUAGAUAGAGAUCCCUAACAGUAGGGAGGAGCAUUUGAUGAUAUCAAUGAUAUUUUAUUCUAGAUGAUCAUCUUAUCAUAUACUUUCAACUUUUUCUUUUGAAUUGAAUUCUUUCAUGCAUUAAUAUAGGUGUAUCUCUCUCUCUCUCUCUCUCUCUAUAUAUCAAAUAUAAUUCGUUUUAGGUUUGGAUAUCUACUAAGACUCCGUUUGGUAUAUUUUUUCAAUUAAAACUUAUUUAAGUAGAGUUUUUGUUAAUAAAAUUUUUAUAAGUAAAGUUUUUUGCACAAACAAAUUUAUGGUGCGUUUGGUAUUGUUUUUCAACUAGUAUUUUUGAAUUUCCUUUAAAAAAUAAAAAGGAUUAGUUUUUGGUGAAAAUGAAAACGUGUUUGGUAGUUUAUUUUAAAACUAACAUCAAAAAAUAAAAAAGAGUAAAAUGUGUUUGGUAGUUUGUUUGUAAAAUAUAAAUAGUAAAAAUGUAUUUGAUAUAAUUUUUAUGAAAAUUGUUUUAGAAUAGUUAUAUGAUAUGUAUAAAUUUUAAAUUUAUCUUUUUUUUUAUUUUAGAUAUUUUUGAAAAAAUGAAUAAACAAGUAAAAUAAUGUAGUAAUAAAUAUUAAUAUAAAAUUAUAAGUUUGUAUAUUAUUACAAAGAUUUAUUAAAUAAAAUAUUAUAGAAUAAUUUAUAGAACAUCCAUAAUUAUUUCAAAAAAUUAUUUAUUAUUUUAUUUUAAAAAAAUUUUAAACAAAAAUUAUUGCAUAAACAUAAUAAAAUUUAUUUUAUAUUUAUCAUUUUAAAACCAAAGUUUUAUAUUUGUAUUUAAUAUCUCUCUGGGCCCACUAUUUUUUUUAUGGUAAAAAACCACAAAAGUCACCAAAGUGUGGUCCCCGUACAAUUAAUGCAUGCAGAAUAGAAAACAAAAUUCAGAGAGUGCAAAUAUUGUGUUUUCUGUAUUUGUUAAGAAAAGUUAAAGAAUGGAAACAUUUAAUUCUCCUUAAUUUUCCAUUAUAGCUACGAAACGCCCUGGCCAAACGCAUUUUCUAUUUUAUUAUUUUUGCAAAACAAAAAAGGUCCAGUAAAAAAUGAUACCAAAUGGGCAUCUUUAGUUAUUUGGUUGUCAAUGAAAUUUUUUAUUAAAAAUUAUAAAAUUAUUUUAAUAGGUAAGUUUUUUUAAAGUUAUGUUAUGAAAAGUAUAAAAUAAGAUUGUUAAAUAAGUAGAUAAUAUUUUAAAUAUUUUAUUAUUUUUAAAAAAAAAUUCAAUCUCUAUUCCCAAAGUCCAAAACUUAAGAUUUUAUUAGUAAAGACAAAAUAUCUUAUUUAAUCUUCAAAAGCUCUAUUAAAAAAAAAAAUCAAACAACAACAAGAAUUUUGAUAAGAGUUUAUAAGAUUAAAUAAGUACUUAUGACAUACCAAACAUACAUUAAAGCUGAUUUUUGGCGGGGUUUGAAUAAGUCUUUAGAUAACUCAAUUUGUUAUUCUUAAGGAAUUUUAAAAAAUAAAAAUAAAGUUCACUCAGAUGAUCCACAAAAAUGCUCUACGAAUCUUCGAAGUUAGUUUCUCAUUGUAUUUUUUACUCUUGACAGCUAAUAAUUUGUGAACCAAUGAUAAUAUAAAAUGAAAAAUAAGAGUUGUAAGGGAGUGAGAGAGAGCCACUCGAUGUUGUCAAUUAUGACAAUAUAAAAUGUACUCUCGUCACUUGUCAAUUAUCUCACUAUUAUAAAUUUAAAAAAAUAUAUAGAUUAUAAGAGAGAGAAAUUUUAGAGCCGGAUGUUCCAUUUGGGUAUGGACCCAAUGGGUUUCAGAUAUCGAAUUUUUCAAAAUAUCUAUUGAUUGACAAAAUUGCACGCUAUUAUUUUUGUUGUCAUAUAAUUGAAAAUGUUUUUAAAAUUAAUUCUCUUUUAUAAAAUUAAACAAUUUAAUUAUUCACGGAGCUAUUAUAACCAUAAUAUACUUGUAAAAUUAUGUUAAUUUGUAAUGAUUGCAUGUAAGGUGUUGAAAAAUAUGUAUGUACUCUCUCAGACAAGGGGUUUUAUAUAUAUUUGUAUAUUUAUAACUUUUUGAAAGCUAAUUAUAAGAUAUGUUAUUACUCAAUAAUAGUGCAAAGAAGGGAUUCAAUUAUAAUAUUGAAUUGAUGUUAAUAUUUAAUACCAUAUAAAUAGAUAUAUACAAUGUUUAUAAAUCGCAUGUUGUUUAAGUUAUAAGUUUAGCACGUCGGGUGUAAUACAACUCAACUAAUAACGCGUUCAAUACUUAUUAAUUUGAUGUCCGUAGAUAUUGAUUCUACCUGCAAUAUCAUCAAUUUGAUGAUGUUUUGAUCCUAAUAAAUAAAUCAACUUUGUUAGGUUCGCCCAAAGCCAAAACAUUUGAAUGUAUUUUUUUUUUUUAAUGCUUCUUCUCUCACAGUAAUUUAGACCAAGCUGUGAAUAAUCCAAUUCUGAAAGUACCUAAUUCUUACUUACGCAAAAUACAAUGAGAAAAAACAUCACGUUCAAGAGAAUCUUUUUGUAUGUUGUUUCCUUCGAAUUCGUCCAUUUGUCAGGCAAAUAUCCCAGCCUCCCCAAUUCAGUUAAUCUAUUUUUCUUUUCUUUCAUUUUCACGGAAAAUUUUUCAAAGCAAGUGGGACCCAUAUGCAACCACUAAUAUUAUAUUUAAUCGCUUAGUGGGAAAAUAAAUGAUAACAAUAAUGGGAAAAUUAACAAAUAGAUCCCUGAUUUUCGAUGAUUUCUGAAAUAAUGGCUUUAUUUAUUCAUUUGUAUCAAAUGGGUCUUUGUUCUUUUGAAAAAGGUCUGAUUUUUAUCCCAAAUUAAGGUGAUAGUACUAAAUUACACUAAUUAAAUUUCUCACCCAACUUCAAGUUUCUUAAUUACUUGACCAUCUAGUAAAAUAAUAAUAAUAAUAAUAAUAACAACAACUAAUCUCUUUUAUAGUCUAGUACUCAACUUACCUGACUAUAAUAGAUAUACAAAUAUUAAUUUAGUACUUUCUUGUGUAUUUUUAAGAUAAUCAUGUAUUAAUAGAAUAUUAGAAUUCAAAGAAAAUUCAUGAAAAAUUUUCAUAUGUCUUAGGUUUAUAGGGCGUAAUUUGCACUACAAUAGAAAUAUCAAAUUCAAUAUUAUAAGAGCAAUUCAAUAGAAGUUAAGAAUUUAUUUGAUAUAUAUAAAUGGACAAACUGUGCCUUCAUUUAAGAAAUUAUACAAAAUCAAAGGGGCCAGAUGUUAUUAACCGUAUAAUAAUGAUAAUAAUGGAGAAUGAAGAAAGUGUAGCAUCCUUCAAACAGACUCAGUGAAUACCAUUGGACAACUUUUGCUUCAUAGUUUAUUAAUUGCACACAUCAUUGUAUUUUCAUUGUGGUUGGCAGCAGGCGGAGCAAUCUUUAAUUUCUUUUCUUUUUACCCUUUUGUUUAAUGAUUGCUAGAAAAUGACAAGUUAAGAGGAAACAAAAGCACUAAUUAAGAUAACUAAUUAAGGACACAGAGAAAACAAAAUGUGAAGAAAAAGCUAUGAUGAUGGCACAAUGGCAAGUAAGUGGAGACAGUUAGAUUGACUUUGAAGACAAGGGAAAUCAAGUAAAAGGACUAAGAAAAAGAGAAAAAGUAGGCAAAAGGGUUCUUGAUUUUUUUGUUUAUUUUGGUUCAUGGUGAGUCACUUUUAAUGUCCAAAGCACUGAAGAGGAAAGUUUAGCAGGCAUGGCUGAACUCAGAUUGCUCAUCUUCAUAGCUUUGUUUAGCUUCCACAUUCAGUUAAUCUCCAGCACUACAGAUUCCCGCGACGGUAAUUAAUUUCACAUUGUACAAGUAAAUUAAAUAGUGUGUAGUAUAACAUAUAUGUACUAUUUGGCUAUGUUCUGCAAGAAUUCAUCAUGCCAAACUCAGUAUGAUUGCUGAUUUUAUUGAGUUUAAAAUAUCAUGUAACUUUGUAGCCGCGGCUCUACAAUCUUUGAAGGAUGCAUGGCAAAAUACACCACCAACCUGGAAAAAUUCCGACGAUCCCUGUGGAUCCUGGGAAGGAGUUACUUGUAACAAUUCCAGGGUCACUGCACUGUAAGUACAAUUCUAUAUUUCAAGAUUUUUUUUUUUAAAUUCAACAUUAUUUUCAAUAGAAGCAAAGCUCACUCGUCACAUAUGCAUUAUGUUUUCAGGGGAUUAUCAACCAUGGGACUCACUGGGAAACUCAGUGGAGACAUUGGAGGCCUCACAGAAUUGAGAUCCUUGUUAGUAUCCUUCUCAAGUUUUCUAGAAAGUUUGCGGCAUAUUUCAACUUAUUAAGCAUAUCUUAUAUGCGUGUUGAAUUCAUUUGUUCCAGGGACCUGUCAUACAAUGGAGGCCUUACAGGUUCCUUAUCUCCGCGAAUAGGAGAUCUCCAGAAGCUGAAUAUCCUGUAAGAUCUUAUACUAGACGAAUCUGCAAGUUUCGGAAAAUCCUGAAUCUUUAUACUCGGCUAAUUUGUUUUUGUAUUUCAUAUGAUUUGGAUAAUGUUUUCCAUCUUGCAGGAUUCUAGCUGGCUGUGGUUUCACCGGCAAUAUUCCUGAUGAAAUUGGAAACUUGGCAGAAUUAUCUUUCUUGUAAGAAUAAUUCUAACUAGUCAAUUCAGUAUAUUUUUCUUUUUCUCAUUGUUCAAUUUAUUUAAAAAAAAGACCUACACACAAUUUCCAGGGCACUGAAUUCAAACAACUUCAGCGGUCGAAUUCCUCCUUCUUUGGGUAAGCUCUCCCAGCUUUACUGGCUCGAUCUUGCAGACAAUCAGCUGACAGGAUCAAUUCCAGUUUCAACAAUAACCUCCCCAGGAUUGGAUCAACUCAAAAAUGCUAAGCAUUUGUAAGUUAUUUAUUUAUUAUUAUUAUUUUAUUAUUAUUAUUAUUAUUAUUAUUAUUUUUGGGUGCAUAUCAAUCCAUCUUCAAAGUGAACACAAGGAAGUAUGAAUGAUUAUUUUCAUGUACUUUGCAGCCAUUUUAACAAAAACAAGCUUUCGGGUACCAUUUCCGAACAACUUUUCAGCCCUGACAUGGUACUGAUACAUGUGUAAGUUCAAUAUCCACCCAUCAUUCAAUUUUAGUUUUCUCUUUAUUUCACUCACUUACUGAGUUUGGUUCUCAAUUUCAGAUUAUUUGAUGGAAAUCAACUUUCUGGGAAUAUCCCGGAAAGUUUAGGAUAUGUUCAGACUCUUGAGGUUCUGUGAGUAUAAAUCUCCUCAUAUUCAACAUUUUUUUUUCAAAUUAAUCCCUUUCCAUUUGACUAGCCAUCUUGCUUAUUUCCAUUUUACUGGAAACUUUGUUAAUCUGCAACAGCCGGCUUGAUAGAAAUGCUUUGACAGGCAAAGUCCCAACAAAUCUCAAUAACCUCACAAAUGUCAAUGAAUUGUGAGUGUUUGUUUUUUAAGCAAAUGAGGCAAUGCUUUUGUUACUAUAGAAGUUGGUGAAUUAUGAAAUUUCUUCUACAUGAAACAAUGUUUCUCUUUCAGGAAUUUAGCUCACAAUGAUCUUAAAGGCCCUUUUCCAGAUUUAAGUCAAAUGAACUCCCUUAGUUAUGUGUGAGUUUCAUAAUAUUGAAGCUACUAUUUCCAGUUAAUUCCCCAGAAAGUAUUGCUUGUUCCAUAAGAGAAAAAUCUGAUCAAUGAUUUAUCAUAUCAUAGGGAUCUUAGCAACAAUUCAUUUGACCCAACAGAAGCUCCACUUUGGUUCUCAACUUUACCAUCACUCACCACAUUGUAAGUCUUCUGUCAGUCACAGAAUACAGUUAUGAAAAAUCCCCUGGACUAUUUCCAAAUCAAAUCUCACUCUGGAGCUCCACAGGAUUUGUGAAUUUGGAUCUCUCCAAGGCCGUGUUCCAGAUAAACUCUUCAGCUAUUCACAAAUACAGCAAGUGUAAGUUUCUAGUAAAGUAUAACCCUGUGAAGAAGAAUGGUAUAAUUCUCAAUUUUCAUUCUUGUAAAUCCGUUGCAGGAAACUGAGGAACAAUGCUUUCAAUAACACAUUGGACAUGGGAAAUGCUGUUGGUCCACUGUUGCAACUCGUUGAUUUGCAGAACAAUCAAAUUUCUGCAAUAACACUGGGUUCAGGAAUCAAAAACUAUACGUUAAUGUGAGACUACUCAUCAGCCUCAAUUCUCAUUGUAAAUGAUACUCUACCGUCUCUUUUCCAUUAUUCUUACUUAUCAAGUGAUGUUAUGCAUUUCAGACUUGUUGGAAAUCCGGUAUGCACGGCAACUCUGGCAAAUACUAAUUACUGCCAGCUUCAACAGCUGACCACAAAGGCCUAUUCCACAAGCUUGGCUAAUUGUGGAGGCAAAUCAUGUCCUCCUGAGCAGAAGCUGAGCCCUCAGAGUUGCGAAUGCGCCUAUCCAUAUGAAGGAACAAUGUAUUUCAGAGGACCAUCCUUCAGAGAAUUGUCCAAUGUCACAGUGUUUCACUCGCUGGAAAUGAGUCUGUGGGUGAAAUUAGGCCUCACACCUGGAUCAGUUUUUCUUCAGAAUCCUUUCUUCAAUAUCGACGACUACCUACAGAUUCAGGUUGCACUCUUUCCAUCUGGUGAAAAAUCUUUUAACAGGUCAGAAGUUCAAAAGAUAGGAUUUGAACUGAGUAAUCAAACCUACAAGCCUCCUAAGGAGUUUGGUCCCUAUUAUUUCAUUGCUUCUCCUUAUGCUUUCCAAGGUAACUUAAGUCUGUUUCUUUAUAACAGUCAACAAAAUAACAUCGAGAAUGGUGAUCUGACAAGAGAAUAUACAAAUAUGUUUUAGUUCCGCAGGGAGGUAAUUCUAUCAGCCCAGGAGUAGCUGCUGGAAUAGCAUGUGGAGGAGCCGUUCUAGUUUUAGGACUGGUAGGAUUAGGGUUGUAUGCUAUUCGGCAAAAGAAAAGAGCUGAAAGAGCGAUUGGAUUGAGCAAACCAUUUGGUAACAAAUAUUUUCGACAAUUGUCCGUUAUAUUGACCGAGUAAAUUGAGUUGCAAAUAUUAACAUACUGUAGCUGCCAACAUGAGAUCAUACCGUUUGAAUUCUCUGUUUUUGCAGCAUCCUGGGCACCGAGUGGCAAAGACAGUGGUGGUGCUCCUCAAUUAAAGGGAGCAAGAUGGUUCUCAUACGAUGAACUUAAAAAGUGCUCGAAUAAUUUCUCAGAAAGUAAUGAGAUAGGCUCUGGCGGCUACGGCAAGGUAAAUGCUCUUCUUGUUUAAAUAUUUGUGAAAUUUCGCUAACCUGCUGUUCGCUCAUCUUUUUCUGUUUUAUGCAGGUCUACAGAGGAAUGCUUUCUGAUGGACAAGUUGUGGCAAUCAAAAGAGCUCAGCAAGGAUCAAUGCAAGGGGGGCUGGAGUUCAAGACAGAGAUUGAAUUGCUUUCGCGUGUUCAUCAUAAGAAUCUCGUCGGUCUUGUGGGAUUUUGUUUUGAACAAGGAGAACAGAUGCUGGUUUAUGAAUUUAUGGCAAAUGGAACACUCAGGGAGAGCCUAUCUGGUAAUUUUAUCCUCAGUCUUGCUGUUUGCUUAAACAUAAGUUUCGACUUGUCAUCAUAUGGCAGCAAGUUUAUUCGCAAAAAUAUGUUUUGCAGGGAGAUCUGGCAUUCAUCUUGAUUGGAAAAGGAGACUAAGAAUUGCUCUUGGCUCAGCUAGAGGAUUAGCUUACCUACAUGAGCUUGCAAAUCCUCCUAUUAUCCACAGAGAUGUUAAGUCCACCAACAUUCUGUUGGAUGAGAACUUAACAGCUAAGGUUGCAGAUUUUGGCCUGUCUAAACUUGUAUCAGACAGUUCAAAAGGUCACGUUUCAACUCAAGUCAAAGGCACAAUGGUGAGUACACUCAAUCCACAUCUCUUAUUUACUCUGUACAGACUUUGUAAUAGUUGGUUCAACUGGCAUGCUCUCUUGCUAUACACAAUACUUUUCGGUUUAAUUCAUUUGCAAGAGUAUGUUUGGUUGCAGGGUUAUCUAGAUCCUGAAUAUUACAUGACUCAACAACUAACUGAGAAGAGCGACGUGUAUAGUUUUGGAGUGGUUAUGCUUGAACUUAUAACGGCUAAGCAGCCGAUUGAGAAGGGAAAGUACGUUGUCCGCGAAGUAAGAACGGCUAUGAACAGGGACGACGAAGAGCAUUAUGGCUUGAGGGAGAUGAUGGAUCCAACCAUCAGAAACACCGUCCUGCUAGGAUUCAGAAGGUAUCUGGAAUUGGCAUUACAAUGUGUUGAAGAAUCGGCCACGGACCGGCCAACAAUGAGUGAGGUGGUUAAGGCCAUUGAAACCCUUUUGCAAAAUGAUGGGAUGAACACAAACUCCACUUCAGCAUCUUCAUCUGCUACAGAUUUUGGUUCUUCAAAAGGUGUCGUUAGACAAAUCUAUGGUGAUGCAUUGCCUAAUAAUAAGAAGGAUAUCAAUGACACUAAUGCCUUUGAUUACAGUGGGGGAUACACACUUUCUGCUAAAGUUGAACCCAAGUAGAGGAAAGCACUUUCUCUUUUUUCUUCAAGUUUUAAGUUUUUAGAUAACUUGUGUGUAUUACAAGGGAAAUGUUGUAUGCUUAGUGUGCUUGUCUGCUGAGAGCAAAAAAUUAUUUUGCUAUGAGAUAAUUAAAAAUCCUCUGAAAGAAUCCAGUUUGCAGUAAGACAAAGACGAGUUUUUCAAGUGACUGACCUCAUCCACAGGAGAAAAAAUAAAAUGGUAUCCAAAGUUUUUAUAACUUGAAAAGCAUGAAAAGUUUCCAUGUAACCAUUCGAAAUUACAGAAAAUGACCAUUCGAAAUUACAGAAAAUGAAACUUACACAGAGUUAUAUACUGCACAAACAAACAAAACCACAUUCUUCAGAUCACAAACUUUCACUAUGCCACAGUCCUUGUAGUUCUGCUACUCAUGCUGUUCCUUGGGUGGCUUUACAAUAAUGAUCGGGCAUACAGCAUGAUGCGCACAGUAAUCACUUACACUCCCCAAGAAUGCCCUGAUAAUUAUGAACAUAUACAUAAGCAAUCAAUCAAAGGAAUCUGUUGCAAGCAAAUAGAUGAUUUGCAGUCCAUAAUACUUAAAAAUAUUUCAGUACGAUGACUUGAACAAUAAUCUAGAUUCUUUGCCUUACGCCAAUAGAUGUUUAAAUGUGUGUGCAAUCAGUCUGGUGUCCACAACGAUGUGAUUCUUUAAGUAUAUUGGUUGUCACCUUUUAAUCUUGCCGAGGCCGCGGCUUCCGACAACAAGGAGAUCAAUGUGCAUUUGCUCAGCAGACCGACAAAUCAUGUCCUUUGGAUCCCCUUCAAGAACCAGACUCUCUGCUUUCACCUACACAAGGUUACAUGUUUUAGAAUUAGAACCGAGGAAGUAUGGUCUAAAAAUUCGAUGCACGGAAGGCAUAUAAUACACUUUUAGGCAAUCACCAUCUUAUCUUUACACAUCUGCAAUGCCCGGGAAAGUAACGCCGCUGAAUUUUCUUCUUGGGAUUUCCUCACAGAUUCUACCAUCGAAGAUGUUGCAUAAAAUGCUAUCAAAUCAAAACCGCUUUAGAGAUCUAAUGCAAAUUUUAUGAUUUGAACUAGCAAACACAUACUGAAAGCUAUAGCAUACUAACAAAUUUUGAUCUCAUGUGAUGCAGACAUUCAUUUACCAUUUAAUGCACAUUUCAAAAAUGUGGGUUUGAGGACUGGACAACACUGUCUAACUAUGGUGAUUAGUGCACUGUCUACCACUCAUCCAUUCCGGAGAACUGUUAAUAAAACCAAAUGAUUUUCAUGGAAUUAAAGAACAUUUUGGAGCAUGUUACAAGUUAAUUAAGCAAAUCGGUGUAGCCAAUAGCCAACGAUUCUAUCAUACAAAAAAAAACAUUAAAGAAUUACUCGGCGAGCUGGAGUAGCUCAGUUGGUUAGAGCGUGUGGCUGUUAACCACAAGGUCGAAGGUUCAAGCCCUUCUUCUAGCGAUUAAUAUUCUAGUUAUUUAUCUAUUUAUUUUUUGUUUGGUAGUUACACUACCUGAACUGGUACUUGGGGGUUACACUACCUGAACUGGUACUUAAGGCUGGCAAAACGAAGCGCUGAAAUGGCUGCUGAACAUGAACGAUUGUUAGGAUACCGCCGCCGCCGCCAGCUUCCGGCGUAAAGCCGACGAUACCAUAAAGAUUGUCAAGAGCCCAUUUGAGUGCAUUGACACUCUCUGCACUUUCAUCAAUAGCCACCAUCACCUUCAUCUUCUUCUUGCCGUCGGUCAUUUUUGUCUCCUCUUCUUCUUUUGAUUGCAGCAUUGCUGACCCUGAACCACCUGGAACUGUUUCUUUCUCCAUUACCCAAUUCUUUUACACCUCCCUCUCGGACAACAAUGUCAAUGUCACAACAUACAGUAGUGAGCCUAUUUGCUCUUUAUAUAAAUUGAACGAUGAUUGGGUUUUCGUCAUUUUCGAAAAAAUUAGGGAGCUGAAAAUGAGGUGUCAUUACGUGGAAGUUUAUGAGAGGAAAUGUGGCAUGAGCCCAACAAAUGGCAUCCAUGCAAUUGAAAAGUUACAAUUCCAGCAUGCAAAAUUUUAUAUUUUUAUUAAAUAGAUCUACAGCGUAGUUGGUGCCCGUUGUUGGCGACUCUAACUUUGGUAACGUAAAAUAAAAUUACAUUCGCCUAAUUCAUAGCCUAAAAUUAGCUCGUACUUUGAAAUUACCCAUGCUUACAUUGAUAAUAUGUUCUCUAUAACUUUUUCUCCGCUCAAAAUUAUUUUCUUAAACGCUAAUCAUUUUUCAACCAAUGUGUAUGUUCUUCUCAACUCAUUUUUCCUCUCUUUACGUUAUAGGAGAUAUUCGCCACUUUUUUUUUUGGUAUAUUAAGUUGUCUAGUAUUCAAAAAUUUUAUUGACCUCAAUUAAUUCAAAUUCGAGUUGGGCAUGACCAUUAAGGUGAUAAAUCUCUCCCAACAAGCAUUCUUAAAUUUCAAAUUGAAGAACUUGAUUAACUUAAAACAGCUCCAUACCAGCUGAUUUACGUACUUGUUAAUAUAUUAGCAUCCCAUAAAUAAAAGUUAUUUUUUUAUUAGAAGUUCUUAGAUUUCAGAAAUAAUGUCCAUAAUUUUUAAAAUGUUAAUCGCAUUAUAUACAUACAUAGGUCGUGUUUAGAUGCGGAUUCAUACUUAAAUAUCAGAUUAAUUAGCUUAUAACUUCUGUUGCUAUAGCGUUACUUGCUUAUUUAGCAUUCCUUUAAUGGUCUAGUUAGGUUAUGAAAUCAGACUUCAAGUCUACAUAAGUAGAGGUACACCCUGUUAUAACAAUUUCAUAAGUCUUGAAUAAAACUUUCGUUUAUUCUAUAACCAAACCAUUGUAUUACACAAUUAAUUAAGGGAGCUUAAUGAACUGUACACUCUUACACUCAUACGCACACAUUAUUUUACACACACAUUUCCCACUUCACAAAAAUAAAGAGAUAGCUUCUUACGUUCUUGAUACUUUUUCGCUAUGCCACACGGUCCUUAAAAUUCUUGUGCUUAUGGUGCUCCUUUGGUGGCUUGACAAUGAGGAUCGGACAUACAGCAUGAUGCGCGCAGUAGUCGCUUACGCUGCCCAAAAAUGCCCUGCCAGUAAUAAAUCGGAUUAAAACUCUGUCAUGAUUUGAUCUCCUUUUGAGUAAAAAUAUAUAUGGGUCAUUGAUAGUUAAUAAAUAAAGAAAAAUCAAACUUUAAAUCUUACUCAUAUAUUAUCACUUAAAGACACAUGACACGAGAUUUUUAAAAACUCAUAAAAAUUCAGAUCAAGAGAGGAUCUUAACCCAAUAAAUUAAUAGUAGCAAUUAAUAAUUAGAUAAUCAACAACCCGAACUUUUAUAGACAAAUAAUAGUAAGAUUAAUUACUCUUGGCGACGGCCAAAAUUAAUCAGUUUGAUGCUCACAAUAUAUUGUAUAACACUUAGGUAUUUUAAUUAAUUGUCAGCACAUGUUUACAUCACCUCUUAACCUUGCCGAGGCCACGGCUUCCAACAACAAGGAGAUCAAUGUGCAUUUGUUCUACAGCCUGACAAAUCACAUCCCUUGCAUCCCCAUCAAGAAUCAGUGUUUGUGCAUUCACCUGCACCAUGCAUGCAUGCAUGCAAGUUUUACAAUUUAAUUUGUACACCACUGAUAUCUAAGGACUGAAAGGAAAACAAUUCUACCAUCUCUUGUAAAGUACUAGUAGCUGAUAUGUGCUGCGUGAAUAAGUAGAUUAAUCCUACUUAUUGUAUAGAUUGUAGAAAGGUUUCUUAAAUUCUGCUUAGAGCGGGUAAACUUUUUUAUUUUUUUGGUCGAUGGGAAAGUGUGUUUUUUUAAUGCACUAAAAGUAUAUAUACAAAAAUUAAAAUAUGAUACGAAUUUUUACAAUGUUAUAAACUGUUAUUUUUCACUAUUUACAAUGCUGCAAACUCAAAAAUCAAUUUCCAAUGUUGGAAAUUCGUACCAAUUUUAAUGGGGAUUAAAAAAUUUUCGGAUUUAGGUAGCGACUACCAUGUUUUCUUUGCACACUUGUAGUGCUCGGGAGAGUAGAGCUGCAGAACUUUGUUCUUCGGCUUUCUUGACAUUUUCCACCAAAGUAGACGUUGCAUAAAACGCUGUCAAUUAAUUAAUUAUCGGCUUUCAUCUCCGCCAAUUAUGAAUAAAAGGAUUCCAUAUCGACAAGCAUAAUUUAAUUAUUUGCUAACCUGCACCAGCGGGGAUAAAAGGCUGCUGAGCAUGAACAAUUGUCAGGACGUUGCUGCCACUGCCGGCUUCCGGCGUAAUGUCGGUGAUGACAUAAAGAUUAUCAAGAGCCCAUUUAAGUGCAUAAAAACUCUCUGCACUUUCAUCAAUAGCCACCAUCACCUUCAUCUUCUUCUUGUUUUUCCUGAUCAUCGUCACCUCUUCCUCUUUUGCUUGCAGCACUGCUGACCCUGAACCUGCAAUUGUAUCUUUCUCCAUACAUACCCAAUUCUUUUAAUUCUCUCUCUCUCUCUCUCUCUCUCUCUCUCUCGAUCAGACAACAUGAACCGUCUCAACAUAGAGUAGUAAGCAAGUAAGUAACCAAUUACUUUUUAUAGAAAUAAAAACGUGAUGGCUUUUGUCUUUCUCUGUAAAAGGAGAUGAAAAUGAGGUGUUACGUGUAAGUAAUUAUGUGGGCAAUAUGGAGAUUUAAUUUAGCUGGUCCACGUGGCAUCCGAGCAAACGGAAGUUCCAAUUGCAGCAUGCAAAAUUUUGUUUCAUUAAGUAACAAGAUUUGCAUGCAUCCCAAAUCUUUUGUUCUUUCCCCCCACAAAUGAUAUAUACUGGUAUACUUAUCCCAUUUGUACUAUAUAGAUCCAUAAGUCGUAUUACAUAAUCGGCAGAUCAGCCUAGGUAGGAGAUAAUCCAUUUUGCUUAAUUGGUCACGGAUUCAAGAGAGAAUACAUUUUGCUCAAUUUAUCACGGAUUCAAGUGUAGAGGAUACAUUUAAUUAAGGAUAAAUAUUUAUUCAAUUCCUAUAUUUUAAAAAAUAUCUCAAGAUAUCUAUUUUGAUAUUUUCACCCUUAUUUUUUCUUUACCGUUACAAUAAUAAUACCCUCACUAUGAUCUUAAAGAGUAUUAAUUAAUUUAUCCAUAAAAUGUUAAUUAGCAAUUGAUUAAUAAUUAUCAAUCUAAUAUCCUUACGCCGGUUUUUCUGAUAAUCAAUUAUAAAUAAAUUAAUAACAACCAAUUUAAAGCCACAUUUAACACUUUAUAAGGACAAAAACAUUCUUGCAAGGGUGUUAUAUAAAAGCAAAGAAAAUAAAGGUAAAAAUAUCACAUAUUUAAUAAUAGGGGUGUCUUGAGAUAUUUUUUAAAAUAUAAAAAUUAAAUGAGCAUUUAACUCAAAAUAUAAAGACUAAACAAAUAUCUAUCUUUUAAUUAAUCUGGGAUGGAAUUGGGAAUGAUUAAGGUGCAAUAUAAUUGGAUUAAAAAAUGUACAAAGACAUCCAUACCAUACAUAACAUAAAGAUCCGUUGAAUGAAAUUGAAUGGCUGAGAUUUUGUUUUAAUUAAUUCUUAUUUAAAGAGACAUCUAAGGUCACGUGAUUGUUGUAAUGUUUUCCCCUCACAUCUCUCUCUACAUUCACGCCCAUCUCCAGCAACUUGUAAAACAAAAAACAAAAAAAACAAAAGCACAUGCUGGAGAAACGAAAUCGACAAUAAUGUUUGUUUUAAUUAAUUUCAUUCUUUUCGUCUCUUCUCUUUCUGUGUUGAUGUUGAUCUCCAACAAAUUGAAAAUUUAAAAAAAAAGUCUGAAUAAAGAUGGUUAGGAACAUGGGUGCGGGAGGCUAAGGGACAAUGAUGAUGAUUACGGGGUCUAGGCUAUAUAGUAUCAAACAACUUUUGUUCGAUCGAGGAGUCGAGAUAGAAAUGAGCAAAUAGUUUUGUUUCAUAGUAUUUUGUUUUGGGUGAGAUGUACAUCGAAAGGGAUUGACGUGUUCAAUGGAAAAAGCGAUCAGAAAAGUGUAAGAAAAGUUGAGAAGUUAGGAUGUUAGAGAUUGCCCUCCAAGUGUUUGAUGAAACGGCUGAACGAAAUUGGUUGUAGAUGUUGAGAAGAUUUGCUGGAGGGGAAAUGCACAAUUUUCAAAAUUUUGAGUAGUUAGUGUAUGAAAAAUGCUUUUGGAGAAGUUAAUGGGCAUUAUAUAUCAUACUACAACAAAUGAGCGAUAAUUCCCAUUAACUUCUCCAAAUGCAUUUUCCAUACACUAACUACUCAAAUAUUUGAAAAUUGUGCAUUUGCCCUCCAACAAAUCUUCUCAACAUCUAUAGCCAAUUUCGUUCAGCCAUUUCGUCAAACACUUGGAGGGCAAUCUCCAACAUCCUAACUUCUCAGCUUUUCUUACACUUUUCUGAUCACUUUUUCCAUCGUACACGUCAAUCUCUUUUAAUGUACAUUUGCCCCAAAACAAAAUACUACGAAACAAAACUAUUAGCUCAUAUCUAUCUCUACUCCUCGAUCGAACAAAAGUUGUUUGAUACUAUAUAGCCUAGACCCCGUAAUCAUCAUCAUCGUCCCUCAGCCUCCUGCACCCAUGUUUCCUAACCAUCUUUAUUCAGACAUUUUUUAAAAUUUCAAUUUGCUGGAGAUCAACGUCAAUAUAGAAAGAGAAGAGACGAAAAGAAUGAAAUUAAUUAGAACAAACAUUAUUGUCGAUUUCAUUUCUCCAGCGUGUGCUUUUUGUUUUUUUUUUGUUUUCUACAAUUUGCUGGAGAUGGGCGUGAAUGUAGAGAGAGAUGUGAGGGAAAAAAAUUACAAUAAUCACGUGACCUUAGAUGUCUCUUUAAAUAAGAACUAAUUAAAACAAAAUCUCAAGUCAUUUAAUUUCAUUAAUAACACAUGUCAGCGGAUCUUUAAAAGUUUAGGAGGACUAGGAAAGAAAGAGCGGAUAUGGAUCCUUGUAUCAAAUAGUUUCUCAAUUAAUUCCAAUUCUUUUAUUUUUAUUUGUAUUUUUAUUUUUGACAAACUCAAUUAUUUCCUAUUAGAAUGACUGGAAUGCUCUUUAGUCUCAACCAACUUUCACUUUCCUCUCAUACUGUGAGGCGGUUAAAACUCAACAUUAAGGGGUAGAUUGGUCAUUGAACUAUUAUUGCGACAACUGGUCGAAGUUCCUAGAGCGUUGGCUUUUAGCAGCAUCGCCAGGAUCCACAGUGAUCGUUUGUUGAGAGCUAAAAAAUACUUUGCUAUGCGAUAAUUAUUGAUCACACAGAAAUCAUCUAGUUAGUUUGCUUUUUACAACUCUAAAAUAUAUAAAGAUCACUCAGUAAAUUGAGUGUCUUCUUUAUUUUCUUUUAAUUUUCUAUUUAUAUUUAUCUUAAUUACAUGAGGAAGAAUAAAACUUAAAAGUUGAUGGAAAAUCACCCAACAGAAGAUUAUCCAAAAACAAGAAAAGUCUCAAAAAUAGAACCAUGUAAAUCGAUCCAAAUCACCCAUUAUUACAGAAAAUAGAGACACAUUUAUCUGCUGCAUGCACAAACAAAGACAAUAUAUUCUUCUGAUAUUACAAACUUUUUAUUCUUCUUAUAUCACAAACUUUGUCUCUAUAUCAUAGUCCUUACGGAGCUACUGCUUAGUAUGGUGCUGCUUUGGCGGUGGCUUGACGAUGAUGAUCGGACACUGGACAUGAUGUGCACAGUAGUCACUUACACUACCCAAUAAUGCCCUGCCAAGUGUCGAUUACAGUAAAUAAUCAACAAGCCAGAAAAUUUAUGCACAAAUUACAAUGACCAAAAUGUCGGAUGAAAUACUCAAAAGUGUGUAUGAUGCUCACAUGUCACAACUGAGAUUAUCAGGUAAAGCUCAGAUUCUCAGGUAUUCAUAUUAACACCUUGUUUUUUUCAAUUAACUAUAACCGUAUGGUGUUGACGUGAAACAUCACAAAAUUGACAUUUAGAACUCUCAUACCCAAGAAUUUCUACGGCAUUACAUAUAUGUGUAUAUUCAUAUAAAUAAUUGUCACCUUUUAAUCUUGCCGAGGCCACGGCUUCCUACAACAAGGAGGUCCAUAUGCAUUUGUUCUGCAGCCUGACAUAUCAUGUCCUUUGGAUCCCCAGUAAGAACCAGUGUUUCUGCUUUCACCUGCACCACACAAGUUAUCAGUAAUAGUACACUGCCCACAUAUAAAUACCAAAUUUAAUGAAAUUUAAUUUAAUUAAUUUUGUUUGCUGGUUGCAUAAUGUUACGGUACAGCUAGCUCACAUAGUCAUCACACACAUGCAGCCUGAGUAAGUUCAUUAAUGCUACUAAUCGUAUCCUUGCAUUAAUUUUUUUUAAUUUAUAAGUGAGAGUGUCUCUAAUCACAAAAAGUUUAUUGCUAGUUAAAGUAGACAUGUACUGUAAUUUGUAAGUUACAUUCUUAUCCUUGCAUAUUUGCAGUGCUCGCGAGAGAAGGGCUGCAGAAUUCUCCUCUUGAGCUUUCCUGAUAGAUUGCUCCACCGAAGAUGUUGCAUAAAAUGCUGUCAAAAAUUUAAUUUAGUCUUCAUUUCACAGCCAAAAUAUCAAAAUCAUUCACUUCUGCAUGCAAUGCAACCAACAGUUGGUUCGAAGUAACGCCUAUACUCACUUUAAAGUUUUGUAUUGCUGAACAAACAAUGAAUAAAAGUUAGAUGAGUUUGAUCAAGGGGCUGGAGUAGCUCAGUUGGUUAGAGCGUGUGGCUGUUAACCACAAGGUCGAAGGUUCAAGCCCUUCCUCUAGCGGGGUUUUAAGUUUCAUUUUACCAUUAGCACAUCCAAAAAUAUUUUCCACAAUAUUACAAAGUAAAAAAAAUUCUUGGUAAACAGAUCACCUGCACCGCCAGGUCCGGCAGGGAAGACAAAGUGCUGAAAGGGCUGCUGAACAUGAACAAGUGUGACCGUGCCGGCGCCGCGGUCGCUGGUUCCCGGCGUUACGGCUCCUGUGAUACCAAAAAGAUUAUCAAGUGCCCAUUUGAGUGCAUAGAAACUCUCUCCACUUUCGUCAAGCGCCACCAUCACCUUCAUCUCAUUCUUCCCCAGCAUCUCCUCCUCUUCUUCUUUUGUUCGCUGCAUCGCUAAUCCUGCACCCUCCACCGCCUCCAUCGCCAAAUUCAAUUGCUAUCACUAUCAGUAUACCUCACGUAUUUGAAUAUAAAUUCGAUUACAAUUUUACAAAUUUUCUUUUAUACAUUGAACAUGAUAUUUAUUUAUUUAUUUAUAAUUAUUAUAUAUGGUGUUUUUGUUAAGAAAUUCUUGUUUUGUUGUGAGGAAAAGUUUAAGAGUGAAGGUGGUACGUGGAAGUACGGUAACAGAUCAUGAAACUUCAGCCGGGACAUAUGGCGUCCAUGCAAAUGAAAUCUUCCAAUUGCAGCAUGCAAAAGGCAUCUACCAUACUAAUAAUUAUUCAUUUAACAUUUACCGAAAUCUCUUAUAUAAAGUGAUGGUGCAGUCUGAAUCUUUAUGCUAUUUUUAGAAAAAAUAACUCCAUAAUAUGUCCAAAGGAGGACUAAAAAUGUUUAUUCACAUGGAUUUGUAGUAAAAUUUUAUUCUAAAAAGUGUUAAAUUUAGAUUUAAAUUUCGCACUGAGCUGAAUUUAAAAAUAUGUAAUUAGUAGAUAUUAGAUGAAGAUAUAUUGCUAUAACGUACACAUGGAAACCAAUCAAUUAGAAUGAUACAAUGUAAAACCAAAGAGUAAAAGGAAGGAUAAGUAAAAAAUUAACCAAAAAAAAGUGAUUAAUCCUUUAAAAAAGUUCUGAAUGAUAAUAUAUGGGCCUUCUUGCCGGCCCAGGGGUGUAUUUUCUAGUCCAUUAGAUAAUCCGACAAUCCGUUGUCGUUUGAUAGGCAUUUACAUUUUACAGUGAUGAUGCAUGUGGUUAGUUAUGUAUAUAUCCGUAAAACUUCAAUCAUCAAAUAUGUAAUUCCUUUAAACCAAAAAAAAAAAAAAAUUCAUUUUCAGUUUAGAGAAAUUUGCCCAUUUUACCUUACAAAAAAUACUUGCCAAAUAAAAGCAUUAUUCAAUCAAUGACUCUGAAAUAUUUAAUCAAACUUUUGCACAUGGAGAGAAUGUAACAACGAACUAUAGCUUUUCAAUUUUCACUCAUCCGAAAGCAUUUCAACAAAAAAAAAAAAAAAUUAUGUAUGCAAUAAAAAUUCCUUGAUCACUAGAGGAUAAAUUAAGAUAAAAAUGAAUCUAUAAAACGUUUUAAUCAAGCAAAGGCGUGUUAUAACAAAAAAAAAAUAUAAUUUACAGGUCACAAGAAAAAAAAGAGGAACGAAAAAAGGUGAAACGCAGAAACCAGUAGUCAUCCUGUACUAGGAAAGCAAGGGACAGUGUGUCACCGACCUCAAUCAGUCACUCCGCACGCACGUGACCCAAUCAAGCCGCCACGUAACAAUAUCGUACGUCACCUAACACAAUAUCCCACAUGGCUUAUUCUGAAUGGCCGCUUCUCCGCUUGAGAGACAAGAUCUGAAAUUCUUAUUUCCAAAAUUACCCUCUGAGUUUUUUCAAGUUGACAAUUACGUCCAUCAUCAAAGUAAAUCCCUCUCUCUCUCUCUUUUCUCUUCCUCUUGUCACCCUCACCUUACAGUGCCCCCCGCUUCCCUUCUCUUCUCUUCUCUUAUAUUACUCUCUCUUUUCAUUUUCUUCCUUCUUACACAAAUUGACAAUACUGCCAUUCCGAUAAAUCUCUCGCUUCUCGACUUUUCGAUUUCGCGAUCGGACGGUCAUGACUAUGAUGACUCCUCCACCGUUAGAUGUAAACAUCACUCUAUUUUUUUUUUCUCUCUCUCUCUAGCUUUAUCUUUAUUUCCUUUGAUUGUUUUGAACUGUUUCUAGUUAUUUUCUCGAUCAACUAGGGUUUUGUGUUUGGAUUGACUUAAAUUCGACGAAAUUUUCUGUGAAUGUUAGUGAUUGAUAUCUAGGGUUUUUGAUUGAGUGAAUUGCGGCUGACUUAUAAUUUUGAUUUAAUGAUUUGUGUUUUUGUGUGUUUGGACUUUGUAGCAAGAAGAGGAGGAGAUGCUUGUGCCGCAUUCGGACAUAGUCGAGGGUCCUCAGCCAAUGGAAGGUUCGUUUUAACGGUUGAAAUUUUGUAUUUUUGUUUAGUUUCGUGUUUUUGUGGAUUAUUUAGUGCUGUAGAGAGGAUCUGGAGGUGGCUUAUGUAUAAUUUUGGUUUUGAUUGAUUGGUUUUGGUAUUAGGGUUUUGAGUGUUUUGUAUUGAUUUUUAUGAGUUUUGUGUAUGUUAGUGGUUUCGCAAGUGGAGCCGGCUAGUACUGUGGAGAAUCAGCAAGUGGAAGAUCCUCCUACAAUGAAAUUCACUUGGACUAUAGAGAAUUUCUCUAGAUUGAAUACCAAGAAACAUUAUUCUGAUGUAUUUGUCGUUGGCGGUUACAAAUGGUAAUUAUAUGAUGGACACUAUCUCACUGAUUGAAUUGUUUAUGCAAUGCGAUAUUCUUCUUGUGAUUGAGAUUGAACGUUGGUUGUUGCUGCUUUGUUGCAGGCGGAUACUUAUUUUCCCAAAGGGAAACAAUGUGGACCACUUGUCUAUGUAUUUGGAUGUUGCCGACUCUGGAACAUUGCCAUACGGAUGGAGUAGAUAUGCACAGUUUAGUCUGGCUGUAGUUAACCAAAUUCAUUCCAAAUAUUCAAUCAGAAAGGGUAUCUUCUUAACUGUAAUUAUUGCUGUAGUUGCUCUAUUGAUGUUCAUGCUAUUGUUGUUAGUAAUUAAUUGCUACAGCCUUUAAUAAAAUGAAAUUAAUUAUUCUUACAUUAUUAAAUUUUCCUAUGUACUUUGUUUUAAAUUUUUAUUGCCACAAGUUUACUUUCCAAGCACGGUAUUGAGAAUUUUCCCUGAACAGAGCAUUCUUCAAUUUUUCAUUUUUUUCUUUUUUUGUUUCUACCGAUAAGAAAUCAAGUUUAUUGGUUCAAUGUAUGUUUUAUAUGCUUGGUUAUUUAAUUCACUCAAUUGUGUGUUUCUUUUCUAAUAUGAUCCCUGGUCGCAUUUCUUUCUGUUUGAUGACUGUGCAAGCAACAAUAACAAGAAAAAAGAAAGUAAAUAAAAAUGUUGAAGUUUUCCUUUCAUCAUAUAUGAUAUAAAUAAAUGUGGCAACACAUUCUUUUCCUUCCAAAGAAUGAUUGAUUGAUUGCAUGCAUUCAAUAUUUUUAAGCAGCUUCAGUGCACAAAACAAUGUGUAAUUGCAAAGAAAAUUCAUGUAUGGCCUUAUAUUAUGUGGGAAGAGAGGAGUGAUGAGAAAGGCAAGAAUCUUUAAUAUUUGCCGGAAAUUUGUAUGCUGUUAAAUAUAGCAAUAGAUCAUCUGUUAUGCAUGCGUUACAAACUGGUGACUUCAACUUGACAAUUAGUCUGCCAAUUUGGUCAAAUUUAGAAGUGUGUUCUUGUAGAAGUUGUAAAAAAAUUCAAAAAAAAAUAAUCAGAAUACUGUUGUUUCUCUAGUUUUGCAAGUUAAUGAAAGAUAUCUGCUUGCAGUUGUUUUGCUUGUGCUUGUCAGGAAACUUAUGUUUGAGUUUGUCUGUAUAAAGAACUUUGUACUUUUUGCACUGUAAAUUUAAGCCAAUUAUAUUGGUGACAAAGAAUAGGGCUUCCAUCGUGGUUAUUUAUACCAGAUGUUGGGUCUAUUAUGUACUUUGAUUUAAUCAUAACGAAUUUCUUCUGGAUUGUGCAGAUACUCAACAUCAAUUCAAUGCAAGAGAGAGUGAUUGGGGUUUCACAUCCUUUAUGCCACUUGGUGAUCUUUAUGACCCUAGUAGAGGAUAUUUGGUGAACGAUAGUGUUGUCGUUGAAGCUGAGGUUGCUGUUCGUAAAGUCCUGGAUUAUUGGUCAUACGACUCGAAAAAGGAGACUGGUUAUGUUGGACUUAAGAAUCAAGGAGCAACCUGUUACAUGAAUUCUCUCUUGCAGACUUUGUACCAUAUACCUUACUUCAGAAAAGUGAGGACAUAGUCUGAUGUUUUCAACCAUAAGUCACCUUCAUUUACUGUUAAUGUUUUGUAGAAAGUUAAAAGCCUCAUGUUGUAAAGUAUAUUUCAGGCCGUGUACCACAUGCCGACAACUGAAAAUGAUUUGCCUUCAGGAAGCAUUCCUUUAGCUCUGCAGAGUUUAUUUUAUAAGCUUCAGUAUAAUGACACCAGCGUUGCAACAAAGGAAUUGACCAAAUCAUUUGGAUGGGAUACAUAUGAUUCUUUCAUGCAACAUGAUGUACAGGAACUUAAUAGGGUCUUGUGUGAAAAACUUGAAGACAAAAUGAAGGUAUGGUGGUUUAAUGAGUUUUAUAGUUUUUCUGGUGCAUUUUCUUUCAUGUCUGUCAUCCUAUGAUUAUUGUUCUGUUGGUCCAGGGAACUGUUGUGGAAGGGACAAUUCAGCAGUUAUUUGAAGGUCACCAUAUGAAUUAUAUCGAGUGCAUAAAUGUGGACUACAAGUCUACAAGAAAGGAAUCAUUUUAUGGUAUUUAUACUUUUAGAUGUUGUUUGGGAUUGAGUUUGUUUUUAUCAAUAAUGUUGAUUCAGACAAGUGCUUCGUACAUGGCAGACCUCCAACUUGAUGUCAAAGGCUGUAGAGAUGUCUAUGCUUCUUUUGACAAGUAUGUUGAAGUUGAGCGUCUGGAGGGUGAUAAUAAAUACCAUGCCGAAGAACAUGGCUUACAGGUUAGUUUAUGGGAGUUGAUUGGGACGUGAUACUUGUCUUGCUUUAGCCUCUUGUUUUUAACUCACCUAUGCUUGCCUUUGUAAAGCACAUCGGUUUGUAUGUGAAAGUUUAAAAGUUUAGACUAGCUCGCUCUUUCAUUUUAUAUUUUUUUCUGUCAUUUGUACGUAAAACUAAUUUAAAGGUUUGUCCCUCAAAGCUAAGCUUAACUAUGCUGAUAGCACUGAUUAGGCAGAUCUAUCUGUGUAAUAAAUAUAAAAUUAUCUUGAGGUGUUAUAUUAUUAAAAAAGAUCGUUUCAAAUAGACCCGAUGAUAUUUUUUUCUUAAAUUAAAAAAAAAUUCCAGAUAUAGCAGCUCGAAGGCAUGGUCGGUUUCUGCCCAGCUGAGUGUCAGCUCUGUGUUUCUAAGAAAUCAGGCAAAUCAAAGUUAAACUUUGGUAAUAGUAUUAGAUAGUUUUGCUGUUAACAAGAGAUAAUUUCUAGAAGCAACUGAAAGAUCUUCCUUAAGAUGAUGCCUGCAAUGUAAGGAUUUAUUUUGGUAUUAGAUUAUUCUGUUUUCUUGUAUAUUUUGUUCAGCAUCAUUCUUUAAAAUAUAAUAGUUUUAACAAUUAUUUUGAAAAGUUUUGCUUCCAUUAGUUGAGUUUUGCUUCCAUUAGUUGAAGAUGUUUCUCUAUUCACAUGCUGGAAUUUUUUAUCUUUCAGGAUGCCAAGAAGGGAGUCUUAUUUAUUGAUUUUCCGCCUGUGCUUCAACUCCAGUUGAAGCGGUUUGAGUAUGAUUUUAUGCGAGAUGCUAUGGUGAAGGUCAGUGUCAAUGAUUUGUGUGAUCAGAUUCCAUGUCUUGCCUAGCCCUUGUCGUUUUGUAGUUAUCUAUAUGCAGUAAAUUUCUUCUAUACAAAACAUGGAUUUGGAUUGAGAGAAAGUAUUUUAAUAAUAGUAGUAAUAAUAAUAUUAUAAUACAAAUAGAACUGAGAGGAAGUAUUAUAUGCUUUUUGUGCUUUCAAAUUGUCCUGCUCUGUGAUUUAAAAACUCUGCCUGUAAUGAAGUUACUGUUGUUUGUUGGACAAAACAUAUAUUUUGCAGUUUUUUUUCAUCUUUUCUGAUUCUUCCAUUUUAUUGUGGUCUCUUGUAUGACUUCUCGUUUGUUAUGUAAUGUCCUAAUAAGUUGAAGGUAGGUUGUGGAUGGUUCUUCUAUUUGUAGUAUUUAAUUUGGACACGUCUUUUUUUUCUUAAAAAAAAAUGGAUACCGUUGUGUUGAAGGUUUUACAUGUCAUUGAAUUGUUGAGUUUGAGUGAGGAAAUUGUGCAUGCUUGAGGAAAAACUACAUUUAUACUAGUCUACAGUUUAGUUCUAUAUUAAUUGGCUCUUUUGUUUUGUAGAUAAAUGACCGCUAUGAGUUUCCUCUUCAACUUGACCUUGAUAGAGAGAAUGGGAAGUAUCUAUCACCAGAUGCAGAUAGGAGUGUCCGCAAUCUUUACACGCUUCACAGGUACUAGCCUCUUUUGGUUUUUUUGUUUUAGGAGUCAGUAUAGGUAUUUUGCUUAGCAAUUGGUGGUAGAUUGAAAGAAGGAGAUUGCAUCCUCAUUUUAAUUUUGUGCACCUGAGCACAUUACUUUUAUGGAUGUAGUGCUUUAUGAGAUUUUUGAUUCUUCAUGUGCUAUUCGUUUGUCAUAGUGUCUUGGUUCACAGCGGAGGGGUACACGGUGGGCAUUAUUAUGCUUUUAUCAGGCCAACACUCUCUGAUCAGUGGUAAGUUUAUCUUGCUUUUACAUUUAAAAUUGAUUUUGUGUGUGCAUGCUCUGCACGCUCUCUUUACUAUUUUGUGUUUGCUUGACAUCCUGCCAUUAGUUUGCCCAAACUGGCUAGGAAUAUUUUCUGGUGCAUCUAUCUGUGUUUAAUCACUACUUGGUUUUAGUAUUGUUAGGAAGUAUUAUUGAGGGCAGUUUUUAUGAUACGUGCGUAUUUUUAGUUAAGUUUCAAUAAAAAUAUUUCCAGUUUAUUUGUUGUCAGUUUGAGUAGAAAUCAUUGAAAUCAAUUUAAAUAUCAUCAACAAUAAAAUGGAAGUUAAUUAGCCUUUGUUAAUACGAUCUGAAUGAGGGAUAAAUACCUCAAGUGCCUUCCAUAUUCAAGAUUCCAAGGUUUUGGCCCCAAUUAGUCCCUUUUCCUUUUUUUUUUCUUUUUGGGUAUGUAGGAUGGCUAUUGUAAGAUACAUUCGAGACCAAAGAAGAUGCCGUAACUCUUUACCCCAUAUUUGUCUUUUUCGGAUAGCCUAUUUUAUAGGAUCACAUUAUAUUGGAAUUUUGAUUGUCUGCGGAAACUUAGAAGUAUAUCUUUGCCCCCACAAUAUGCUCAUGAGAUGUCAAGCACCUAAAUUCUUAAGGAGUGGUGAAAACUAUCUGUAUGACUGGAUAAUGGAUUGUUUGAUGAGCUUCUAUCAGAAUAGCUAAAUGUUGUAUGCGUCCUUUUAUAAAUAGAUGGUUUCGUUGAUUCGGAUUUCUUGCUCAUAUAAUCUUAUUACCAGUUUCAUAUAUUUUUUAUCGUUUUUUCUUCAACUACCUAUUUUGUUUCUAAAAUUUGUGUAUAUACCCACCUUGUUGUAAACAUUUGUGUAUAUGUUGUAAACAUUUGUGUAUAUACACAUGUUUGUCUAUGUAUAUAGUGAUUAUCUGAAAAUAUGUUAGUUUAUCAGUAAUGAUUCUUUUUUGGCAGGUACAAAUUUGAUGAUGAGCGGGUAACCAAAGAAGAUGUGAAGAGGGCUUUGGAAGAACAGUAUGGUGGUGAAGAAGAGGUAAGUAAAGUAUUCAGAUGUCUCUUAUAUCUUUUGUUCACUUCGCCAACUAAUCUUCUUGUGUUGUUCUGCUUGUCCAACAGUUGCCACCGACCAAUCCUGGUUUCAAUAACACUCCUUUUAAGUUCACAAAAUACUCAAAUGCAUACAUGCUUGUGUACAUACGUGAAAGUGAUAAGGACAAAAUAAUAUGUAAUGUUGAUGAGAAGGACAUUGCUGAACACCUGAGGGUAAUCUCUUAAUCCUUAUAGUUGGUAUUGACUUGUGCAUGCCUGGACAUAGUCUGAUACAUUGAACAUUUUAAUCCAGAUAAGGUUAAAGAAAGAACAGGAAGAGAAGGAGGACAAGAGAAGAUAUAAAGCACAAGCCCAUCUUUACACUAUCAUCAAGGUAAUAGUUUCUUACUUAAUUUCUUGUUUAUGCUUUAUUCUUUAGUCAUGACAAGCAUGUAUUGGCGUCACAAUUGAAAAUCAUAAUCUAGGUUGCACGAGAUGAGGACCUUGCAGAGCAGAUUGGAAGGGAUAUAUAUUUUGACCUGGUGGAUCAUGACAAAGUUCGUAGUUUCCGUGUUCAGAAACAAACGUCAUUUAUGGCUUUUAAGGUGGUAUUUGAUUUUGUAUUUUCCAGUGAUUUCAUUUUUCAUUUUUCACUUUUCACUUCCUGUUAUUUGAGUUCUUUCCUUUUUUUUUUCUUUUUUUUGGGUGUCAUGGCUGUGAAUAGUAUAGUUGAACAGAUUGUGCAUGAUUAAUUAACUAAAUACAUGGUGUUUCUGCAGUAUUGUGACCAAUUUUGUCUUUUCUUUUUUAAACUCAAUAGAUAUCUAAUUUUGGUUUGGUCUACAGGAGGAAAUUGCCAAAGAGUUUGGUAUACCAAUACAGCUUCAGCGUUUUUGGAUUUGGGCAAAGCGUCAAAAUCAUACAUAUCGUCCCAAUAGACCAUUGCUACCCCAGGAGGAAGCACAAACUGUAUGUAGUUUCUACCUCUGAAUCUUCCUGGAAAUUAUUUAUUUAUUCAUUGCAAUAAGCAGGCAUGUGCAUUGGUCUUGGAUUCCAUCACAUUUUCCCCUUGCAAUAAUUAGGGUAAGACCUAGGGGAUUGUGAUGGAUAUUUGAAUAUGUGAUGUCCUUUAUUUUCAGCUGUUAAUGGAAAUGUUUGUGGAAGGGGUCUGGUAUAGCUAUGUUGUAAUGGUAGCAUUAGAUUCUAUCAACCUUCCCUUUACUUUUCUUCUUGUGCUUAUUAACAUCCAGUUGGAGAUUUUACCUGACAAAUGAGUAGUAUACAUAGGAGUUGAGUUUUUAAUUGUGUAAAACUUCAACUUAAGUGCCUGUUAUACUCAGCGUCUAGAGAACAUUUCCUGUUAUUAUGUUCUGUAUCCCUCUUUUGCAUGAUUCCCUAACCUGUUUUCUAGAGAACAUUUCCUGUUAUUAUGUUCUGUAUCCCUCUUUUGCAUGAUUCCCUAACCCAUUUUCUAGCAGAUGCUGCAAAUAAUCUUAAAGAACUUCAUGUGUGUGUCACUGAACUUCAUGUGUGUAUCACUACGCCUUUUGCUUUUCAAAGUUUUUCCCAAGAUUUGUGUCUUGUCCCAUCUUUUUUGGGUUGAUAAACCUUGGGUGCUUCAAAAUUGACUUUUGAAUCAAACUUAGCCAGAUCAUUCUUAUGCCUAUUACUGUGCAAAAAGUGUUGCAACUUAAAUGUUUUUUGUUGGGUUCUUGGCUAACAAAUUAAGCUUUUAGGUCAAGUGGCAGGCAAUUCUAUUUUACCUUGUCUUCUUUGGUACUUUUGACUAUUGAUAGUGUGAACUUUUUGGCAAUGAAUAAUUUUUACUGCCCUCUUAGUGCUGCGAAACUCUUUACACAUUUGUUAUGCAAACUAAUGUUUUUGAAUUUGGCACUUGUAGGUUGGACAAUUGAGAGAGGUUUCAAAUAAGACGCACACCGCCGAACUAAGGUUGUUCUUGGAAGUAGAGUUUGGGCCGGUAAUGUUAACUUCAGAAAACCUUAAUAAGUUGAUACUGGUGCAUACUAUGCUUGUUAAUCCAGGAAGAUUCUUUUUAUUUUCCUCCCAUGUAUAACUUUAAGCUGUUCUGUUAUAGGAUCUACAUCCUAUUGCUCCACCUGAUAAAUCUAAAGAUGACAUUCUGCUUUUCUUCAAGCUUUAUGAUCCCGAGAAAGGAGAACUUCGGUAUCUAAUAGUUUUCAUCAUUUUUUUCAUUUUCUCUGUCCUUUGUUUCAAAUGGUCUCUUAUAUUAUAGUUUCUUGCAUAUUUGCAGAUAUGUUGGUAGGCUAUUUUUAAAGAGUUCCAGUAAGCCAAUAGAAAUUUUGAGGAAGCUAAAUCAAAUGGCUGGCUUUGAUCCUGAUGAAGAAAUAGAACUCUAUGAGGUCCAUACUUAAUUAACUGUCUUCUUUUCUUCUUCAUGCUUUAUUCUGUGUUUAUAAAUUUCAAUAUAAUAACCUUGGUGAAAGUAUACUAUCUGUAUGCAAUGCUCAGGAAAUCAAGUUUGAGCCGUGUGUUAUGUGUGAACAUCUUGAUAAGAGGACCUCAUUCCGGUUAAGUCAGGUACUUGUUUUAAUUCAUGCUUGAUUUGCUUGCAAAUGGGAUUUGAUAUGUUAAUACUUUGGUCACUUUGCUUGCAGAUUGAAGAUGGAGAUAUCAUCUGCUUUCAGAAAUCUCCUCCGCUCGAAAGUGAACAAGAAUGCCGAUAUCCAGAUGUGCCUUCAUUUUUGGAAUACGUGCAUAACCGGCAGGUGCAAAACAUGUGGAAAUUUUCAAUUAAUAGCAAUCAUAACAUUUGUGGUAUUUCUUGUUAGCUUGUUAUUAGUCUGUAAUAAAACGAGUCCAGAGGGAUAGGUUAUAGUUCAUUCUCUCCUGACUCUUACAGUACCAAGGCAAUUUAUAUUUAUGCUGUAAUGAUGCUAAUUGCCGAUUAAUGAUGUGGGAUUGGUGUUCACUUAUAUAUUAUUUUCAGUUUUAAAUAUGUUGUUGGUUUUCAGGGCUUUAAUCAAGAAUGCACCUUUCAUUUUCUUUUACUUUAGACCCAGUAAUGAUGUGUUUGUCAUUUGCCCUUUUCAAAUCAAUACAACUUACUAAGGCUGUGGCCUUUCAUUAUAACAAUAAGAUGGCCAUAGUAUUCUGACUUCCAAAAAGUUAUAUAGCCCUUCAUAUACUCAGACGUGGGAGUAACAAAUUCUACGAGAGUUCCUUCUUUGUAUCUGUAUUUGUUUCAAACUUCAGCUCCUUCUCUCUCAUGUGAUUAUCUGAAUGAGCAUUGACUGUGAUAUCAUCAUAGGAUAACAUUACCUCCUUUUUCUUUUAGAUUACAAUUGUCAAAUUCUGCCUUUGCUUUGUUUAAACUUCAGACUCAAUUCUUUUAAUGAUUUGAUGCUCAUAGAUUGUCCGUUUUCGAGCUUUGGACAGACCAAAAGAAGAUGCUUUUUGUCUAGAGUUGUAAGUAUUUCCAUUUCAAACCACUCCUGUAGGAGAAUCCUUUUUCGUGGGUUUAGUGUUUGUUCGGUAUCUAUAACCUUUCUAUAAUAUUAUUACCUUUUUAUAAUAUUCAAGGUCUAAGCAACAUAGUUAUGAUGAGGUUGUGGAAAGAGUGGCUCGAAAAAUUGGUUUGGAUGAUCCAUCCAAAAUCAGGCUCACUCCUCAUAACUGCUACUCACAGCAACCUAAGCCUCAACCCAUUAAAUAUCGAGGAGUUGAGCAUCUGUCAGACAUGUUAGUACACUACAAUCAGGUAACUGACUCAUCAAGCUUUUGGUAUUCUUAUUUUGUUUGUACUAAUACACAUUUUGACUACAAAGUUUUAGAUAUUCCUCUUCCAAUGUUGUUUCUUUUUUGUGUUUACAGACCUCUGACAUUUUGUACUACGAAGUUUUAGAUAUUCCUCUUCCCGAAUUGCAAGGUUUGAAAAAUCUGAAAGUUGCAUUCCAUCAUGCUACCAAGGAUGAGGUAUGUGCAUGAGUAAUUGAUGUCUAUCCUCUCUUCUCUUUUGUCUUUAAUACGAAACAGUUUUAUUCUUCAUGUCCUUUUUUGUAAGCUUGUUUAAUUAAACUGUUUCCAGGUGGUAAUUCACAACAUUAGAUUACCCAAACAGAGCACUGUAGGUGAUGUGAUUAAUGAACUUAAAACAAAGGUAACUGUUGAUUACUUGUGUUCCCUUACAUUUGAAAUUAUUGCUUUAAGAUAAUAAGUGUUGCAUGCACUUUUAUUGCUAAUUUGGGUUCUCUCUAUCAGUCAUUUUUCUUGAUGGAAUCGCUCCCAAUACAUCAGAGUUAUAUUUCAUUUCACUUUUUUACAAUGUCUAAUUUACCAGUUCGCUGACUUACGACAUGUUCCCUUGUAUGAUUUAAGGAAAUGCAUCAAAUUAGAUUUAUUUACCGACAACUGCGCCUCUUUUUUUUCCCUUCAUUUGAGAAACAAUUUAUCUGCAAAGAGUAUCGGGGAGUUUGCAUGAGCUAGAAGUCUUAUGUGAUUCAACGCAUAUUUAUGGCAAGGGUGAUUUUGCAUAAUUUGUUUCUUUAGAGGCUAUGUAGGCAUCAUAACCCCCUUUUUUUUUUUGCAUACAAUUCAUUUUAUUAAGCUGCGGAAGAUUUACAUAUUGUGCACUUUGAAACAGGUGGAAUUAUCCCAUCCAAAUGCAGAACUAAGAUUGCUUGAAGUUUUCUAUCACAAGAUAUAUAAGGUAAUUAACUUACAAUUGAAACUCGUUUGGCUUAUGGGAAUUCUUGUUAGAUGAUGGUUUUAAUUUUUUCUCUACAACAAUUUCCACUGGACAAUUGCAUUAGUUUUGUAUCUCAUAAUACUUGUAUAUCAUCCAUGCAGAUCUUUGCCCCCAAUGAAAAAAUAGAGAAUAUAAAUGAUCAAUACUGGACCCUUCGUGCAGAGGAGGCAAGUUUUUGUCACUAUCUUUUCGUGUCUUUAUUGGUUGCUGUGGUGUUGUGCUCUCAGUUUCAUUAAUUAUCUAGUUGAUGUAUUUAAGGUCGGGAUCUGCAAUUUGGAUUGAUGUUUUUGUUAUGUAUAUAGCUGAUUUUGGUUUUAAUGAGCAGAAUUGACGUAUGCUAUGUAGUGCUGGUCUGUUUACUGACCUCAUUUAUAUUGACUCAGAUCCCAGAGGAAGAGAAGAACCUUGGUCCCAACGAUCGCUUGAUUCAUGUUUACCACUUUACGAAAGAGUCUGCACAGAAUCAAAUGGUAUUCAAAUGUGAAUAAUUGGUUAUGGCCGCGCCCGGGCCCCCCCCCGGCGGCCUGAAGACUUUUAAUUGUCUAUAGAUUAUAGGAAUUUCUGAGAUUCUUAUACUGUUUCAAAAUUUUGUCUUUCAACAGCAAGUACAAAAUUUUGGGGAACCAUUUUUCUUGGUUAUCCAUGAAGGUGAAACAUUAGCCGAAGUUAAAGAGCGCAUACAAAGGAAAUUGCAAGUUCCUGAUGAGGAGUUCUCUAAGGUAUUUUUGCUUGGGUGUUAUCAUUUCAUAUUACUUGGGAAUUCACUGGUGAAUCAUGUAUUUGACAUUGACCCUUUUCUCUUCUUUGCUUGGGCGUUAUCAUUUCACUUAGCUUGCUAUAUACUCAUCUGUUCCAAUAUUGGAUAUGAUUUUUCUUUUUGUGAAUCCCUAUUUAUGUGUGUGCCCAAUAAACUGACCCUUUCAUUCAUCAUGUUAUCUGGUUGAUCAGUGGAAGUUUGCUUUCUUAUCACUGGGUCGUCCAGAGUACCUUGUGGAUACUGACACUGUUUUCAACCGUUUUCAGGUUUGUUUUCUUUCAAUCAUUUUUUUUUUCUUUUCUUUGGGUUUAGUGCCCUCCCGGAUGUGAGUUCAUUACAUCUGUUUUUAUUUCAAUAUUUUCUGUAAGUUGAAGCUCUGUUUUGUUUCUUUCUUUCAACUUUUUUUUCCAUUUUCCUUAGAGACGAGACGUUUAUGGUGCUUGGGAACAGUACCUUGGGUUGGAGCAUUCUGAUAAUGCUCCCAAGAGAGCUUAUUCCGUAAAUCAGGUAAUUUACUUCUAUGCUCGCUAUUGUUAUGCGUCGUAAUAUGAACCAAAAUAUUAUUUUUAUCAGUGUUCAAUGCUUGGACAGCUCGUUCUGCAAUUUAUAGGACUCCUAUACUCCCCAUUCAUAUGGGUGCCUCAAACCAUUUGGUUAAUGUUGUAACAAUUUGUUGGUGUUGCUCGGUCUGCCUUGCUUUCUCGUAAAGCUAACUUUUUGUCGACAGACUAGAAUAGUUAAUCUUUUCUAAAAGUCAUUUUCAAAUUGCAGAACCGGCACACAUAUGAGAAGCCCGUCAAAAUAUACAACUAAUGCAAGAGCCUAUGAUCCACCUACACAUAAGCUGAGAAGAAAAACCUUCAAUGCCUUGAUGUAAUUAUGUAAUUGGGCAGGAUUGACAAUGAACAAAUGAUGGAUUUGAAGGUACAAACAAGGCUCGCCUUGAGAUGUUUCUGUGGGGCUCCAUUGUUUGUUUGUGGGCUAUAUCUGUUUCUUUGAUUGAUGUGGGUGGGCAAGCAGAGAUUUUAGUAGUGUGUUCUGUCAUUGUCAACACAACCUGCAUGAGCAAUCUCUUUUGUUUUUUCCUGGCUUUAGGAAGACACCUUGCCUCCAGGCUUUGAGAGGCUGGUGGUUUUUAUGUAUACAGCUCCAGUGUAAUUUAGCAAGCAGUAUAUAAGAAGAUUUUGACGGGGAUGUAUACUGGGUAUAGUUUGUUGCAGCUGAUACUUAAUUCUUCUUUUUUUUUCCUUUUCGACCCUGUUCCUUCUUUCUGAGUUGAUUUGGUAUCUUCAGGAUGAGCUUGUAAAAUGGUCAUUUUCAGUCUGCAAUUCUGGGCUUAGUACUUACCAGCAGCAGUGCAGAUUGCAAUUUAUAACACCUUGAGCUUAAUUACAAGUAGUCAGGAUUCAUCGUCCUUUUUUAAAAUAAUAGCGCUAUUCUCUCUAUUUGAAUGCACUUGCUUAUUUAUUGCUAAGCAUUAGCUGAUAUGCUGAACGGAAUAAUUUUAGCUGCAUUUUUUUUUUCCGUUAGGGCAUUUCUAGGUACUUGGUCCUGUUAUUUUAAUCUAAGUAAUGAAAUUAUAUUGUAUUAACUUGUAAGACCCAUUCUCCGCUUUUGAACGUGCUUAAGAAUGUGGUUUGUGGUGGAGCUAUAACCUAUUGUACAAAUUUAAUUUAAGCAAUUAAAUGUGGUUUAAAUUCUAGGAUGAGAAUAAUAAAAAUAAGUCAUGAGUCAAGAGUUAUUUUAAUCUAAGUAAUGAAAUUAUAUUGUAUUAAUUUGCACAAAAUAAAUUUUUAGAAGAUUUUACUCAAAAUUAAAAUGAAUAAGUAAAAACUGGAGGUUAUUAGUUUUACUGCAUGUUGUGUAUUCUUAAAAUAAUUACUUGUUUCCAUUUCUACUCCUAAAUAAUGUUUAAUAGAUCACUUAACAACUCAAAUAAACUAGUCAGUUUUAGUGCAUGUUGUGUAUACUUAAAAUAAUUACUUAUUUCCAAUUCUGUUCCUAAAUAAUUUUUAAUACUCACUUAACGACUGAAAUAAAUUAUGUUUGGCAAAAAUAAUUUGAUAACAUAAAAUCCACAACAAUUCUAAACAUUUGCUUGGUUUAAUGUGUUCUGCUGACUUGAUCAAAGAAUCCAAUUGAGUCGAUAUAUUCUAUUAAUAAAGUCGGUAGGAUAUCACACCAUCAAUAGUCUCAACAACAAGCCGAUUCAAACGCAUGAGAAGCAGCAGAUAAACCCUAGCUUUAGGCCCUGAGACAACCAAAUAACAGCAGAAAACUCUAUGACGUAAUGACAAGUGAAUUAAUGGAAGUAUUAGCAUGUGUAGGCAGCAAAGUUAAGAUUAUGAAUGCAGAAGUAAUUAUAUUUGGCUGAAAACGCAUACCUAAGCCCAGAGAUGUAAUUUCAUCCUGAAGAAAAUGGCUAUAUCCUUUGGCUCUCUCUUUCUGGCUCAAGCUCGAGUUGAUCUUAUCAACAGCAGCCAGCAGAUCCUACAAGUCAACAAAUCAUGGAUACAAUCAUAAAAGCUAUAUGCUAUGAAAUCCCAGACAAGACGAUUCAAAUAUUAAGGAUAUACAACAUUGUUUAGAACUAUUGAAUUUUAAAUUAAUGGAAACUUCUUGAUAUAUCUGUAAACAGGAACUGCAGUUCUUCGGUCUGGCCGCCCAGGGCAUAGCUUGUUUAGGACCAGGGCCUGUCCCAUUACUGUCCAUAGCUCAUUAAGUGGUAAGAGAAAGACACGAAAUACUUAUUGGACAUGAAAGCAAAGCAAGGCACCAUAAUGUGAUGGGCCGCCCAAAAUUUCAGCCCAAGUGUCCAAAUUUAAGCUAAGGUGUGCGGGCCUGGUCCAAUUCCAAAAUUUUCCAGCACACUGUUGUCUGAGUGCCAUGUUUGCUGCGAAAGAUACUCAUCCGAUGACAAUAAGAUACUUCAGCCUAAGCCUCGAUGCAUUUUCAAUAAUUUGAAUCAACAAGCCUUAUAAGCAACUCACAAAACUAGGGCAUUUCUUAAUGGUUAUCUAAUAUUUCCAAAACCAAAUGCAAAAGCCAUUUCUUGUACCCCUGCACAAAUGAUUCAUGGAAUCUCUAUUUUCGGAAAUGCAUCACUCAAAUACACCAGUUUCAUCACAUAAACUUCACGCCAUGCAGUUUCAUCACAUAAACUUCACGCCAUGCAGUUUCAUCACAUAAACUUCAUGUCAUGCAGUUUCAUCACAUAAACUUCAUACCUCCCAUGGUGCUAGGCUCUUCAUGUAGGAAGGAAGGCUUUCAUAAUCAACUUUUGAUACCUUUAUUAUGGGGCCAGAAGCUUCAAAUGACUUUGGCUCAUCUUUCUGUUCACCUAUAUUCACAAUAAAUGAUAAAUACAAUGUGACUAGGCCUGUCAUUGUAACAAGACUCUUUAAAUUGAUUAGGUGCUUUUUAAUCUACCUUUAAUUUUUGCAGCACGUUGACACGGAUCCUUCAUGUCCAGUUUGUCCCCAUAAGAUCUAAGAUUGAAGGCUUUUAAGAAAGGAGUUAAAAGAACCUUGCACAAUAUAAGUAACAUUCCAGGCUCAAAACUUACUUCAUUGGUUUUUGAAUACCGAUAUCUGGAUCAUCAGUCUUAUUGUCACCUGUAGAGAAAGAAAGAAAGAUAUGACUGUCAAUCAAAAAAUUAGGAAUGUAAAAGCUAUUAGUCUAAUAUCUAACCUAACUGUAAUUGCAUUAAGAAGUUUGGCUGUGGUAUCAACCAACUGAAACUCGUCACAACUAGUGUUCUUUAAAGUAAUGUGCUAGUCAUGAUGCAAUUGUUGCUAACCUUCAGAUGCUAAAGUGGCGAGACAAACAUCUGAAAGCCCAAGGUUCUUUAAACUCAGUGAUUCAUCAAGUCUAAGAAAUGUCAAGGAAACAAAAACAUUUACGUCAAUAAGGUUUGCCAUUAGUUAUUAACGUGCAUUGUCAGCCAUUUUUCAACAUUCUAUGAAAAUAAUUUCAACUCCAUACACCCUUCAGUUACUAUGAUAAUAGAGGAGCAAAAGAUUAAAAUUCCAAGCUGGCAUCAAAUGCAACUUAAUGUCACUGAGUGGUAUCUCAGAUUCUCAUCAGCUCUUGUUCCCAAAAUCCCAAUGAAGAACUAGAUUCAAUUGAUUAGAGGAGAAAAAGAAGUAUAUCCUAUGACCCUUUUCUCAUCCCUUGUUUAAGUUAACAAAACUUUUCACGCCAUUAUAAACAAGAUAUGCAAAUGUAUAAAAGAGUGAUCACAUCAAUGCUGAUUCAAAAUUAUAAAACAAGGAUACAGAGGGUCCUCAUCCAAGCUCUUCAUGAACGAUCGUGCCACAGAAGCAGGUGACCGUGCAUCCACACCAUCCUUUGAACCUAACCCAAAUGUUGUCGACAAACUGGAAUCCUCAUCUUCAUCAUCAACCUCAAGUUCUAAUCACAGAGCCACACACAAAAAAAUAAUAAUACUAAAUAAAAAGGACAUAAUUUUGAAGAAUUACGUUGAUAAAUGGAAAUAAUUGUAAGCAAAGCUAACUCAAUUGACAGCCUCUAGUGUCCUAAACGAAUCAAAAUUUAAUUUUUUAAUUCGAAUUUAAUAUUAUAGAAGAGGGGAAAAAAUAAAUAAAUAGAGAGCGAAUCAGCGAAAGUGUUACAUACCGGGAACAUAACCGAAGCCUUUGAGGCGAUCCUGGAGCUCAAGAAGAUUUGUUUGGUUGUUUUUGUAAACUUCACUGCAGUGUCCUAACAACUCCUCAAACGACACCGUACCGAAGGACAUCGAGUCGAGCAAAUUCACAUCGCUGGUGAGGCAUGUGACGCGGCGGCUCAGGCAUUGUACGAACGUCGACGACGUUGAAUCCAGAGGAAUCGGACGCCGCUGGACCGAUUCCUUUAAAGCUUGGCAGCUACCUUCAAGAUGAUUGCAGAAGCAUCCUAAGCUUUUGCUCAGAUUUGAGAUAUUUUCGUCCAUUCUAUUUUUUCUGAAUUUUGUUGAAGCUCUCUUGCCUCUGUCAAGACCUACAGUUUAAUUUGGAAACGAAAGAUUCACUUACGAUUAUAACUCGUUUUGGAUGUGCAAUGACUGGAGCGCCUAUCCUUGGCGGGAAACAAAACCUUGAAGGAAAGCACUCUUUUAUUUUAAAUUUUCAAUUAUCUCCCUUUUUGCGUAUUUGAAGUUGGAAUUUUCCUUUUCAUAAACGGGUGCGGUACGAUAUUUCUUUAAACAAAAAAAUUAGGAAAAUGUGUUUAAAUUUUAUUUGUGAUUUAAUUUUAAAAAAUAAUUUUAACUAAGAUUCUUAGUUAAAAUAAAUUUUAAUUGUUUUUCUCAAAAAGUAAAAACAAAGAAAACUACCAGGCUGUAUGGUGUUUAGUUACCUUGUGAGGGGAGUUUUGAUUUUCAUUAUGUGAAAACAAAUCGAAUAAUUGUUUGGUAAAAUGAAUUACAAAACACAAAAUACAACUUUUCACUUUUUACUCAUGAAGUUAGAAAAUAAUGUUUUUAUAUUUUAUUGAAUUAUAGAAAAACAAACAGUGAAACUGUUGGGAUUAUAUGCUCUUUUAAAGCAUAUUAAUUUAUUUUCUGAUUAAUAAAAUAUUGGAGAUAUUUUCAAUUGCAUAAAUAUUUUGAAUAAGCUCUGUUUAAUCAUAUUAUAUGUAUUUAUGUGAUCAUCAUAUGGAUUCACAGAAGACAUAAAUACAAGUUAUCUUGUGAUUAAAUAACUUAAGUUCGCAAUUGAUAAAUAGAGUUGGGCGCUCUAUUUAUGUUUAGACUCAAGUAAAUUCAUUGAAUGAUUUGUCUUAAUCAUGCAUGAAUUUACUGAUGUAGUUUGACUACAUUGAGCUGGAUCACAUAUGAGAUUUAAUUAACCUUGAAAUGACUGUCAGACUUAUUAAAUCUCAUAGGCAUUGAUUUUACUGUAAUCUUAAUCUUGAGUUAAUUAUAAUUUCAUGAUUAUAAUUGUUAUUUCAUUUGAGUUACCAAUGGGCACGACACAUACUUGUAGUCAAGAUUACCCGGUAUCUUGGUGGGAGCAAUUAUGAAUAUUAGAGUUAUAGAUUGACAAUAUAGAAUUUGUACAACACAUCUCUUGAUGAGUUUUCGGUACUUGAUCAUUAAAUUCUCUGGCCAGAGUGUGUCAACAUAUUUAGUAUGUUGAAAAUUAUCAUUAGAGAAAACCGUUGAAAAUUAUCAUUAGAGAAAACCAGUAAGAAUCAAAGAACAAAAUGUAAUUAAAUUGAUUGGACAGUUGAGAUAUCGAUUUAAUUAAUGAUGUGGUACAAAAAAUUGUGCAGUAAAAAAAUCAAUGUGGCUUGUGACGAAUUAUUAUUCGAGCAUACAAUUAUAGAAGUCAGUUCCAAUCUUUUAGUGGAAUAAAUUUAAAAUUAAAUAAUUUAACUAAUUUAAUUAUAGACCUAAUUAUUAUAGCUACUAUUGUAUGUUCAUAGCUGCACCUUAGCUUGUUGAGGUUAAAGGAAAGAAAGGGCCUUCAGUUCAGUUUGUAUACACUUCUAUAACAAUUUACAUCAACUCAUAAAGUUAACUCUUCUAUAUUUCAUGGAUUUGAUUGCAAUUUACAGCAACUUUAAACAGAAUGUACCUUAAGAUUACACUGCAUAAAGCCCCAAAAAAAGGGGAUUGACAUUGCUACUGUUUAUGUACAAUGCAAAUGUCUCCUCUCAUCUAUUAUUUGCACGUUAAUCUUUUCGGUAAAAAUUCAGGUUAGCUCCCCUCUAAGAGCACUGGCUGCCCUUUGAAUGGCUCUCGCAACUCUCCAGACCUCAUGUUGAAUUAGAGCCUCCCCGUCUUUCUUGCUCAUACUUGUCGAUUGAGAAAUAGCAUCCGAUAUUCCAGGAAAGCAGCUCAGUUUGCUUUCGUAUUCAUCAUGAGGUCCAUAAAUCUACAAAAACGACAAGUGUCGCCAUCAUUAGAGCUUGACACAGACGCUCAAUGGCUAGUAAUAACAAACCGACAGUCUUUUUUAUCAAGUUGAAUUUGGAUAGAUUCUGUCAAUUGAGAAAGUCGAGAAGUUUACAUUAAUAGAAGGAAGAGACAGCGAUUGCAAAUUUCUCUCUCAUUCUCAAAAUAACCCGAAAAGUCUGAAAAGAAGCUGCUCCUUUUAAAAGCAUCGGUUCAAUUGUCGGUUCAAUUGUAUGAGCACAUGUAUGAAGCUAAUAUACUAAUAUAGAUGUCAAUCUAGGACCAUAUAUUUUCUUGAUAUUGUUUUGAAACAGAAAUCCAGGAUAUACUGUAAACCAUCACCCUUUUUUGAAAUCGGUCUAGCUGUAUUAAGGGAUAGGAAAGAACUUACAAGAUGUUUGAACCACUGCCUUCCUUGAAGCCCAUCAGUGUCCAGGAAACCUCUUUCUGCAAGCAUCAGCCGAUCAUUCAAAUCAUGAAUUUUCAAGAUUUCAACACCACCCAAAUGUUCUUGCUCUCUUAACCUCUGCAGUCACAAUGUAAAAGUGAUUAUAUGAUAGAAACUUUCCAUACGAAAAUUUUGCGACCUUUUGAACUAAUUAAUUCCAAUAAGAUUUUCCAGAUCUCACCUUUGCUUCAUUUUGAGCGUCUUUAGCUGCAGAGGUUAGAUCCUUAAUUGCCGCAGUUAAAGGAUCCAAAGAUAUCCUCUGAUCCAACAAGUUGCUCAAGAUGUCUUUAUUCUCCUGUCACAGUUCAGAAGGAAUAAGGAAUAGAAUAUUAAGUUCGUGAUGCCCCGGAAGCACAACAGUGGCUCUAGAUUUAGACAAAUUUUAUUACACAGUAAAGCAGUGUUCCGUAUACCACCCUUUUCAAAACUACAGGCCUUCACUUACAUGUGAUCAGUAUUCUUUUUCUUCCAUUUAAUGAAUGAUCGUUGUUAGAAUAACUUUUAUUCAGCUUAAAACAUCUCAUCUAAACCAUCAGCAACAGACAUGACCAUAAAAUCUUGAACCAUCCUUCGACAAAAUACAUCUAGACCCAAUCAUCUAAGUCAAAACUCAAAUUUUAAUGAUUUGUAUUAACUAAAUUCACAACAUCUCAGUGCCAAAAAAGAAAGAAAGAAAGAAAGCAAAAUUAAAAAAAAAAACCAUUAAAUUAAAUGUUAAUUAAGAACCAUAUAUUUCAGGGGUAGAAAACAGGAAAGAACUUGAAUAACCAGUCUUGAAAUAACUAUGAGAAGACAAGAUGCAUACCUGUAACUGAUCUGAGUAAGAGAGGAAAUUGAAUGGCAAAAUUGAAUCAUCGGCCAAGUGAAGGGCCAGAAGCCCCCAAACUCCAGCAACUAAAACACAGAACAAAAAUGUAAUGUGUGAUGAAGAAAUUUUUGAGUAAAUACUUUAUUGAUAAGUAUUUUUUAGCAAAAUAUCUUAUAUGGCAACAGGUGAAAAGGGUGGAAAGCUAACCAGCCACAUGCCGAUGAAACAAAGGAUCUGCAUGGCCUACAAUCCAGGUGUAUGUAUCAAGGGCAGUGUGAUAGACAGGAAAAUCUGAAAAACAAGAGAUCCUUGUAUUACAACUGUAUGGCCUUAAAAACUUUAGUCUGUUACUCAAAUUAGAUGACAACAUUCAAAUUAGAAGUUGCCACUAACUCUAACCAAAAUGAUGGGUAUAAACAGGGCACUAUUCAAAUCCUCCACUGGCGCGGAGGAUGAAAAAAAUAAGUAAAAAAACUGUUUGAUUGCACUUGACAAACACAAAAAAGUGACAGCUUUUCAUAUUAUAUUAUUACACAAUUUAACACCAGAUCGUCUCAUCCCCAAAUGUAACCAAAUAUUUCCAUUAAAGGAUGUAGAAAACGAGAGCCAAACCUUUUCCAUAGUACAUAUCAACAGAAGGGACCCCAGCAUGCUGCACAAAAGAAGCAAAAUCCGAAUCCACUCCACCAAGUCUUUGGAUCUGCAAUUAGGGGGGAAAAAAAGGCUCACAUAUCCUGGAUAAGUUUCCAUCUCCCAAAAAAAAAAGGGCAAAAAGCACAGAAGAUUGACCAUAGCACAUCCGCUAGUCCUGCAAACCCUAGGGUGUCUUACACUAGUGAAUCAAUAGGAAGUCACAGAAAGACAAUGCAUAAGAUUCAAAAGUGUAUGCACAUAUAAUCAUAUAAAAAGAAGCCUUACAUUGAAGAUUCUGUUUGGAGCUGACCACUGAUCAUAUAAAGUUCCACUCUCUGAUUCAGGAUCUUUUACCUGAAAUCGAUGUGAAUGUUAGUUGAUCCGUAUGUUAAGCCAGUUGAUAAUUGAAGACUAAUUUAAACAUUUUGAAAUCAUAGUCAAUUAUUCUUCCCCAACUUACCAUUUUUGUGACCUCAAUAAGAAUAUCAUCUAGCUGAGGAGUUGCCCCGGCAAAGAAUCCUGGCCCUUGAACUGCACAAUCUACAUUAAGGUAGGCCACAGCUUUGGCACCCAGAUUCACAAGGUUUUCUUCAACCCACUCAGUGGAUCCAAUCUGAAAGCAGAAUAAAAGGGACCAAUACAAUAACUUCAUUCAGGGUGUAAGCACAAAAAUGUUCCACUGAAAAAUCCUUGUUUGAUUUAAUAACUAGCAAAAACAGGCAGAUUUUAUAGCAUGCAUAUAGGGAUAUUAACAAGAGUGGGGCCCCACGACUCCCUCUGCUCAUCAGCAGUCAGCACACAAAAUAUAACAGUUUGUUCUUUCAACAAUUACAGCCAGGUCACUGACUACUGAACUGCAUCACAGUUAAGAUCAGUGCAGCAGCCAUUCAGAAGAAAGUAAAAUAGGAAAAUUACUGAAAGACCUCUCUCUUUUCUAGCAGAUGAUAAAAAGUAACCCCAAACGUGAAAACCCCAAAUGGAGACGUGAAAUUAGAAAUGAAAAGGAGCUGAAACUGCAAGGCAGCAUGGGUCAAGCCUAACACUCUUAUGUCAUAGAUUUUAUUUUCCCUGAUCCUUAAAAUCACUGACAAAGUCGUAAUAUUCCUAUGGGUCCUUGUUUUGAGCAAAGUACCAUAGAAGCCUACUGUUUACAUUUGAUCUGAUGUCUUUCUUUGAUGCAUCAUUCAUGUAUUGGACCAGCUAAUAUGCUGCUUUAAAGGGAGAAAAGAAAAUAACUAAAAGGAUUCACAGAUCACUGUCUGACACAUCCAAGCCCAUAAACCACAUUGUACAUCAAUGAUCACUGAAGACUGAUUAUUACCUACCAUCCCAAAUUCUUCUGCAUCCCAGCUGCAGAAAAUAAUUGUUCUUCGAGGGCUCCACCCCAGGCGCAUCAAAAGGGCAUAUCGUCUGGCAAUAUCAAGUAGGGCUGCGGUCCCACUGUUGGGAUCAAUAGCUCCAUAUGUCCAUGCAUCUCUAUGGUUGCCAAGGAGCACAUAGCGAUUAGGCUCCUCUAGCCCUCUUAUGACUGCAAAAACAUUAUAAAUUGUCGCCACCUUUUUCUUCCCCUAGAAGAACAGAAAGAGGAAAAAUUAUAAAUCAUGAAACAUACCACUUAUUCAGAACCAGCUUGCCAAAAGAUCUGGAAUUUAAGAAUUAAAUUUUUUGAUAUUUCCACUGUGAGCUUCUAAUAACAAAGACGAAGAGGAAACAAUAUAAAAAAAUCCAGUUUAAGUCAACAAAGCCUUGAUUAUACAAGUUAUGCAGAUGAAACAACCCCAAAUGUGACCCUAUAAUUUGAUUGUAUAAUCACGAAAGGGGGGAGGGGGUGUGGAAACAAAUCUUCCACCUAUCCAAAGUAGGUUCCUAAUUUUAUAAACGUUAAGUUAGAGCUCCGGAAUCUAUUAGACAACACAUUUCUAUAUGAAUAAAGAAUCACGUGUGGCAUGCUAACGUCUAACAACACGACAAACCAACUUCUAAACUUUAGAGAACUUUCUGUUUCUCCUAAUAUGCUUCAACCAAGGUGUCCUACUCCACAACACAACAAACCAACUUCUAUGCUUACUUUAGAGAAUUCCCGGUGUCUCCUUAAAUGCUUCAACUGAUGUUUCUUCUCCACAACGCAACAAACUCCCUUCCAAACAAACUCCAUAGAAUGUCAUAUGAUACCAAAUAUGCUUCAAUCAGCGUCUUUUCGGAAUAUUCCACAUUAAUUAUCAUCUUUGAACAGUUAAUUACAAUCAGAAUUAAGGAGGCUUGAUGUUCCACUUGUCCAACAUGGAAAACUUAUCACAUUUAGAACACUUUCUAUUAUUCAAACAAUCGAAUAACUCAAUAAAUAGACACGGCCCCAACAAAAGAAAGUAACUUUUUUCUACCAUUUACAACUCUUAGUUUCUUUAUCAAAAUAUUGGCAACAAAGUUGUUCAUAAUUCUAUUUACACAGCCUAAGUCAGCCCAUAUUCAACUAAUUAUAUAAUUUACACCCAACAAUAAUACCCGUUAUAACAAUAGGGCCGUUAUAACAAUAAGGCCAAAACCAAAGUCAUAAAAAAACAUGCAUCAAACCAAGGAACCAACCAACCUGAAAUGUCAAAUUAACCAUAGUCGGUCCCGGGCCGACCCGCCCACCAUUAACCCGACCCAAAUCAUUCAAAAACUGAGGCACAAAGCCACCCCAAAGAGACCCCAGAAUGAUCUGAGCAUUCUCAAAAGACAAGGGCAAAGAUGGAAUUUUAGGAAAUCUCUUUGAAACUUCACUGUCUUCUAAAUCUAAGCUCUCCCCUCCUUCAACCCCAGCCCACCCUGGACUCAGUGGGUCCCCCACUCCUCUCAUAACUGUCCCUCUCUCAACCCCACCCCCCUUAACCUAUCCCACUCGGCGUACAAUAGCACCCCGAUCGCACCUUUAGCCUCGGCUAAAAAAAUAACUCCACUCCUCGAUAAAACACUCCCCUUUCUCGCCAUCACUACACACCCACUAACGUUCACCCCCGCAGCCUCCAACGCACGAUAGUCCUCUUCCCUCCCGUAAUUCACAAACACAACCUUACCGUACGCCGACCCGGACGGCGAGUACGCAUGAUACGGCUGAACAACGUCCAAGAUCGCAUUUUGAGAGAUACCCUUUUCAGUCAACGACAAUUCAACGGUAGUGCCGUUGCUGAAAUGCGCUGAAACAGAAGCAUGCACGGGAUACGACAAAAGCGCUUUGUAUUCGACGGUAUGAGUGUUAAACUUGAGUUGUUCGAAGUGUGACUGAACGUAGCGGACUGUGUCCAACGAGGGCUCAGUUCCUGCGAGGUGAGGAUGGUGAGUGAGGUCGCGGAGGUAAGAAGAGACUGUGUAGUUGGAUGACAAAGAGAGGAAAGUCUUUUGGAAGUGGAGGGCAGUUUGGGGAUUUCGAAGUGGGGGUGUAGCGGGUGAAGGGUAGGGAUGAUGUAGAGUAUAGAAGCCAAUAAUGCAGAGGAUUAGAAGGAAGGUGAAGGUUAUCAAAGGUGGCGGAGGUUUUGAGGAGGCGGUGGUGGUGAGUUUGGUGAAGGGAUGGGUCAUUUCGUAGAGAGAGAAAAUCGGCGUUUUUGAGGGUCUGAGAGAGAGAAAUUAAGGGUUUUAUGUUCGAGGAGUUACAGAGAAAGGAGAAAGGAGAAAGGACAGAGAGAGAGCAAAGGUCGUGGCAGCGCAAAGCAAAGGUGGUGCGACUGAAAUUGAUGCAAGUCAAAAAACGAGUUUCAGUGGGCGUUAUAUGGGUGCCAACUUUAUGGCGUAAUAACAUUUGGAUCCUUGAAUAUCUUUAUAUUUUCAAUUAAUGAUGUAAUAAUUAUAUUUUUGUUUUCUAUUUAUCAAACAUGUAAUAGGCCUGGAGUGUCUGUAAAUUGAUGCUAUGGGGGUGAGUACCUGAAGUUGAUUUUGAUUAUUUUUACUUGAAUGAGCUUUUUCUUUUCCCAACAAAAACCAAAAACUCCGAUCAAGAAAGAAAAUGCGUAAUAGAGUUAUGCAAGCACAUCAAUAAACCAAAAAUGAUAUGUAGUAUUAUAGCUUAAUAUUAUUACGAAUUUCUUAAACAUCCAUAUGAAUAAUGUCAGAUAAAUCAGACUAAAUUACUGUGAUUUUCUAUUUUGUUAAGAAAGCUUUCACAUUUUUAUUACUUGAAUGGUUAUUAUCGAAUGAUUGAAAUAUUUUUAAUGCUUUUAUUUUAUAGUUGCAAUUUUUUGUUUUUACCUUUGUGAUUUAAGAAAAUCUAACUUUCAGUUAUUAAUGUUUGAUGUUAGUUUAGACCGGUUACAAAUUUUUAAUUGAAUUCAAUUUUAAACAACAAUUCAAUAAUAAUUGAAAUUUAAUAUUAUAUAAAUAAUUUGGUUAUUUAUAAUUUUAAAUAGAAGGUAUGAACCUUUAACGAGAUCAAAAAUCUUGUUUCAAAUCAUAAUCUUAUUGUAUUUAGACGUGCUUCUAAAAUAUGUAAUCAGAUUGUUUAUCACCUAAUUAAAUUAGACUUGUCAACUCAACAGGAGAUCUUUCACUUGCUGUGAGCCGUAAAGUGAUGCCUUGGUUUUAAAUAAAGUUCUAAUUCCAAAGAAAAAAUAAAAUAGAACUUGUGGACCUAAUUGAUAUAACUUGCUAAACUUAUGCCUUUAUUUGUAAAAAUGUAAGAAUCGUGGCCUAAAAGUAUUUUUAUCAGGAUUGCGCCCAUCUUUUUUGUCUUUUUGUUUUUUGUAUUUUGUAUUUUUCCUUUGAGGAUAUAAUUGAAUGUCCUUUUUACAGGAAGUACGAUAUGCUGUGUAAUUAUUUAUAUUGGAGCAGAAUCCCGACUGAGAUAUGAAAAAUUUUUAAAUUAUGCGAUAUUUACAAAUUCUAUAUACAUUGAUGUGAUAAGUUUGUACGAAUCAAUGCCACAUGUCUUAUAUAAUUUUUAAAAUUAAAAAAAAAAUACAAAUAUAAACAGAAUAAGUGACAUUGCGACAACAACUUAGUACGAUAUGGAAUAUUUUAUAAAAUAAACAUUAAAGAGAAAGUUUUAUAUAAUUUUUUAAAAAUAAAGUUAACAAAUCCAUUAAAAAAUGGUGGCAUUUUGUAAUUGAUGCAUUGUGAUGUGGAAUCAUAGAGAGCGUGGUGGGGGAAAAAGUAACGGAUGAUUUAGUUUGUAUUUUGGGUUCCAAAGUGUCACUAUAACAUAUGAUAGAUUUCUUCUCUCUCUUUAAUUAAAAAUCAUUCAGGAAAAAUGACUGUUAGGUCCCUCACCUUUAAGAAAAAAGACAUAAAAAUUCCUAACAUCUUAAAAAAGAUAUAUAAUUUUUUUGUGUUAAUAAUUGCGAUUGUUUUAAAAGAAAAAAAGGUAAUAUUAUACAUUUAAAAACAAAAUACAAGGAAAAAGAUUGUUAAUCCCCAACCUUUAAUGAAAAGAUAUAAAACUCCAUAAUAUUUAAAAGAAAAAGACAUAUACCAAAAUAUAAAGAAAAAGAUUGUUAACCCCCAACCUUUAAUAAAAGGAUAUAAAACUUCACAAUAUUUAAAAGAAAAAGACAUAUAACUCCUUUUCAUAAUUAAAUUUCAUUUAUUUUAAUUAAGAAAAAGUAAUAUUAUCACCACCAUCAUCAUCUUGACCGUCAUUAUUAUUAUUAACCAAUGUCAUUAUCAUUAUUAUUAAAUAUUAUUAUUAUUGUUGUUGUUGUUGUUGUUGUUGUUGUUGCUGCUGCUGCUGCUGCUAUUACUACCCUUUUAUCAAUUUAAAUAAAGAAAAUUUAUUAAUGGAAAAGUGAUUAUAUGUCUUUUUUCAGAAAUAUUGAGAGUUUUAUAUCUUCUUUUUUUGAAACGUUGAGGGACUAAUAGUCACUUUCGUGUAUUUUAUUAUAAAUGUACAGUAUUACCCUUUUCUCUAUUAAAAUAAACUGACUUACCAAUAAAAAAAAAAAAAAAAAAGAGGCUUGUGUGUCUUUUUCGAAAUAUUGAGAUUUUUAUGUUCUUUUCCUAAAUAUCAGAGUCUAGCAGUCCUUUUCCCAUUAAUUCAAACCAUGCUUAUCCAAAGGCCAAAACUUUAAUUCUUUUUUUUUUUCCCGAUGAUAAUCUGUUAAAAAUACUAACAAAGGCAAAGGUUGUUAAAAGAGCCGAUGAGUAUUUUAUAACGAGGCGGUGAACCCAUUUAUUGUCGGUAUGCCAAUUAUACAUUAUCUCCUUUUUUUUUUCAAUCGUUGAUAAGAUUUAUAUGAAACAAAAUUUAUGUGUACUCGUAAUAAUAAAAGAAUAAAAAAAUUUACAAUAAUUUCAUUCUUAUGAUUGGAGUAGACAAAUUAAAGAAACCACAUUAUUGUUCAUAAGGUACGCACUAAGGUACCACAUUAUUGAGUCAUCUUUAUAACUAUAUCAAAGAGAAGCAAUUAUUCUCAUCUUAAGCAGCCAUGGUGCCCACAUGAAUAUCUUUUGUUCCAUUGUCAUCGUAUCUUUAUUGACAAAAAACAUUAUAAAACAAAACACUAAGAAUACCCUUCAACUUGCGGUCGCAAAUGAACACGAAAUUAAUAAAGUAACUGUCUCUUUGUCAUGGCUUUGCUAAGGAAAAUGACAUUAAAAUUUAUCAUUUGAUCUUUCAUUUAUUUUGUUUUUAGUUAUCUGUUUGUUUGUGACACAAGAAUGAGAAUCAAUGUUUGCUUCUUGUUUCUCUUUUUCUUUAUCUUUCUCUUUCACUUUCACUUUUUGAUUUUGUAAUCUUUUCCUCAAUAUCUCUUUAUCAUGUUUGUUUUUGUUUAAUUUAGUGGAGAGGGCAUUAUAAUUUACAGACACCAGCUAAGAAUUCAAUCAUAUAGAGAAGAAUAUCUGCUUUUUAAGAAAUAAAUUUGUUGGGAAGACAGCUAUGUGACAAACAAAUUUUAAAGGUCCAAUUAUUUUGCUCGAUAUUAAAAAUUCCACUCUGAACUUUACAUGUAUUAUUUAUUUGUAUGUGACAUUUUAUUUCAAGUUUAUCUUUUAUGUGUCAUUUAUUUUCUUUAUUGCACGAAUAGAUAUCUUUAUUGCACGAAUAUAUAUAUAUAUAUAUAUAUAGUUAUAAACUGAGAACAAUAUUACGAAUUAUAUUCAUUUAAAAAUAUAUUGUAACGUUAGAGAAUCUUCAUCUGUUUUAUAAAGUAAAAUCUCAUUAAAUUAAUAUUUGAUAAAUUGAUAAUCUCGAUUAAAUAGUAAUUUUUGUAGGUCUCCGCUUAGGGCAGUGGUGGAUCUAAAAAAAUAAUUUAUCGGGGGCUAAAUUAAAUAACAACAAAAUGUAAAAAUUGAAACUUGAAUAUAUAAAAAAUUUUUAUAACACAUUUACAAUUGUUCUCUACGCGAUUUCAUAUUCUUAAAACGUUGUGCAAUAGACUCAUUAUCAACACUAUUAAAUACAUCUCCAUAAACAAUCAAAUUAUUAUUCAUCCAUUCAUCUCUUAUCCGAUUUUGAAGUUCAUUCUUCACAAAAUUCAUUGUUGAAAAUGUUCUCUCUAUUGUGGUUGUAGAAACUAAAAGAACGAGACUAUUUGAUCAUUUGACAGAGAUUAUUUAAAAAUUUAUUAAUUUUUCUUUUAAAUAAAAAAGGAUAAUUUUUUUUUUUCAGUGGGGGCUUGAGCCCCCACUAGUCCUACACUACAUCUGCCUCUGGCUUUAGGGCUAUUGUGGUAAAUUAAAAUUUUUUGAUAAAUUUAUUAGAUAAUAAAUUUUUUUAAAAAAUCUUUUUUUCCCAUGAGACCAAUGAAUAUACAAAUUAAUAAUGAACUAAUUUGACACAAAAUAUAUAUGAUAUGUCUAUAAUUUUAUUUGUCGUACUUGCUAUGUGAUGUAUUUUAUUAGUCAUUAUUGCUUUGUUUACCCCUUUUGAAUAAGAUGCCGUUGUUUUAUUAUUUAUGUGUUGUUAUGAUAAAUUAGAGAGAGAUCAGCUUAAUAUAUUGUCCUCCAAAAUAUCUUCUCUAAUAAGUUACUAUGUAACGUGAUCCAGUCAUGCAAUUUAGACAAAAUGAUUAUUAAGUGACUGAUUCACUCAAUCAAGAUCAAAAUUCUAUCAUACAACUUGACAGGAUCGCUAUAAUCUCUAAUUAUACUACUCUUAUUCUUUAUGAAGAUUCAUAUUAUGAACGUUAUUUUCCUUUAUAAAUUAAUAGAAAUUUAUUGAUAUAUUAAUAUUUACUAAAUUAUUAGACUUUUCAUAAUCUCAAGGUUAUUAAUUUAACGAGGUUCUAUUGUAUUUUUUUUUUUAAUGAUAGGGGCGUAUAUCAUGCAUAUUUCCCUAUUUUAGGGAAGAUGAAAGAUGUAGAUGAUUUCAUGUGUAUGCUUGUGAAAAUGGAUGCAGUUGCAUCAUGCUUUAUUGAUGAUUUUAUUUAUAUUGAAUUUUAUUAUUGAAAUUACUUGAUGAUUUAUUUUAUGGUGCUUCGUUAUUAAGUAUGAAAUUUUUUCUUUAUAAAUACCUACAAUAAUAAUAAAUGGGCUUUUUGUCAGUGAGCCCAAUUAAAUUAGCAGUCAAUCCAACAUACACUCAACCCAAACAUAUCAAAUGCAAUAGCCCCUUUUUUUGAUAAGAUGUUACAUCAAUGUUUCUAUUCUUUUUGCUGAGAAAUAAUCACACACCAAUUGAUUAAAGUCAUAAAUCAUAUGCAUAGCCUGAAUUUGAUAUUUUUAAGCUGUGGUGACUAGUGUAUCCUGCACAUUGGUUAAUGUCGAAUGCUCAAAUUUAUUGAUUUUUGUUGAUCUUUUAAGCAUUUAGUCAUGUACAGGGCACGGCACCUAAAAAAUCCAUAUUUUUAUUUUUUAACAAUACUGUGGAAAUAUUUAUAAAUAUAAAUAUCCGAAUAUAUUAGUGGUGUUAAUUUUCUUGUAAAUAUUUAUAAGUUGAUUUGCUAAACCUAAUCAUUUUUUCAAGUUAUGAACAUCACGAGUCACAUAUCAGCGGAACCCCACACAUAUAUUAUUUUUGACCAACAAUAAUCCCCAGAACGUGCAAAUCUACCUGGGAGACAAAAUAAAGUCCAUAAAGUCGAACAUAGCCAAAACAUAUUAAUGACCAAUUAACUCAAAUUAAGUUUGUAAAUAUCAGGGAGCUAAAGCACACUGAUUUUGAUCAUUGACCCCCAAAAAAAAAAAUAUAUUUGCUCACACGGAAAAUUACAUUUUAAAAGAAAUUUUCUUGGAACUGCGAUUCAAUGGAAAUUAUUUACAGUCAGACAAGUUUACAGUCACUGUAAAAUGUUUGAAGCCCUUGCAUCUAUUACAAAAUCAGAAUACACAAUUCUAAGAAAACAAAUUUGCCGGUACGUUUCGUUCGUUGUGAACAUACCAGAUUUGUUCAAACUCCUACUAUGGAGUUAUAAGUACCAUUCGCGGCGAAAAGCAAUCCACACAGCAAUAUGCAAACAUCAAGAGAUCUUUGCCAGAAAUUCAAAGAUGAGCCUAGCAAUAUUAAGUGGUAUAAAGCUGGCAAAACAAAAGAGAUUAGAGCACAUAAGGUGCUGCCCACAAGCGAUGUGAAUGCACCAAAUCCUGGUAUGAACGAUGCUAUUGCUGCUAGUGCAACCACCAAAAUUGCUCGACUUAUGUAUAUCAUGAACUUUCCUAAUCUAGUGGUCGAAUUGUUGUCAUAAGAAAUGCACGGGUGCGUUUGAAAGAACGAGCUCUUCUUCAAACUCCCCUCUAUAAUCUCGUGAACCGGGUGUACCAUGAUCGGAAAUGUAAAUAUGAGUGCCACACACAACCCCAUCUGCCAGUAUAUUAUCAUUAAGGUUAGUCCAGCAACAACAUAUGAGAAAGUAGGAUUAAUCUUUAAGGGUGGAUUAUGAAAUAUUACUGUAAAAACUCAGGCACCUCAAUUCUCAACCCUCCAAAAUGAUUAGUUAAAGAAAUAAGAGACUUAAAUUUAUUUCUUUUUUCUCCAAACUAAAAGACAAAAUCAUGAAGCACAUAAAUUCAAAGGGAAAAGUGAUCUAAGAUUCAAUAGUACUUGUAGAGAUGAUAAUCAUUUAACAGGCAAAAAGAAUACAGGUGGGCAUGACAUUUUAAUAUUGUAUUUCUCAUGGCUUUAGAUGCAUGAAACUCAUCUAAUUCCGGAAGUCAUCAUACUCUUUUAAUCCCACUCCACAGUAGGAACAAUGAAGAAUCUGAUUUUGGUGUUUGGGCACAAGUACUGUAGACCUUGGAUUAUAUUAAUGUGUUCCCUAAGACUUUUUGAUAUCAAAAGCUUUACAAGAAUACAAAUUUUAACUAUGUCAAUACAUCAAAAAGCAAUCGUUUUUAUUUCAUUUAGAAAACCUUCGUUAUCAAAAAUAUCCAUUAACAAAUUUAGGCUUCCUUCUUUAAAUUUUUGAACAAAACCUAAGUCGGAUAAGAACAGAGCAAGUGCAAUAUGUAACAUGAGAAACAUAGGAAAUUACCUGAACUGCAAUGGAAGACCAAUCUUUAGGCAGAUUCAGAGUAACAAUAUCCUUAGUGUCAUCACCAUACGCCAUGAAACCGAAAAAACCAAACGUAACAUACACAAGAGUUAUCCCAGUAAAAGCCUGAGCAAGCAACUUGGAAAACCUUCCUCUUUCUCUCAUUGAUGACUCUAAUGCAAAAGUCAUACCAAAUCCUUCAAAACAAAAUACUGCCAUUCCUCCAGCAAAUGGCAGACCUCUGAUGUUAGAACUCACUGCUUUCCUGUCACUAAAAGAAAAUUCACCCCCUAAAAUCUUUUGUACAUCUUCUUUAACAACAAGUGUCAUGGCUAAAACAUUGCAAAUAUCAGCAAAAAUGCUGAAAGGCGCUAAAGCUGAGAGAGAAUUAAUCCAAGAUAACAGAAUUUGAACUGGCACUACUAAGAAUAUGAAAGAACGAUACGUGAGGCUGGUGUAGGAUUUGAAUAUUGAAAAGAGGUUUUGGCCAAUGAACACUAAAUAUGCAACUGAACCUCCACAUUGGGAAGUGAAAAUGAGAAAUUCUGUGAGAAAGCGGCCAGCUUUUCCCAUACAUUUGUAACCUAAAUCUCCAUAUGUCUUUGUUUCUGUUGAGGAUGUGUCUUCAGAUACUAACUUAUCUCUGCAUUGAAUCUGCCAGAACAAGAACUUAUAAAUUGGCUUUUCAAUUGAAAAACAGAGGAAAUACUUUCAAAUCAUAUUUCCUAGUCCGCCUGUAGUAGCGGCCAUAAUUUAUUUGAAAACUAAGAUAACAAAAGUGUAUAGUAAAUUCUGCAUGACAUCUUUUCGAUUUGUGAAAACGACAACAAAUUACCCAAUAUCCCUAAACUCUUAAACAAUUUAGAGUACUUCAGUCGGUUAGUGACCAAUACCAAGUCACAAAAAGCACAAAACAAAAGAAAAAUGCAUCUGGCUUUAUGAAUUUAAACAUCUAAGAACGAGAAAAAAGACAAACAGAAACGUUCACAAGAAAAAAGAUAAAGAUAUGUAACAAGAGACUUAUACUGACAAGAAGGAGCAUGCAGUAGUAGGUGGAGAGACCAGCGAUCAUGACGCCAAGACAUCCAGCAAGCCAACCGGCAACACGGAAAGCAAAAGGCAGUCCCAAAAUGCCAGUCCCAACUAUUGAUACAAUUAUAUUCCCCAGCGUUUGAGCCGCUGAAGCUGUUCCCGUUACUCUUCCUGAUGAUUUUGGCAGCAAAGGGUUUUCAAUUUCAUUGCUCAUGUGAUUCUCACCACCUUCUUCUCGUCUCAUCUUUUUUUUUUUUUUUUGGUCGGGGGGGAGAGUUCGCUGGUGUUGCUGAAAUGCAAGCUGGUUUUGGUUUUAUUUUAUUUUAUCUUUUUUUUUGGCUAAAUUUUGUCCCAUCCUUUUUUCGGAGAGGGUUUUGCUGGUGCUGCUGAAAUGCAAGCUGGUUUUGGUUUUAUUUUAUUUUUAUUUUAUCAUUUUCAGCUAAAUUUUGAUUGUGGGCUGGGCUUUGUUUGACGUGGGAGUUGUCGGCUUGUGGCGGCACAUGGAAACGACAGAAGUUUGCGCUGGUCUGUGACCGAUGCCAGUGCCACGUCGAUGUGAGUGUGAGUGGAGUUGAAAAGGGUAGAGCUUACAUCAAUCAACUGAACAGGAAUGUCUACGUAUCAUAUCCGGAUUGGCGUAUCACAUCGUCGUAAUCAUCAUUACGAAUUCUGUCGUCACUUUGCUGGUAGCAGACACAGUGUUGUUCUGGUAAAGCAAAAACAAGAGAGGAAACCAUGGGAAAACGUCUUAGGUUAUAAACAAAGAAGGGGGCUUCGUUUGUGGUACAAUCUGAUAGAAGUGCAUGUGACACGUCUCUAAUGGCCGAUGAAUUUGUAAAAUGUCACGAUAAUGAGACGUAAUGGGGCUGUUCUCGCACUGUAUCUUUUCCUGUGUUAUUUACCAUUUAGAGAAAUACUUAUGGACAUUCCAGUAUACCAUAUAAUAAGAUCAUGCAUGCCAGAUUCUGGUUUCAGAUUUUGCAUUUGAUUUGUUUCGUUCGACAAAUUCUGCAAGUUCUGUAAGCCCUGAUAAAAUUAAACUUGUUCAUCAAAUUUCACAUAUCUACUCAAAAUACUAAAAGAAGAAAAAGGAAAAACAGAGAAGCAGCAGCCUAUGAAAAGGAUCUAAGGAUAUAAAACUGCAUAAACAAGCACGCCAAAAAUAGCAAUUACAGCUACCAUUGCCAUCCAGCUUAUACAAUGUCCAUUGACGAAAUGAACACUAAAGUUAUAACCUCUUAUAAAAUUAACUGCAACAUGAGAAUUGACACUCGACUUCAAAACCCUAACUCAAGCUUGAAACAUCUAAAAUCCAAUCCAAAACUAUGAACCUGAACUGUAUAAUAAUGAACUCCAACCCAAUCCAGAACCUGAUUUGCUGUCGUGAUUUGCAGCCAUUUUUUUAUAUUUACAGAAGGCAAGUGAUUGUAUAAUACAGUGUGCAAAUACCUAUAUAAGUCAGCAGCAAGGUGGCUUCUUUUUUUUUUUCACCCCAACGGAGACAAAGUUUCUCCCGCAUAGUUAUUUGCCAAAUGCCUUAAUUCCUAGGAAUAUUUACAAGGCCUCAAAACAAUACGGUUGGCAAACACAUUCAAUAGCAUGCAUCAGCUUUCUCCGUGGGCCCACUGCAUCCACACCCAUAUCCUUAAGCUUCUGCAUGGUUAGAUUCACCAACUGAAGUUUAUUCACACACUUUCCCUGGAAAAGCUGAAUGAACUGUCCCAGUCCAAGUGAUGCUAGCCACCGGCUCAAACCACCCGCUUUUCGAAGUUUCCUCUCAAGAUUUAUAGCCCUUAGCCUUUGAUUUAGCAACAUGCUCCUAUCAAGUGAACCACUGAUGCAGUGAAAAGAUCUUGGCCGCCUGAUGAUUUUUGAUGUGUCUAAUACCUCAACUAUGUUAUGUGGUUUUGUAACAUGAACUCGACCUAGAUUUUCUGGUUCCGUCCUAGAAUCUAUAAUUGGUGGCCUGGCUAUGGUUGCAAUGUACUGACGUGGAGUUCUCUUAGCAAUCUGGAAACCUCUGCUAGGAGCCAAUGAUGUAGACUUCUCUUGUUCAUCAACUAAAAUCUUCUUGGAAUGUGCCUCAUUUGAAUGCUGUGACUGUGUGUUAACUGUUUCUGUAGGCAUAGCUUGCAGUUGACUGGGUCCCAAAUUUGGCAUAGUGGACAUAUUAGCCAAAGGCAAAGGAGGAACCAGAAUGGUGACCUUCUGUUUUUUAACUAUAACCCAACUUUCAUCUUCGUUCCACUCAGCAUUGGAGUUGUUUUCAGGCACAGCCUUCGACGGUCUUUGCUUUGGCUUGACCAUUAGUUAUAGACCUGCUUGUUAUACAUUAGGCAAUAGGCUCCAAACAUUAAAUACUGCAAUAGAAAUGCCUCUAGAAUCACAAAUAAAAUACAACCUAAAACAAAGACGCUCUUCAACUAAACAGCAAUUUCAUAUGCAUACAUGUCAAGUCAACACAGAGAUACCCUGUAUCAAUGAAUCCUACUAAGUGGUUGAAGAACACCAACUAAGAAUACAUGUUACUAGCUAUAUCACUGGUCACUAUAAAAGAUUCAAACCAGCAAGCUAUUCCAAUCCCACUAGAACAAUUUCCCACUAGACUACAGGCCCAAAGAACCAAAAAAACAAAAAUCACAGGAUUAGACAUUUUAGAAUGUUGAAGACUAGUGUUCAGAUGAAUUACAUGCUAAUUCGGCACAACCUCCAAACUAAUUAAAGAAUUCACUUUCGUUAUCAUUCUCAAAGGAUUCAAAACCACCUUUUAAGCAUUGUUUAUGGUACUUAUGUAAAUCACAAAAACAUGAAAAUCAAUUACAGAUAGGUUGGACAUUAGCUCGAGUGGCAGAAUAGAUACAGUAGACUCCACACCUAUGAGAUAUGUACCUCUAGAAGAAUUUAAGUAGGUGCAUUGUGCAUUUUGAAGAUAAAUAAGACAUAAAAUUAAAUGGUAAUUAUUGUUUUGGUGUGCAGUCGAAGUGGAGAAUUAACUAGACAGUUCUAUGUCUAUCAAAUUCAUUAGAUCAAGAAACCAAUAUCACCAAGGUUAUUAUCAACUAAAUAUUACGAAUUACAUUCAGUGGUACCUGUAACCUAUCAAAUAACGAAGCGUGCGUAAAGAAAAUAUUAAAUUUGAGCUACUUCAACAAAUUACUUGAGCAGUAAUACGCAUCAAAAAGAUCGAAAAUUUGUUACUCGUGCAAGAAAAGGAGAAUAAUUUAUAAUGGGGAAAAUGAAAUUUGUUCAAAAUUCAACAAAAAUUAAAUCUGAAGAAUGAAAAUUACCGAUUUACGUGCUGACGCAGAGAUACAUGAGCUGACAAAUUGGUUUAAAUCGCCACCGUUUUGAAGAAACCUAGAAAAAUUUUCUGAGUUGGAAUCUGAAGAAGACCCGGAAAUAAAAACCGGAUCGGGUAAGAACCGAUCAUAAAGGAGAAUCGGGCUUGAGUUUUUUUAUUGAAGAGGAGAUAAGAUAUGUGCUCUAAUUUAUCCGAUAAUAUUUUCUUAAAAUUUGAAUAAAUUAGUAGUUUAGAAACCGGAUCAAUUCAGUCUGUCUUAUCUCUUAUUAUCUUCGACCAUUAAUAUUGAUAUAUAUUCUUUUAGUAGAUGUGCAAUCUCCCCAAUUCUUAGUUGAUAUAAUCUUAGUUGAUAUAAUAUUGAUAUAAUCUUCAUCUUAGUUGUAUAUUGCUAUUUUAAUGUACAUGCGAUUAAAGACUACGAAUGAUGAAGCACAAGAGGUUAGCUUAGCAUUGAAUAUAAACAAUAACAUCACACAACACUCCACCAAAAAAAAAAAAAAAAUCAAGUGGAUUAUCAUUCAAAAAUAAUUUUACUAUUUUAUGAUUGUAAUGUAUAAAAUAAUCAUAUUGUCCGAUAAAAAGAAGUGGAUACUAGGUACAAUUUCUAAAUGAGUGGACUUAUUUGAAUUCACAAAAAAAAAUUUCUAUGUCCAUUAAUUUAUAAUAAAUUUUAUUUCUUAAAUAACCUAUUAAAAUAUACCUUUGAGGACUUUUUUUUUUUUUUUUGAAAUUGCACAAAAAUUCUACAUAAACUAUAGCUUUCUAAUCCUUCUUAUAAUUUGGUAAAAAAAAAAAUCAAUUUAGAAUAAAAAUUUUCAUUCUACCAUUUAGAACUUUACUGAAAAUAUAUGGAGAUUCUUUUACAAAUUGACAUAUUAAUACGGAUUGGACUUUAACUAACCCAAAGUUCGCUACUGGGCUGAAAGAAGAUAGAAAGAGAGGGAUUAAUUGUGGAAUGUAAUUAUUAUAUAUUUUUAAAAUUGAUUUCACUUGAAUCGCAUUAUUUCAAGGAAUAAUUGGUCAAACCCCGUUCCAAUAUCUCUAAGUCAAUAAAUUAAUCUCCAAAUACUUGCUUUAAUUGGUCAAACCAUUAUUAAUGACUUUUGCCUUAGUGGAAGACUUCUUACACUUACAAUAUUGAGAAUAAGGGUUCGAGUCACCAUAAAAGUAUUAUGAGGGUUAAUUUCAAUCUUCCUUCAAGUUAAUUUAAAUCUUCCUUCAAUUAUUAAAUAAUUGAGUAGAGAUAAUCUCUCUCUCACAAAAUGUGAAUGAAAUGGACACCCCUUGAAUAUUAGAGAGGAUUUAAAGAAUCUGAAUAGCUCUUCAAAGGAGUACAUGCCAAGAGGAGAUCUCAAUUAUAUAAUAUGUUUGUAAAUAUUAAUUGUAAUAUAUAUUAUAAAACCCUUCAAAUAUUAAAUAGAAUUUACAGAAUUUAGGCAACGUUUCAGAGGAGUACAUGGCAAGAGAAGGUCUCAGUUGUAUAAUUUGUUUGUAAAUAUUAAUUGUAAUAUUUACUGUAAUAUCAGUAACAAUCAUAUAUAAUAGUAUUAAAAAAAAUGGUCAAACCGUUUAGCGUUGUAUAAGAAAAAGGAAAGGAAAGAAAAGAAGUAGAGAAAACGAAGGGAAGAAGAAGACUAAUUGUUGAUUUGCUGAUAAUUGUAAAAAAUGUACAAUUAUUUUUAGAUUUUAUGAGGAUUUAUAAGGCAAGACAUUAUUUUUUAAAUUUAUAUUACGAAUUUAUUAAAAAAAAUGGGUGUGGAAAGAAAUAUUAUGUGUUACCAUUUUCUGACCUCAUCAAAAAGCUUUACAAAAAAGUAUAUAUCAUAUAUUUGUAAUUAUUUUAAAGUCAAUAAAUAAGAAAUAUAUAUGUAUAGUUCUUUUUAAAAAAAUCAAUAAAUAAAAGGUAAUGAUUACUUUGGAGUUGCUCCAAGCUAAAACACAAAUCACAGCCACACACGUAAAAUGAUAAAUAAUAAAAAAUAUAUUAUAACUUUGAUCAUGUGGCUAUGAAGAUGUACUCUAUCUUACAAUGGUUCCAACAUAACCGGACCCUAAAUAAAAUUAUUAGAAAACAUGCUUUCCAAAUAAGAAGAGAAAAUGAGAAAUAGGAAGUCACCAAAAUUAACGAAAAACAAGCAAGAUCACUACACGUGCCAUGCAUGCAGCUGCAGCCGCAUGCCACACAAUCGUGUGCGUGUAUAUUUCAGCCCAGACAUGCGAUGACUUAGCCGCUUGCGUUUCAAACAUAUAAUCAACCAAAAACAAACAACAAACAAAAUCUCCUUUUUAUUUCACAGGAAUUUCCCAGAUCCUCCUUACUCCACACUUUGUCUCUCUCUACUGGUAAUUGCUUUUUCUUUAUAUUGAGCAAAAUAUUUCAUGUUAUUAAUUUGUUGGGAGAUUCACUAUUACAAACACCUACGUGUUGUCCACGUUUUAAAUUUUGUGUUAGAAUUACUAUUACGUUUAGAUUAUUAACUUGUAUCAGUUUUUUCUUCGAACCUCGCCCACACAGAUGACAGAAGGGUGUUUCAAUUUAUAUUUAAUGCAAUAAUUCAAAUGUAAUAGAAGUUAGGAUUUCAAGUUUGUGACCUAACGUGCGUGUAUAUCUGCUACUUCUUAUGGGAAUUCAAGGAAAUUUCGAUCAGUUUAUAGAGUAUAGGUGUCCAACAAAAUAUAUGGAUCCACUUGGAGGCCAAUGUAGUUUGUUUACUACUUUACUUUGGUUCAAAAUAGCAGAUAUAAUUUGUGUCAUAGUGGUGCAUAGGAGCAUGUUAAGAGAUUUCACAUUUUAUAUCAAGGGCUUGAGUUUCCGUCUGUUGGCGUCUAUAACAUUACAUGUAUGUACAUUGGCAGAGUCGGCUAGUUAAUGGGGAAUGUUUGUUAGUUUAAAAUUUGGGUCUGAGAAAGGUUUUUGGGUUUAUUAGUAAGCCAAUGUGUUUAUUUUUUCGAUUUUGGAUGAAAUGACAGUUUUGAUUGGUGUCUGAUGAAUAUUAUGAAAGGAUGAAGUUUGGAGAGACAUUUACAGAGUAUUUGCAUGGAGAUCAGGAGAGGUUUUUGGAUAAAUGCUCUCAUGUUGAGUAUAAGAGACUAAAGAAAGUCUUAAAGAGCUGCAGGACUUGUAAAGGACUACACGAUUCUGCUUGCAAAACGGAGCAACAAUGGGAUGAGGGAAAAGACAUCUCAGAGUCUCAAUUAUGUCAGUGCCAGUCUUCAUGCCAAUGUCAGUUCUUACUUUCGUUACAUUUUCAUUCUUGGUAAAUUAUAUAUAAUUAAUUGGUUAGGUGAUGCAACUUAUUCUAAAAAAAUUUGUUUCCUUGUAAUGUGAAAAAUACAAUGUCUAGGAAUUGUGAAAUCAGUUUAAGAAUGAAAUUUGGGAGCUUAAUAAUAUUGAUUUAAAGCUUGAACUUUAAAUUUUCUCGAUUUUGCACAUCAAUUGCUAAACUCUUAUCGGUAAUGUAAACAUUAUAUUUUCAAGUAUUAAUCAUGAAUCCUUUGUUGAUUUUCUAGUGUGUGAUCAUAUGUUCUUCUCUGAGCUGAUGAAGGAAGCAUCAGAUAUAGCUGGGUGCUUUAGUUCUCGGGCUAGACAUCUCCUCCAUCUUCAUGUUGCUAGUGGAAUGCAAAGAUAUGUGCUGCGCAUACGUCAAUGUUUCAAGAAUGAUCAGACAGCCAUGAUAGAAGAAGGAAGGGUGUUGAUUGAGUACAUAAUAAUGAAUGCAAUUGCUAUCCGUAAAAUCCUCAAGAAAUAUGAUAAAGUAAUGCAACUUUGGUCCACUUUUGCUGUCUGUUGUUGCUGAUUCAGUUCACAGUAUUUUUGUAACGCCGGUGACAGUUAUUUUACUUUGCAUAGGUGCAUAAAUCUGUAAAUGGGAAGAAUUUUAAAUCCAAAAUGAGGGCUGAACACAUAGAGCUUUUGCAAUCACCCUGGCUAAUAGAACUGGGAGCUUUUUAUUUGAAUUUCAAUGGAUUAAAUUGUGGAGCAUCCAGUGAGUUUUCAGGUCAUUUCUCCUUUGAUUUCAAUGCUUCACGACCUGUGAUGACACUGGCACUUCCAAGUUCUAUAAAGCUAGAAUAUGAUUUGACUUGUGCAGUAUGCUUGGUAAGAUCUCAUUCCAAUAAAUUCCUAGAUGAAGAAAAGAUGAGAUUUAUUAUUUAGUUUUUCAUUUGUUUGUUUCUUGUUAUGAACUGACAGGAUCUUGUUUUUAAUCCGUAUGCUUUGAGCUGUGGUCAUCUCUUUUGCAAGUUAUGUGCUUGCUCAGCUGCCUCAGUCAUGGUGUUUGAAGGCCUUAAAUCUGCCAGUCCGGAUUCAAAGUGUCCAAUCUGCAGAGAGGUUUGUGUUUGGCAUUAGAACAAUAUAUGGAAUUCAAAUUUUUUAUGUGGAAGUAACACCGGUAAAGAUUUCACCAGGCAGGUGCAAAAAAAUAGGUGUAUAGUUAAAUGUCCUCUUCUUGUGAAAACUUGUCACAUUUAUUCACAGAUUAUUCUUAUAUCGUCUAUAGGAGCUGGCUGGCAAUUAGGAUGCAAGGAGACGUGGUAACUAUUUUGACCAAAAAUUCUAAAAGAUACAUUCAACUUCAUGAUCCUCCUAUUAAUCACAGUUCACUUCAAAAAGGCUUAUUUUCGGUUAGAAUAAUAUGAACACUUUGCUUAAUAUUACUUUGCAGUCAAUUUCGUCACUCAUAUCAUAUGUUCAACUUUUGACUUCCACCGUUGACAUUGAUCAAUUGUUUGGCAGAAUUGUCUCGAUAAAAUGUAGAACUUGAGUGGUUUUUGAAUUAGCUCUCCAUCCUGUCUUUGGUUGCUCAAGGCUAUGCAGUAGCAAAUGACCAUAGUCUGAUGCUAGAGGACAUUUUAAAACAGGGGCGUAACUGCAGGCAUUCGCUGGCAAACUGCCUUUGCAGCAGUUUAGUCAUUGCUAUAGUAAUUUGUAUUCUGAAUCUGUUUCCGAAUUCCCUAUAAAACCACCUUUCUUUUCCCCUUUGCAAGCAACUGCCUUCAAUUUGUAGAGUCCUUGAGCAACUGCCUUCAAUUUUUAGACUCCUUCUCUGGUAAUAACUUGUUUUACCUACUUUCAUUCACAUGUAAUAUGCUAUUUCUUGAUUCUAUCAGACAGUUGAAGUAAUGAAGUAGCUACCAGGUUGUUUUAUUCCUUAGGUUCGAUGUGAAAAGAAUGACAAUUCGUUAAGUUUGAUGCUCAAAAUAGAUCUUCGCUGCUGCAGUUCUUUGUCUUGCUAGGCAAGGUUUCAGAAGUAAUUGUUCCUUAGUUGUGCCUGUUUCCUUCAAACUAAUAGCACCAAAACCCCUCUGCACGGUGUGGCAAUGGGCAUGAUAAAAUCCCUUCGUUUUUAGAAGUUUUCCCUUUACAUUAGAAGGCACAUUUAGAGCAUUCUCUUGAAACUCCUGCUGUUUAAUCAAACUUGAUCAUUCUGCCUGUGAUCACAACAAUUUUUAUCUUUUAUGUUGUGCUCUUUUGAGCAUAACGUAGCAAAGAUUGGAUUAUUUGCCAUUUAACUAGGCUUCUGUUAUUGUUCUCUAUUAUGCAGGCAGGAGUAUAUGCGAAAGCAGUCCACAUGCUUGAACUAGACUUAUUGGUAAAAAGAAGGUAAAGAAACUGAAAACUCACUUCAUUCAUUAGAGACAAAUCAGACUUUUCUUAGUAAAUAUUUUCCAGGUUCAAAGAAUAUUGGAAGGAAAGAUUAAUUGCCGAACGAGCAGAGAUGGUGAAGCAAUCUAAGGAAUACUGGGAUUUACAAACCAUAUCUGCAGUUGGGUAUUGAUUUUUCAGGCUCCCUUGUUUGAGAAGAAGAGAAAUAAAUCAUUCAGUUCACUUCAAUCUCUGGUACCGGAUAGUAUGAUUUCGUUAGUUUGGUUGGCACCAGUAACAUCUGCAGUUCUGCAUCCAUUGUUGAUUAAUUUUUGGGUUAUAUGUUGGACAUUUUUAGUUCAAAUCAUAAGAUUACUGAAUGAAAUCAUGCUAAAUUGCUCUCACAAUCCAAUCUUUAGUUUGUAUUCAUUGCACUCGUGAUCAAAUAAAACCCAAAUUUAUUAUGGUUAAUUUCAUGAUUGAUAUUUAAUAACAUAAUACAAGGGCUUGGCUAACCUGACUGCUUUUGUAAGGUACAACUGGGCCGAAAGGGUAAUCGGAGGUGGGCCCUAGGAGGCCUAUAACCCCUUUUCUAUAUGGGCUGUACUUUAUAGAAGGCGUCAGGUAGAAAGAGGGACGAGAUUUGUGGGCCCUACAGGACACAAGACAUUGACACAAAUCCUCAUUUUUCAACCCCUUUUUUUUUUUCAAUAAAUAUAUGUUUGUCCUAUUAAAAGUGGAAAAGGUCAGGUUGGCUUUCUCCUUUUUUUCUUCGCAAAAAGUCAUUAUAAAACAAAAACAUUUGGUUCUGUAAAUUUUCAAAUUACAAUCGCAAAACAGCCUAUCAAAUAUAUUUCUUUAUUGUCUAUUCUUUAAAAGAUAAACAAUAAUAAUAUGUGCAUAAAGAAUAGCAUAAAAACAAAAAAAAAUUAAUUCUUGUGAUAAUUUUUUUUUGUCUUUUAUAUUAUUUUUUUGUUAUUUUCGUACAAAAACACAAAACAACGAAAGUAAUCCUAAACACUCUGUUACUCUAAGCUAACCCUUUAUUUUUUUGAUUUUAUGAGGUUUUGUUGGGCUUUAAUUAUAAUUUUUUACUGGGCUCAUGUAUUUAUUUCUACCUAAUAUUAAAAAACAAAGGAAGAAAAUGUCCGUUGGCGGGUCAAAAUUUGGCAUUACACGUGCAGUGGGUUUGGUAGUUUACCCUAUUAUCUGAUUAAUAAUUACAUAAAUUCCAAAAAGAAAAAUUAAAACUAAAAGGAGAUAACAUCCUGCCCUCUAAUUUUGUCAUUUUCGCAUAAAAGGGCAUAGGUUUUCUGUUUGUAUCAAAUAGGUCCGUAACCCCUUCUCAAAUAAUGUAUUUUGACAACAAUAGAGUUUAAACUCUCUAAAUGAGAGACUGAAUGACUUGAGAGAAUAGGAGUAGACCCUCUCGAAUAACAAUAAUAUAUGAUUUUUUAUAUUUUAAAAUUACAACUCAUAUUAUAAUAUAUACUUUUUUAAAUAGAGAUUAAUGUCUAAGAUGAGUAUUUUGUACAACACAUGUGUGCGACACUUAAACAACUUUCAUCCAAAGUUACUAAGUAUUAAGAUUCUCAUUCUCAUUAUUUAAGCUAGAAUACAUGUAGAAGAGCAAUUAAGUCAAAAGAAAAGAGAGCUUAUAAUAUUUACAAGAGAAUAUGUGUGUACAAGUAUGUUGCAAUACAAUGAUUGAGUACUUGGAGAAUUGCUUAUAUGGAACGCUAAAUAAGUACGUGACAAUACAAUGCUUGAGCACUUGGAGAAUUGCUUAUAUGAAAUGCUAAGUGACUAGUCUAUUAAUAAGGAGGCUUGUCACAUUCUACUAAGUUCUAAAAUAUUUUUAUUUAGAGAAUUUUCAUAGUUUAAAAAACUCCUACAUAAAAUAGAUAGAAUUUUUAUUUAUAAUUUCUUAGAGAAUUCUCAUUCUACCACAAUACCACUAUUUUAGAGAAUUCUUAUUUUAUCCAGAUAUUUAUAAGCUAAAAAAUUCUAGAGAUAGAAGUUUUUAAAUAUAAAGCCCGAGUUGCACGUCCUAAACUUAUAUAAUAAAUCUCUUAGUUCAAAAUUAGGUGAUUUGUAACACUAAAAUCUUAAUUUUAAAUGGAGAUUUGACUAGAAAAUGUAAAUAUUUAAGAAAGGAUUAAUAUUAUAUUUUUAAGUUAGUAUUCUAAACUUUACAACCUUACUAGACAUUAUGGAAUAAUUUAAAUUUUCAAUAGAAUCGACUAUGGAAAAAAACUAUGCUUUGAAUUAAAAAUUAAAAAAAAUUAGGGAUCUGGAUGUUAUUAUCGUUCAAAAAAUUUACUUCAUAUUUCAAUGAUCCAUUUUCAUUCACUAUCGGUGUUCGCAGAGGAACUCAACAAUGGCGUAUUAUUCCUUUUGGCUCGCUCGUUUACGAUCAUCAUCAAAAUCCAUCCUCAGCAGUCUCCGCACUUCAAAGUUCAGUACUCAGAACACACGUACAAGAACUCUUAUCACAUUAUCCAGCGACAACAGCUCGAGAAAUGGAACCCCGUUUCAGCUGUUUUCAGCCUCUCUUCUUCCUUUAGCACUCGCUGCCUCUGCUGGGUCCCUCGCCAUGCAAUCCCAGACGCACCCUUCUCUCUGCGACUCCUCAGCUCUUGAUUCUCGGUAACUCUUUCCCGUUUUAGUUGAUUUUGUGUAUGUUUAGUUUAGGCUGGAGGUGCUGUCGCUUUUAGCUCCGAAUAAAAAUCACUAGCUAUCAAAUCAGGUAUAUGUGAAUGUGUCAGAAUGUCAGUAAUGAAUAUUAGUUGUGAGUAAAAGUGUUUGAUAAAUAGGCGCAGCAUUUUCAGUUGGUCCCACAUCAUACCCGCCCCACGUAUCACCUUUUAUGCCCUCUGGCACUAGGCUUACGAGAGGUUAUCCAACGUAAGUGGUGGUUGUGGAGACUUGAACGUGGACCUUGAAGUCCGUACUGUUCAUCUGUGAUUUCAAAAUUGAGUAGAAGUAUGGCAGUUAUUCACAAGCAUACAGUAUGUACUCGAUUUUGAUUCUGUGUUUACUUUUUCAAUUUUGUGUAAAGGGAUGUGAACAUUGGUGGUAAAGGAAGUACGGAGUAUGUGGUGAAGGGGUCACACAAGGAAAUUCCGCAGGAGCUUGUUGAUGAACUCAAGGCUAUUUGUCAAGUAUAGCUUUAUACAUAACUCAAUUUGAAUCUUUUGAUUUUUUUCUUUUUGAUGGAAAGUAAACUUAUGGGUCUGGUUAUAUUAAUUGAUCAAUAAGCUAAUUGUAGACCACAUGUAUGAUUAUGGGUCUAACGUUCGAUGUUAUUAGUUUAUAUUUUAUGUUAUCAUUCAUCACACUAUCAGUAUGACUUUGUCAUUUUACUAGCUUAAUGUUCUACUUUGGUUUAUAAUAUUACUAGUUGGAUGUCCUUUCAAUUGUCAAUAAGGAGGUUUAUUGUGUGUGAAUCCAAAUUCGCAAAAGUAUAAAAUUGUUUCAUCUGAAUUGGAGUAGGAUGAUAUGACAAUGGAUUAUGAAGAGAGGUACAUCCAUGGAAAACCACAAAACAGCUUUCACAAAGCAGUAAAUAUCCCCGAUAUCAUUGUGUUCCCCAGGUGCAAUUUCUUCUCAAUCAUCUCCUUGUGUACUGAAUUUUUUUUUCCAGCUCUUGAUAUCACAUUUGUAUUACUUUUCUUUUUUAAGUUUAUAUUUUGAAGAAGAAUACAGACUCCAUCAGACUUUAUUGACCAUUCAUAAAAGAUUAGGUUACCUGUGUCUAUUAUAGUAAUUAUUCCAUUUUGUGGCAAGAACUGAUUGCCCUGUUUCUUGAAACUAUCUAGGAUUGAGUUGUGAAUUUUCUUUUUACUUUUUGGAGAUUUAAAUCUCCUUUGUUCAACUUUUGAAUUUAAAUAGGUAACAGUAUGCUUCUGGAUACUUGCAUGUGAACACAACAUGCAUAGAAGAAAACCAAAACAUUUUAUUUUAAGAGAGAUCUCCAAAUGUUGCUAGCAGUCUAUUUCUGCAUUUCUGUUAUUGUUCUCUGAAAAAAAUUUCAACUUAUACCUUCUACAUGCAGGUCUGAAGAUGAAGUUUCCAAGAUUGUCAAGUGUUGUGAUAAACAUAAGGUUUGAGUUCUUCUUUUUCUGCAAAUUAGUGAAAAAUGCACUCUCUUUCUUAUAUGAAGUCUACAGGUUUUCUGCAAAAAUAGUGCUUAUCAUAAACAUUUUAGGUUUAAUGCUUGUGGGUCACAAGAUUCACUAUCUAAAUCUAAAGAUUUGAUUGUCAAUUUUCAAUUUGGUUUAUCUACUUUUGCUUUAGUUGAUCAUGGAAUGAUGAAAAAUGAAAAAUAUUGCCUUCAUGUAGCAAGUAUUUAUUUGGUUUGCUUUUACAUUGUGAUCAGGUCCCUAUAAUACCAUAUGGUGGGGCUACGUCAAUCGAGGGUCACACCUUAUCUCCUAAUGGAGGUGUUUGCAUUGACAUGUCUUUGAUGAAAGUAUGUAUCAAUAUCCUUUUUGUAUACAUAGUUACAUUACAUAAACUCUGAUUCAUCUAAUUGAGACAUUCUAGAUACAAAUUGCUCAAGAAUACCUCAAGUUGUGUCUCUUCCUGUAAUUUUAUAAAGUUACCCACAUGCUAAAUGGAAUUGAUCAAUGUUCUUUGUAUCUGCCUUUUUAACAGCAAUCAUACGGGUCACCUGCCAUCCCUUAUGAAAUUUUGUUGGGGUGGAAAAAUUCACAAUUUUGGUGAAUACAACUUACGUUGUGUGUAAGUUAGACAGUGCACCUGAUUUUGGGCUUCUUUUGAUUGAACGUACAUUAUGCAAUUAAAUAUCUUGGGCCUAAGCUCUUAAAAUUCAGGAAUUUGGUUGUCUUUUAUGGUUGCAUUUUGUUUCUCUAAAAGACUAUCCUUCUUUUUCUUGUACUUGCUCUGCGUGUGGGGCUCAAACAGUAUAAGCUGUCCAGAGAAAUAACUAAUAUCUACCAUCCGGGGAGAUAUAUAUAUAUUUUCUAAUCUAGGAUUUUAAAGUGCGGGAAAGUCCGGGAUAUGUAUGUAUGUAUUUUUAAGUCAAAAUAGCUUCUUUAAAUUUUACUAAUGUCUACCAUCCAGAGAAUUUUAACAAAAUAGCUUCCUUUAAUUUACUCAUCUAAUUCCUCCUUUAGUAUCAUCUAGUAAUUUACUUAUGGCUUCUUGAUUAAUUGAUAUAUGGAACAUUUCUGUACUUUAUAUUUCAAUUUUGCCCAAAUGUUUGCUAUUUAUACAUAGCAAAAUUUUUGUGUUAUCUAUCAACUCUAAUCUCUAAGCCUCUUGUGUAUACAAUUAUUGUGGUUGUGGAAUUGUUCAUUUCUAAUCUUAUAAAAAUGUGUCAAAUUUAAACAUGUAUUCUGGAAAUUCUUUCAGCUGCUUAUUUAAUGUGGAUUCUUCUCACAUUGUAGAGUGUUAAAGCAUUACAUAUUGAGGACAUGGAUGUGGUUGUUGAGCCUGGGAUUGGAUGGAUGGAACUUAAUGAAUACUUGGAGCCAUAUGGGUUAUUCUUCCCUCUUGAUCCUGGUCUGAUUCCUAACCCUUGUAAUUUUUGUCUGUAAUUUUAUUAAGGAAGAUGUAUUUGGAGACUUUGGAUUUCAUUACAGUUUUAACUCUUUCAUUCUUUCCAUCCUCCCACAACCCAAAGGGAGAAAAAAAGAAAAAAGAGUUAAAACAUUUUAAGCCGUACACAAGGUAAUGUGCCUCAUAAUGGUGUCAUGCUUUUCCACAUUUUCACUUGAAUCUCUAUUUUUCCCUGGGAAAUCUUUCGAAUUACUAUUACCACUGCUUAGCUUUCAAUUCGCCUCUGACCAUCAAAUCAAAAUCAAAUUAUUUCGUGGAUUGGAUUUCACUUGACUGUCUACGGCUUCAUUGUGAACUUACUGCCUUGUUCUGAUUCUGUCACAUCUUGUCUUGCAGGGCCUGGUGCAACCAUUGGGGGUAUGUGUGCUACCCGCUGCUCUGGUUCCUUGGCUGUGAGGUAGUUUCUCAGCCUAUUUAGCUCUAGUAACUUAUUUGUUGCUGAAAAUAUCCACAUGUGAGAUUGCUGCUGCUCGGUUAUGAAGAGAAAGACUUAGUAUGACCUUAAAGUAUUCAUGGGUGGGGGUGUAAUAUAUUCCUUCUCAACUUGUGUGAUGGACACUAGAGUUAUUUAUACCCAGUACACCUGCUUUUCUUGGUAUAUAACCUUUUACUCCUGAGAUAGUUUUGCUAUUUUGUCCCAGUAAUUCCUUUUAUCAGUUUUUUUAGUGUUUAGAUAUUAUAAAAUCUUGCAAUUUCUUAAGUUUAUCUUUAGCUUUGUACUUGGCAGCCGAACUUUCAGUUAUUCUCCUAUAUUACUUUUUGUUUCUAAUCUAAAUAAUGCAUUUUGCUGAACUGAAUUCAUUUAUUCACUAUUUACCAAUUUAUUUGUCUAAAUGAAUAACUCAUUACUAGUUGUUGAAACUAUUUUCACGGUCUGAUUUGUUGUUGGAGUUUAUGAUUUCACUCUUAGCAUGUAGGUAUGGAACUAUGCGCGACAAUGUCAUUAAUCUGAAGGUUUGUUAAUUUCCUUUUUGUUAUACAAUUUCAUUAAAUUGGGAUAUAUUUCUCAUCCUGUCAACAUCUCAGGUAGUUCUUGCCAAUGGAGAUGUUGUUAAGACAGCUUCUCGUGCUCGAAAAAGUGCUGCAGGGUUUGUUCUCUUGUCUAUUUAAAUUGUCCCAUUGGUUUUCUACUUCCAUCCUGAAAAACCAAUAUACAUGUGAUACAGAAAUAACACUUGGUGUUACAAUGGUGUUUGAGUUUUUCUAUGCAUUUAUUUAAACUUGAUCUUAUCCCUUGGUUUGCUGUCACCAGAUGCCUUUUACUACUGUUAUGACCUGGACUCACAUUUAUUUUGUGAAUCCUUAUAUAUCUUUCUUAACUAGGUCCAAGUAAUGUUAAUAUAGGUGUGUUUGUGUCUGAGAGAGAGAGUUCUGGUCCAACAUCAAUAUAUAAACCUAAAGCUUUUGUAACGUUUUGUGUGCAUGCAUGAAAGAUGUUCUCAUUCGGUUCAAAAGUGCUUUUGAUCUUUCAUAUAUAAAAGAUAAGAAGUUUUCAAUCCAUGAGGCUUAUGAGGCUUCUGUAUGUUAGGUAUGAUUUGACCCGACUGAUAAUUGGAAGUGAGGGAACCCUUGGCAUAAUAACAGAAGUCACUCUAAGGCUUCAGAAAAUUCCACAGCAUUCAGUGGUAUCUUCACCUUUCUUUCUUGAAAAGCAAUUAUGUUUUACUUGAUUUCAAAUUUCUGUCUAAAAUUUUAGUUUCCUUGUUGCUAAUGGAUGUAAGUUUAUUAUAUAUGUUUAUAUUUGUGAAUGUUUGUGUUUUGUGUUGUAUAAGAUACUAUAGAAGUUCUUUGAGAUCCUGAUAUUUACGGAACUUUUGUUUUACAAGAAACUGAUUGAUAUUUGCAGUAGCUGUCCUUCUUUACUUUUGUUCUAAUGAAAGUAUGUAUUAAAAUUCACAUCUUGUUCUUUACAUUUAAUUUUCUAUACAGAAGUUGAAAAAUGAAGGCCUUUUAUUUUGUUAUGCUUGGAAAAUAGUUCCUUUUCCUCCCUGCAAUAUUCCUUCACAAUAGCCUAUAGGGUUAAAGUUAACCAGUGGGAGUAUAGGAAAAUUGGAAUGGGCUACUUUAUGUUUGGGAAAAAUAAAUCCUUGAGGAUGGGAAGCAUUUGUACUCCUUCGAUGGCAGAUGAGGAUGAUUUGCAUUUAGUCAAUGUCAAAAUUUCUCCUCUUAUCCAUCUUUGAACUGUGUAUGGGGUUGGAAUCCACCUGUUCUCCUUAUUAUUGUGUAUAGAAGAAUUUUCUUAAUUGAGUUUGAUAAUGUUGUAGGUGGCAACAUGUAACUUCCCAACUAUUAAGGAUGCAGCAGAUGUAGCUAUUGCUACUAUGCUGUCUGGCAUACAGGUGUGGCUUAAUCUGCAAACUUAGUUCACAUAUCCAAUUCCUUCAAAGUUCAUAGAUUUUAUAAUACUUAAUAGGUGUCAAGGGUGGAGCUCCUGGAUGAAGUUCAAGUGAGGGCUGUCAAUAUUGCUAAUGGGAAGAACUUGCCUGAACUUCCAACUUUGAUGUUUGAAUUUAUAGGCACUCGUGAGAUGAUAUCACUUUUCGCUUUUAACACAUUUCUUUAAUUAAUGGCCAUUUAUUUGAACUUUUUCUUCAGUAUUUUAAGAAUCUACUGUACCUCAUAUAUGUACAGAUUUCAAACUGGCAAGACAAAGCAUGAGCAAUCUCACAUUUUAUGCUUUUUUUCCGCUCAUUAUCUAUAUCGUCAGUAGCUUCCAGCAAAAGGCGUAUUUCAAAAGUUGUCUUCAUUUUACCAGUGCUAACUUUUCUAAUAAAUUCUGUUUACACCUUCUUAGAGGCAUAUUCACAUGAGCAGACACUAAUUGUUCAGAAGAUUGUGUCUGAGCACAAUGGUACUGAUUUUAUUUUUGCGGAAGAUCCUGAAGCUAAAAAGGAACUCUGGAAGGUAGUGAAUCUGAUUUCUUCAAAAUUGUCUGCGUUCUGCUUGAAUUUUGUUUGAAAUCCGGGAUCUUAGCUCUUACAUUCAUGUUUUCUGAAUGUGUUUGAGCUUUUUUCUCCUUUUUAGGGGCUUGCCUUCUCCUUCAUUUAAAAUCUAUCAUAGUAUAAUAUUUUAAUUUCAAAUUAAUAUUCUCAAACUGUUCAUCAGCUUUCUAAUAUACAUAAAUGAUCAUUUUGUUAAUACGCUAAAACUGUAUGAGUCGAUGUAUAUUAUUUGUAUGUAAAAGUUUUAACUGUAGAUUGAUUUUUGGAUUUUAUUAAAAAAGUUCAUUUACUUAUAAGUAUUUUCCAAGGGAUUAAUUUAUUCAUUUUCAUACAUCUAUAAUUUCAAUUUUUUUUUUGGCUUAUUAUAACCUCUCCUGGAGCUUUAUUUAUUCAUUCAGAAUAGAAAAUUCAAUUUUAUUGGUUGAAAGAGACCUAGAUUUAUGGAUUCUUAACAUUUCUACUGAGUGCAUAAACAUGUCCUUACAUGGGCAUCCAUAGAACAUACAUGUAUACAUGGUAAAUAGCUAUCGAGUUGAAUGGCCUUAGCUGACGCAUUAAUCCAUAUGAGAUGUCAGAUCAUUAUUCAAAUUCUCGAACCCAUCUUGUAAUCUUGAUCUAUCUAAUCAGUUUGCUGCUCAUGCCGUGCAUGUUGGGUCUUGUUUUGUUGGCAUAAAUUGGUCUGCAUUGGUUUUCUGAGUUGUAUUUCUCUUUGCAUUGUGUGAUCUUUGGCAGAUGAGAAAGGAGGCACUCUGGGCUUGCUUUGCAAUGGAGCCGAGUUUUGAAGCAAUGAUUUCUGUGAGUAUGAUGUUAACAAACUUAUAAAUGAUAAUUUCAAAAUAUGCUGACAGUUGCACUUUUUAUUCUAAACCAUAUCUAUUUUAACAAUCUCUGGACUUGCUACUCAAGUGUGUCGAAGCUGAAUUAGGACAAACUUUACUAGAUCAAUUUUGUUACCUGUUUUUGCAGAUUUGUUGCUAGGGAUAAUAGCAUCCGAAACCCCAAAAUGCUGACAAAAUGACAAGGACAUAGUUUGCAAUUAAUUUUUCACAUGGGUCCUAGUGAGUGCUAUCAGAUUAUGUUAAGAAUACAUCAGUGAAAUCAAUAAUUUGACUGUUAUACUCUUAGGUCGUUAUUUAAUUUCAAAUACUAUGGUAGCAUCAACUCUAAGGUUGCCCAGGUUUGAGAGGACCUUACUACAUCAUUAAAAUCAAUAAUUUGACUGUUAUACUCCUGAAAUAAGCUUGUCUAUUUUCCAAUUUUUAGGGAUAUAACAGUUGAAUCCUUGAUUUUAUUGACCAAAUCUGAGGGUGGGAACUGUAAUGAAAAGAUAUUUAAAUUGUGUCAUUGUGAUUUUUUUGCCACUUCCUUGAGCUAAAGCCGCCCCCCCCCCCCAACCAACAAAACACAGUUUGAUUUUUGAUUCUUCGAUAGUCUGACGAGAGAAAAAUAACAAGAAAUUUUUUGAGAAAUGAAGCAUAUUUAGCAUUUUCUUUUAAAUCCUUCCACUCUUCUGGGAGUUAUACAGAUUAUUAAUCUCUGUUGUUUGGUCUUACACAUAAAUUUCAUAAAUUUCUUUCUUUUCCUUGAUGUUUCUGGAAAAUUGCAAAAGUCAUCUUGAUAAUUUCCAACACAUACAAUCUUAAAUUGGUGGUUAGUUAAUUUAUAAGUAUUAGUUCCUGUGUUCUUUAGUUAGUUAAUUUAUAAGUAUUAGUUCCUUUGUUCUUUAGUUACACUUUAUUUUCUCUUCCUUAUUUUGCUUGAGAGCCCUCUUUGCCAAUCUUUCUUUUGUCCAGGAUGUAUGUGUUCCUCUUUCUUGCCUGGCAGAGUUGAUAUCAAGGUCAAAGAAAGAGCUUGAUGCAUCACCACUGAUUUGGUAAUUUCAGAAUGAUUGUUUGCAGGUUAAAACAUUUUAUGUUUCUUUGUCAGCACGGGCAAGUGAACUGAUGCUUGUAUUUCUUAUGCCCUAUUUCAUACUACGCAGCACUGUAAUUGCUCAUGCCGGUGAUGGUAACUUUCACACGGUGAUACUAUUUGAUCCGAGCAAAGAAGAGGACCGCCAGGAAGCAGAACGGUUAAAUCGAUUCAUGGUCCAUACUGCCUUGUCGAUGGAAGGUACAUAUGAUAUUUGACUUUUUUUAUUAAUUGAGACUACAGGUUGUGGUGUUCAAUAUCUCCUCAUAACAUGCAGCUGUUUAGUUAGCGGAAAAGGCAUUUAGUUUAAGUAUAAUCUGUUGCAUGUCAAUGGAAAAGAUAUAGGUACUCGUACAAAUGUUACAAUGCUGAACCAAUUGCGGCGCUAAAACUGGUUUCUCUGAUUUCACUGUUGAGCAGGAACAUGUACUGGUGAGCAUGGUAUUGGGACAGGGAAAAUGAAGGUAUUUUCAAUCUUUCCUGCUAGAAUUGUGCCGCGUAUCAUGCGAGUUACUCGGAUGUGACUUUAAUAGUUAAAUAGAUUAAAAAGUCAAUUCCAUGACCAGAGUUGGUGGUGCCUACCACUGGUUUAUAUCAUCAAUAUUAGCUGUAGAUGCAUUGACUUUAUAAUGACAACUAAUUUAAUUUCACUUCGGGUGUUGAUCAAAAGUUUUAUUCUCACGAUUUACAGUCUGAGAAUAUCAAAAUCUAAAAUGUGUUGUGCACAGUUGGUGAUCAUCUCAACAUGCUGUUAAAAAUGAUGGGUUUUUCUUGAUGUUUCCAGUAUCUAGAAAAGGAGCUAGGCACUGGAGCAUUGGAGACGAUGAAAAGAAUCAAAGUAGCACUAGACCCCAACAACAUCAUGAAUCCGGGAAAGCUAAUUCCACCACAUAUUUGUUUCUAAAUAUUGUUGCGUAGAUUGGUCUCAAAGGGUUAAAGCUGCUACACGUGCUCUUUUGUGAAAGGAUUUGCAAUUCAUUGGAGGAUCCUUAGCCUGUCUGUGGCAUUUAGAGUUAUUAAUGCUGCUUACGCUCGCAAGAUUUACUUUGAUUGCAAAAGAGAAAAAAUGGGGCAAGGUAAGUGGCUAUCUUAUCAUUGAUUAGAAACAAAGAUUCCCCAUUUUGUUUAAAAUGGUUGCUUGAAAUUUGCCCUCUCAGUAUUCUAAUUGAUUGUAAUCUAUCAAUCUAUUUUCUGUUCCCUCUAUUCUGCAUUCCAAAUAAACUCUAAAUUAGAAUGGAAAAAAUCAUGUGUUGAUAAAGAGAAACACGAGGAAUAAAUCAAAUUUACUUUCAAUAUUGAUCUUGUUCAGCUUCCUUUUCAUUUCCUUUCUUUUUCGGUGCAAUAAUAUGGCUUUGGUGAUUGUAAAUGAGAGUUUAUUUAAACGGCCUAACAAAGCUAAGCAUAAAAUCAAAUGGGCUAUUGUGCAUUCACUUCAGCUUUGAAAUGCCAAUCCUAGCUGAUGUUUUUGGUUGGUUUGGUUGUUAAUGUUGGCAUUGGGAAUUCUUCUUUUGGUCCUUCUACGAGUGCCUUUAACAUCUUGUAACAUCAUAGAUUAGAAUACAUUGCAUAAGUGCAUACUUUAAGGCCUUGUAACAGUAUCUUCAACAAAUUCAUCACUACAGUCUAGAGCGUAGCUCAUGCCUUUUGUCAGAAACUGAGAAGGCACUAAACCUAAAGGCUACUGCCUAGUGAGGCAUGAAAUGAUGGAUGAAAUGAAAAGGCACCCCACGUUUGAGCACCCAGAUUUAAAAGUGAUAAAUUUUGAUUGAGGAUGCAAACAAAGCAAGAGUUGGGACAAAUUUCAAGUCUCUGUUGAGUAUAUGUAAGAGCUUUAAAAAGUAUUUUGUUUGCUUGUAUGAGAUCUUAAAGGUUUCAAGAUUGUUCUAUUACUAGGAAUCAAUUUUUGACUCCUAAAUCUUGUUUGGAAGUGAUAAAUUCCAUUUUGUGAAAUUGUGGAAUUGAGCAUCAAUUAAAAAAGCCUAGGAAUUAGGGUUUAGUGUUGGGCCCAUUUCUUCGCUCUAGUGAUCUUACCAUUUCCUAAGAGGCAUGGCAGGCAAAACUUGAAAAUGGACACUUUCAAAUGGGGUUUCAAUGCAUUAGAUAUCAAAUCAUUUGUGGACGGUAGAAAGAUACAUUUUAGUUGACUAUUUUUUUCAUUUCUGCAACUAGUUAGUGAGGCCUCUCUCAUCUUCAAUACAAAGUUCAUUAAGUUUGGUCCUUAAAAAAAUUUGAUCACUACAACAUUACUGAUGCAGCGUGAUUUUACAAAAUAAUGCUCUGUAAUAAAAUUGAUGCAGUGAAAGGAUAAAUUGAUGCAACAAAAGAAUAAAAGAUGUAGGGUGAUGAUAGAUAGAUAGUGAUAUUUUCAAUAUUCUAUUGAUUCUUGAGAAAACAUAAAUAAAUAAAAAAAGUUAAAUCCACGUUGAUUUAAAGAAUGCCCGCGAAUUUAGAGUGUUAAAAUUUGUUGAUUUCGUAAAAUAUCGAGAAAUAAUAAGAGGAGUAGAAUUCAAAGUAAAAGUUUAUUCUAAAAAAUAAUCAAUAACGAAUAAUCAAGGAGGUCUUGUAAAAAAAUAUUUAUUUAUACUAACCAUUUUAAGAUGACUCAUUUGACUAGAGAACUUAUUUUAAUAAAUAAUGACUAAACAACAAAAUUCUAAAUAAAUAAUUAAAUUAAAUUAGAAUACAAAUUAAUUAAAAUAUUCUUAAAUAUUAUAACUUUCAAUUUGAUUAGGAUUUUUUUUUUUUUUCAAUUUCUUCGGAUGAAUCACUCAUGCCAUCAUUAUUAGCAAAGCAAAUUCCCAAAACCUGGUGGGCACUGAACAGUCCAAACUCUAAAGUUUCUGCAGAUUAAGACAAAAUAAAUUAUGACUGAGGAUGAUAACAAAUUAACAAAAUGUAAGGACAAAUUCCAAGUCUCUGUCGGUUAAAUACAUGUGGUGGGAGUUUUAAUGCAUAUGCAAAAAAACUUAAAAGGUUUCAUCAAGAUUGUUGUAUUACUAGGAUUCGAUUUUUAUGCCUAAAUCUUAUCUGAAAGUGAUAGAUUCCAUUUGUGAAAUUAAUGGAUUGAUGAUGAAUUGCAUUGCAAAUGCAUGCAUUGAUUUUGGCAUUCAAUUACAAUGUUGAAUUUUCAAUGCAAUUACGCGUGAUUGUAAUAUGAAAUAAAAUCAGUGUCACUUCGUAUCUCGAUUGCGGACACAACUUUGUAGCCAUUCCCUUUGUCUGUGAUCAACAAUGAAAAAAUUUUAACUAUGGUAAUUAUAAUCUCAAAAUCAAUGUGUAAGUGUGGAGUUGAAAUUUUACCAAUUACGGCCUAACCAAAUACCGAAGAUUGAGCUCUUAUUUUCAACUAUUUUUCUAAAAUUGUAAAUGUGGAGAAUCAUGGCCAUAGCUGUGGACCAAAACUUUUUAAGAAUCAGACAUUAUUUUGUUGGUUGUCCUCCAAUUAAUUGAAAAAAGUUUUGGCAACCUCCCAAAGAACAAUUUUCUUUCGGGAGAAUCGAUUAUCGGUUGCCCACGUUUCAUAAAUUUGGUGCAUUGUUUGACCAAUUUCUUAAUGAUUUGCAAUUCUGUUACUACUUUAAGUACUCCAUUAUAAGUGUUUGAUUAAUUUCAAAGAGAAGAAAGCAACAUCUUUUUAUUAGAUUCUCAUUCUGUCGUUCACAUGCCCAUUUAAUUACUUUUGAUGUUGCCUUCAAGAAAAUAAAAAAGUUACUUUUAUUGAAUUAUGGCUCAUAGCUAGGUGCAGGAUAUAUAUAUUUAUAUAUAUUAACUUUUUAAUAUUGGAUUCUAAAUGUGGGUUAUUCGUGUCAUUAUUGUAUAUGUUAAGAAACACAAUUUGAUGUAGAGUAAUAUAAUUUUAAGGGAAAAAGAUUCCAAGAUCUCCAAGAUUUAUUAAAAUAUAUAUAAGAGACAAACUGCUCAUUAUAUCAAAUUUGCUAGCUUCUUGAAAAACAAUCCAUUAUUAUUUUUUUAAAAAGAUUUUUAAAAGUUUCUUUUAGACAUACUGGGCGCAAUUCACUUUCAAAUUAGCCCCACAUUUAGAUGAGGGGCAACGUGUGGGAGUGUCUUGAAAAAAAUAUAUUGGCUAAUAGAACUUAAACUAUGUUUCAAAGGUUGAUCAUCUCCUCAUUGUUUACUAACCUCGCCGGCUAGCUUUUUGGUCUUUAAAUUCCUUAACUUUACGACACAUUUUCCUUGUAUUUGAUAUUAUUUCAUUUGAAGAUAUUUUUAGAUGCUUACAAAUGAUUUUUUAAUUGACAAGAUUGACACUUAGUUUCCUAUCAUAUUUCUUAUUUUCGUCCUUAUUUUUUUCCCGAAUUACCAUCAAUACUCUAAUGUUAUAAUUUUAUCGAUUGGCUGUUUAAGAAUAAACCUAACUUUGAUUAACCUACGAAUCUUCUUACAUUUUCACAACCACUUCUCAUAAUAUUAGAUUGACUGGGAGAUUAUGAUAGUAAAAGAGCCUAAAAUAGGUCUCUUCAUUAUUUCUUUAACAUGGGGAAUAUAGUAGGCAAUCAAAAAUAAAUUAAGACCAACAAGCUUGUAGAUUAGCUGGCACAUGGCUGUUCUAAGUUAACCAAAGUUUUCGGUUCGAACCUUGGAAAUGCAGCUGCGUUAAAUACUUAUUGGGAGAACUUUGCCACCCUAAUGGUCCUACCCGGCUUGAAUCUGGAUUAGUCGAGGCCCAAUGUAAUUUUCGGAUACCAAAUGGUUUAAUACACAAAAAAAAAAUUAAGGACAUAAAUGACAAAAGUGAAAAACAAUAGAGACCUAAUUAUCAUCUUUUUCCAUUAGUAAUUGGUCUACAGUAGAGAAAAAGUCCAAUCAAAUAUGCAAAAUGUAGAAUAUGUAAUAUAUCCAAUUACCCAUUUUCUUUUCUCAUUUGUGAUAAGUGAGAUCCUUCUGGAUUAAGGCUAUUCUGGUAUGUACGUAUGGCAGAAAUCAGCACUAUUGUAAGAUUGUAUAUGUAUGACAAGAAUCAAGACUAUUAUAUGCAUGUUGAAAGAUCAAGGUAAAGUUGCUGUGCAUUCCCAUUAGCAUUACCGAUGAGCUGCUCCCUCCCCCGGUUCACAGCUUCCGUGGAGCACUUGCCUGCAUGUUGAAAGAUCAAUACCAUAAUAACUAGCUAACACACACAAAUGGCAAGAAGCAGUGAAGCACAACGACAAAAUGGAGCUACAAGGAUGAUAGAGUGACCCUAAACAAUAGAAAGUAGGAUGUGUACAUGUUUGUGAAAAACCAAUAAACAACACAUCUUAGUUAACUAUUUAGAUCCACUACUCAUCUUGCCUUCUUGAGAUCCACAAAUUGGUGAUUGAUAGAAGCAAUAACAAUAAAUUAAAUACAUCUAGUUACACCAUACAUGAUACGGUGUAUGUUUUGCUAGAUUCUUAAUAAAGACAAGCAGAGCAAACGAGUAGACAAUUCAUUUCCCUCGAGUAAACCUCUAAAGUUAAGGAAAACAUCAACAUCUUUGGAACAAGAAAGACUUAAUGCCCUUACAAAAGCACCUGGCUCACCAUGUAGACCAUCACAGAGUCCAUAUAAAUUAGCAAAGCGCGUCACCCUUGUCAUGGUUGUCUCCAAAAGCGUGAGUACCGCCAAAAUUCAUUAAACAAAAUCGUUGGAAUAUUCAUCUCAAUUAUUAAUGUUUGUUCCUUCUACCAGUUCAAGAUACUUGAAUGUAUAAAAUGCUUUAUCGCAAUAAAUUCAGUCAAUAUUAUUUCCGCCGCCCUAAUUUGAGCUUCUGAUAAUUAGUUGGUAAUUUGACCGUAAUAUGAACAAUAAUGUAGACUUGGCACCAAAAAACUCCAAUCCAAUUAAACUGACAUCAUCAACCAUACUGUGGCCACCACCAACCUCAUCUAUGGUUGGUAUUCACAAUAAAAAGAUAAACACUACAAAAUUACAAAUAUACCCUCAAUCAUCAACAAUAUCUCCACCCUCACCCCUCGCUUCCUCUUUGUCUAUAUAACAGGCACGCUCCCCCUUAACUGAUUGCCACAAGAACAAAACAACUCUCUCAGCAAAACCACCAGAGAUUUUCUUUCUUUCUUAUUAUUAAUUUUUUUUUUUUUUUAUUUAAAGAAAAGACAAAUGGGUUCUCUUGAUCCUCAAGUUAUUGAAGACUUGGGGAAAGGGGUCAUUCAACUACUGAGCGAUGGCACCGUACUGAGGUCCAACAAUAUAGAUUUUGAUUACCCUUUAGACAAGAAUGACGGCUCUGUCUUGAUCAAAGACUGUCAAUACGAUGAAAAACAUCAACUGCAUCUCCGUAUGUACAAACCCCCUUCAAUAAUAACAUCCUCUAGGAAGCUUCCUAUUGUCGUAUUCAUUCACGGGGGAGGCUUUUGCGUCGGCUCACGUGCAUGGCCAAGCUCUCACAACUGUUGCAUGCGCCUGGCGACCGGGCUCAACGCUCUUGUUGUUGCCCUAGACUACAGGUUGGCGCCGGAGCACCGUCUCCCGGCUGCCAUGGAAGAUGCUUUUAGCGCCAUGAAAUGGCUCCAAGAUCAGGCUCUGAGUGAGAAGGUCGUUGACGAUGAAUGGUUCCAUGAUGUUGAGUUUGACAGAGUCUUUGUGCUGGGAGAUUCCUCCGGGGGGAAUAUUGCUCAUCAUCUGGCAGUUCGGCUCGGCGGCGGCGGCGGUUUUGAAGAGUUGGCGCCUGUUAGGGUUCGAGGGUAUGUGCUGUUGGCGCCAUUCUUUGGUGGGGUGGCGAGGACCAAGUCUGAGGCAGGGCCAAGUGAGGAGCAUUUGACUCUCGCUAUACUCGACAGGUACAAUGUUUUCCCUCUCCAUUUAGUGAGCGUUAUGGAUGAAUUUGGAUCCGUUCUCAUGUAAUUAUAAUCCGAGUUAUGCAUAUCUUUAUAUAUAUAUAUAUAUAUAUAUAUAUAUAUAUAUAUAUAUAUAUUUUGACGCAUACAUUUAAAACAGAGGACAGUUAAAACCAACAACAUUAGAUCUAAAUUUAUUUGAGGUUGCCGUUUUGUCAUAAAACAACAUGUUUAUUCUUUCAGAAUGAAGCCGAGGUAUAACCGUUAUAAAUUAAUUACAGAUACUCUAAUUGAAGUUUUCUGAUCAUUUUUUAAAUAACGGAAUAUUCUGUUCCUUUUUUUCAAUAUUCUAUGCAUUAUGCAGGAUUUUGCAACCGCAUGCGAAUUUGUUCUUUUUUUUUUUUUAAAUUGCGUCUUUCAUAAAUGUUUACAAACGAUGCUGUUUAGAUUUUAUAUUUUCAAAUUUAAAAAAUAUGAUUCUGGAAAUGAGAAUCGAGAAAAAGCUUUCAGAAGUAAUAUUUUCGUUGUUCAAACACUAAAUUUUAAAGCUUAAAGCAGUUGAACCACACUUUUUAUGCAUUUUUCCAUAGUUUUUCAAAUUUUAAAAUUUUUAAUUGGAACAUUUACAUAUAUAUAAUGCGAGGAAUCUCUUUUUUUUUUUUUUUUUCUAUGCAGAAAUACUUUUAAGUCAUGCCGUUUAAGAGAGUAAGUUUUUAAUGUUAUUAAACCACAUAAUUUUAUAAUUCAUUUAAAAAUAAGUCUAUUAAACCUCACAAUUUAAGAGCGUGUUAUUAAGACACCCGCACAUAAGAAUUAUAGACACACCACGAGCAAGGCAACAGCCAUAACUUGUUUGGAUUCCCUUUUUUAAUAGAAACAAAAUACAUACCCACAAUUUAUGUGAGUCCACUAAUUUUUGGAACUCGACACAUCAAUUUUUUUCCAAAUUGUGUGAAGAUGACGUGUCCAUUUUAGUAAAAACGUUCUGGCCUUUUAUUCGUACAUGCAUAAAUGUGGUUCCACUAUAUAUACGUGAUAUCACUCUCGUGAAAAUGGCUUUCCACAUAUACGAUUCCACUAAAUAAUUAAUUUAAUUUGUGUUCUCACUUGAGACAUUUUAAUGAUUAGUUUACAUUUUCUUUAACAUUAUUCCUUGAAUUGACCUCACAUGAUCAAGAACUAAUAGAUAGACAUAUAUAGUGCUUAGCUAUUGAGUAUUUCUCUUGUAAUGAUAAUUUAUUUGAAAUAUUAUAGUUGUAUGAAGGAAAGAAAAAUUUACAGCUAUAAAAUCAUACCAAAUAAAAUAAUAAUGCAACUACAAAAUUUUAACAACUUUAUUACAUUGACAUAUUUGAAUCAUAUAAUAAUAAUAAUAAUAAUAAACCACUUCUCUUACGAAGGAGUUCAAGUAGUUAUAAAGAAAGUUCAUAAAACACACACACACACACACACACACACACACAUAUACACACAAAAAAUAAAAAAAACUUAUAUUAUAUGAGAAAGAUUUCAAAUCCCUUGUAUAUUGGAACAACCUCUAAAUUAAAAAUCAGUUUACAAACAAAAUAUAAUUUUAAUAUAAUAAUAAUAACACAUAAUUCAAUAAUAAAUUCAUACAGGUACGUGGAAAACAACUUGUAUCAUAAAAAAAAAAAAAAAAAAACAACGACAAAAGAAUAAUUUAAACUAUUUUUCCAUUUUUAUUCUCAUGCGUUGUGUUAAAAAUUCAUAUAACACAUCAAAAUAUUAACGUGGGGGUUCCUAUCAAUAAAAAGUAGCUUUUUGAGAAAACGCCUUCCUUUGCCUGCCUGUUACUGGGGUCACAAAUAAUCGAAGCAAUUUGUCAUUGCCUAUAAAGAAAUUGCAAAUUUGAAAUUUAUAUGAGCUAAAAAGUUGGCCACUAGAGGACAAGUUAAAUUAGCCAACUAGAAAACUAACCUGUAACCUCCAUGACCAUUUGAAAAGUCCAUGAAAGGACAUUUCUUUACUUUUGCCAAUUUGCAAUUUGAUCCCACGAAUUGGUCACCCUUUAAUCCUGCCUAAAUUCAGAAAUUAAAAUUAAACAUAAUCACAAACGCCAAAAAAGACAAAAAUAAAUAAAUAAACAAAUGAGAGUUAAGGGAGAGUUAUACAGGUCAAAUGGAAUUAAACUGAAUUAAACCACUUGGCUUUUCUUGAGUUGUUCUCUUUCUCUCCUUGAAAAAAAUCUUCCCACGUUUGUGAAACUUUUUACAAUCAUUAUCUACCUGAUAGUCUCCUUUGGCUAAUAAUUACCAAUCCUGAUGAUUAUUUCAACUUUUUUUAUUCUUAAUCAACUGAUUUAAGUGUGCAACUAGGACAAUUAAAUUUCUCCAAAACUCUUAUCCACUUUAAUAAGCAGUUAUGUUGGAUUAGCUAAAGAAAUAUGGCCUGGACUAAUGAACAUCGUUCAUUUUAUAACUAUCUCAUGUUUAGCACAGAAAAAGUCUUGUGAUGAUAAACGCAAAAGUUAACUCUCUUAAUAAUCGAUAUUACUUUUAAGAUAGUGCUCAGUCCAUUAAUUUUAUUAAUAUCGACUUCCCAUCAUCACCCAAAAUCAUUUGAGAUAGUGCCUUAUCCAAAACUAUCUUCCUCUUGGUCUUAUACAAAAAAGGUGAAUCCAAUAUCUGAGUAGAUAUAACUCACAAAAAUUUUAUGACCUAUAUGAUAUUAGCGUGAUUGAAAUUCGAUUUUAAAAUCUCUUAUACUAUUUCAAAAGAUUCUACCAAUACAAUCAAUUAGUACCGGCAGAUGAUCAUUUGAUGUAGUUUUCUUAUAUAUAUUUGUUUAAUGCUUGGCAGCUUUUGGAGGCUAUCAUUACCAAUUGGAGUAACUAGAGACCAUCCAUAUGCAAACCCUUUUGGCCCCAAGAGCCCUAGCCUUGAAGCAGUAAGCCUUGAUCCGGUGUUGGUAGUUGCCGGCGAAAAGGAACUAUUGAAAGAUAGGGCUAAAGACUAUGCAAGAAAAUUAAAAGAUAUGGGGAAGAAUAUUCACUAUGUUGAGUUUGAAGGAAAAGAACACGGUUUCUUUAAUAAUAAGCCAUCCUCAAAAGCUGGCAAUGAAUUCCUUCAAAUCGUCGGAAAUUUCAUGUCCGAAAACUCAGCCUAGUCCUGACAAUCAAUCUUUCUUGAUUAUUAUAUAUAAUCAUAUAUAGCUGCCUGGAGUUGCAUGCAUGGAUUAGUGAUCUCUAUUAUUAUGAGUGUUAAGUUUAAUUCGUAUGCUUAGUUCGUUUUUAGAAAUAUUUUGAAGUUGUGUUAGCUUUAAGUGUAUUUGGAUCAUGGACGAUGAAUGUACUAUUUUAGUUUCUAUUCUCUCUUUUAUAAUGUGACUUAAAAGAAAAAUUCAUCGACUUAUUGAGGUUCACUGUAAUUAAUUAUUUCUUUUGGUAAGUGAUGUCCUGUAUUUGGCCUUGAAAAGACAAUUUGCAUGAGGCAUUAGGGCAUUAUUAUCACUUCAAUAAUUGUAGAUUAGACACCAUAAUCUAAGGCUGCAAUUUUAAGUAGGUUUUUUUGUGGCUUAGCAUUUAUGGAAAUUAGUGCGUAAGCACUUAGAUUAUUUAAGCUGGCAAGUAACUAAAUUAAUUUGUUUCUAUAAAUUAAAAACAUAGAGCAUUUGGUGUCAUAGUGUGAUUCUUGCUUAGGGUGCCAGAGGUCCCGAGUGCAAUUCCCGGAAUGCCCCCAAAUUAUUAUCAAUCAACGAGUCAACGACCUAACUUUUGGUUUAGUUUCUGUACAAUAUUCUCGUUAAUAUGCUGUUUGUGGUUGUUAAUUCAAAAUUAUAUAUAAGUCCGUAUAUGGACUAUGGACUGAGCAUAUAUAUAUAUAGGUUUCUUUGACAGUGAAAAAGUUUGUAUAAAAAAUAAUAUUUCAAAAAUAAAUGAACAAAGAAAAAAUUGUAAAAUAUUGUUGCUGAAUCAUUCAAACAGAAACCCAAGGGUCGCAGAAAAAAAGUCCUGCUUUAAUGGUUGUGAGUAAUGUUUAAAGGGGUAUUCUUCAUGGAUGACGAUAAUCUUUAAAGGGGUAUUCUGUUAUGACCUUAUAACUUGAAAUUUUGGUUAAUUUUAAAAUUUUUGGAAUUUUAUUAUCAUUUAUCAUUUAAGGAGAAACUUUAGGGUAUAUCGUCAUUAUAUUGCCUCAUCCCGUAUAACAAACAGUCCAAUAAAUUUCUUUAAUCGGAUAUUUAUGCGUUCACAUUAAUGUUUUUUUUUUUUCUCCAAAGAGAUAAAAUUUCUAUUCUUAAAAUCAAACCCUAGUUUGAAUUGCCUCACCCAGUACUUAUACACAGCACAUAAAAACCCUACUCUAAUUUUUCUUUCUCCAUAUUUUUUUUCCCUCACUCAGCGAACUUUAAAUAGGUAACACUCAAUUUUCUCAAACCCUAAUGCUGUUUCAAUUUCUUAUUCUCAAUCAUUUUGAUUAUGAGUUUGUGAAUAGGUAAGAAUGGCCACGGCGUCGACGGCGAAGGCAACUUCAGCGACAGCAGCGCCAAAACAGGCCCAUCAGGAUUCAUCUCAGCCGCAUUAUGAUGUAAAGCUAUUUAAUAGAUGGACUUUCGAGGAUGUUAGCGUUAAGUUUCCACAUUUUUUUUCUUUUUUACAUUACCGCUUCAUUUUUCUUUAAUACUAUGAUCUUUAUGUAUAUAAUAACAUAGAGUGAGGUUUUUGUUAUGAUUAUACUCUAGAGAUGUCUUGAUUUUUAUUUUUAUUUUGGGUACGUGUAGAUCUUUGGAUUCGGAUUCAAAUUUAAUCUGCAAAGUAUCCCCUAAAACUUGAGAGGAAAUAUUCUAAUAAACUUAUGUUGAUUGAAUUUUUUUUCAAUAUGAAUUUUUUUAAAUUAACCUCUCUUAGUUGUGAACGACUUGAAUCUGGAACAAAUUUUUAAGAUAUGUGAGGGUGAAUGAAGGAUUUAUAAAUGAAUGAAUGAAAGUGUCAUUGAAUUUUGUUUAUCCCGAUCUGCCACGCUAAAAUCUAGAUAGAAUCCAAUAAUAAUAUUUAAAAUGAAUGUUAACAUUCUCGAUGCAGACCACCCAUCAACUCUCUUUAUUAAGAGUUAUAGCACAAAUUUUAUCAUUCAACAACUCUCUCUGUACACAAAAUUUGUCGAUUAAUAAUUUAUACUUUUAAAUUAUUUGAUUUUGACUUUUUGUAAAUCUCAGUGAUUUUGAUUUUUUUGUAAAUCUCAAUCUAUAGGUGAGCGACAUGUCCUUGAAUGAUUACAUUGGAGUCCAAGCACCAAAGAAUGCAACCUAUGUACCUCACACAGCUGGGAGGUACUCAGUGAAGCGGUUUAGGAAGGCACAGUGCCCAAUUGUUGAGAGGCUCACAAACUCACUGAUGAUGCAUGGACGAAACAAUGGCAAGAAAUUGAUGGCCGUCAGGAUUGUCAAGCACGCCAUGGAAAUCAUUCACCUUUUGACUGACCAGAACCCAAUUCAAGUCAUUGUUGAUGCUGUCAUCAACAGGUACUAGUUUUUUUUUUUUUUUUCUCCCAUAUAUGUUGCAUGAAUUUAUAUUUCAUUAAUUAUGGC